CCCCUCUUACAUUAGAUAAACAACAUACUCCAUGAAACAUUGAUAGCCCAAAUACAAAUUUCAUCGACAAAAAAGUCUCUUUGUUUUGUAGAACAUGAUAGUAAAAAUGUGGAGUUUCGUUCUUCUUAUUGGCCUCCUUUAGUUUUCCUUGAUCAACAACCACUAGCCAAAAACACAAUUAGAUUAGAUUAUGAAUGAUACUGACAUUAUUAAAUAUAAAACACUCUAAAUAACUCUAAAUAAAUGGAAAGCAGCAAAUUACCUGACGAGGCAAGCUAGCUCAAUUAAGACCAUUGUGUUAUACUUGUCUCUGAAUUGAAAAAUUUAGAAGGAAAUAAAGAGAAAGACUUAGAAAAUAUUUGAAAACAGAUAAAACUUAUAUGUCAUUUAAAAUAAAAAUUUUGUAUUUAAGCCGUUUAAAAUUUUUAAGAUUUUUGAAAUUUUAAAAUGAUAAAGGUAAAAUUGUACUUUGGCACACCAAAAAUGAUAAAACUUUGAUUUAAUCCUUUAGAAAUUAUAAAAAUAUAGGCUAUUAAAAUGGUGAAAUUACCUUUUUACUAUAGUAAAAAUUACAAUUUAAUUUCACUUUAAGAUUUUCUGACUUCGCCCCUAAUAAAAUCUUUGGCAAAAGAUUAAAAUAAAAUUAUACCGUAAAUGGAAAAAGAAACAAAGAAAAUCCAAUCUAACAAAGAAAAUAACUUAUGUCCAAAAGCUACCAUAAACCGUAAUUCAUGGGAAGAGAGCAAAAGUAAAAACAAAUAGUUUAUAUGAUUAAAAUUCCAGAAUAGGUUAAAAAUGUUGAAUUAAAGAUAAAAUUAAGCGUGAAUUAAUAACCACAAGUGUACUCUUUACUCACCAUCUCUGUUAAAAAUGUUGGAUGUUGUUUAGCAACCUUUGUUUGAUUUUCUUCAGCUCAACCACAACAUCUUUCAUUUCUUUUCUUUCUUCUGGUAACUCAGCUGAACAAUUCAAAGCCAACUCCAUGAUAGAUGAAAUACAAUUUGCUUUAACAACAAAGUACUCAUCCUCUCUUCUUAGUAAAUCAACAUCUGCAAUUUCUAUCGCUCCUUUAGGCAAUGAACUUUCCAUCCAAUGCCUUAUAGUCUCUUCUUCAACAAAAACAUUAUCAGUUGGCUUUCUCUUUGUGAAAGUUUCUAUAAGGACGAUCCCAUAACUAUAAACGUCAGAUUUUAUAGAAACAAGUCCUGCAGAUCCAAAUUCUGCAUUUCAAGUAUAAUUAGAACAUCAUCAGUCCUCAAUUAUUUGAUAAAUCUAUGUAUAUCCACAUACACGAGAAACAAAAAUAUAAAACGCAAAUUAGGAAAAUAAUCGUACAAAGAUAAAAAAAGAAUUCACCUGGUGCCAUAUACCCGAUUGUUGCAAGAGUCAUGGUUUGCUUCAUUACUUCACCUUCUCCCAACAAUUUGGCAACGCCAAAAUCUCCAACAUGUGCAACCAUGUCUUCAUCUAGUAAAAUAUUGCUUGGUUUUAUGUCACAAUGAAUUAUAGGGGUUGGAUGUCCAUUGUGGAGGUGUUCUAUAGCCACCGCAACAUCUAUCAUUAUGUCGACCCUUUGUAUGAUAUCAAGGAAACAAUUUUUAGAAUGUAACCAUUUCUCAAGGUUUCCAUUAGACAUGUAAUCAAGCACCAAGGCUUUGAAGUCAACACUUGAGCAGCAAGUAAUGACCUUCACAAUAUUACGAUGAACUAUAUGAAGCAUAGCAUCACAUUCAAUGUCAAAACUCCUAAAUGCUCCCUCUGUUUGCAAAUUGAAAACUUUUAUUGCAACUUCCAUUCCAUCUGAAAGCCUCCCUUUAUAUACAUAUCCAAAACUCCCUGAACCAAGCAUAUUGCUUUCCUCAAGUCCAUUAGUUGCUCGUGAAAGUUCAGCAUGUGAAAUUCUUCUCGGUGUCUUCAAAGACAACAAAUCAUCUUUAAUUGGUAGAGCUGUACUCCUUCUUUGGCAUCUUCUAUACAUAAUAGUUAAGACUAUUAGUACUACGACAAUACCAAUUGUUGGUAAACCAUACCUAAAAGCAUGCAAUAUAAUCGUUUGGGAGUUUUUGUGGAUGUCGUUUUUACAAGGUGGGACUAGCAAUCUAGGUGGACCACAAAGUGCAUAAUUCUUCAUGAAUGAUGUGCUAGAAAAGUUUGAAAAACAUCCUUCGCUGGGAAUUUCCCCUUCAAGUCUAUUGAAAGACACAUUAAAAUACUUUAGAUAUAAAAGCUUUUCCAAAGAUUUGGGAAUGACUCCAGAGAGAUUGUUAUUGCAUAAAUCCAAGAAUUCCAAACUAAUCAACCCAUCAAAUGAUUCAGGGAUAUGACCAUGUAGUAUAUUAUUUGAUAAAUCUAAUGAAACCAAAGUUAUAAGACCCCCAAAUGUGGAUAAGAUAUCGCCCGUGAGAAGAUUCCUUGAUAAAUUUAGUUUCAGUAGACUCCUCAAAUUUCCAACAUCAAUAGCAUGUGAAUUGUGAAGAUGGUUUGAUGAUAAGUCUAUUUCUAAGAUAUCUUUAAGAUUCCACAAAGUUGAGGGUAUUGUAGAACUCAAUUUGUUGGAAUCUAAGUAAAGAUAUCCCAAAGAAGUAAUAUUACCCAAACAAGAGGGUAUGGAUCCAUGCAGCUUAUUCAACCCUAAAUACAUCUUGUAUAGUCUCUCCAAAUCACAAAGGCUUUAUGAGAUGGGCCCUCCUAAUUUAUUAGAGGAAAGAUAUAGACCUUGGAGAUUUCUCAUUCCUCCUAUUGAUGCUGGAAUCAAUCCACUUAAUUUAUUAUAGUCAAGUUGUAAAAGCAAUAGGUUGGUUAAGUUACCUAUUUCCAUAGGAAUAAUGCCUUGAAGCUCACACUCAUCGGCAUAAAAGUAUUGAAGGGAUUUUGAAAGGUUCCCAAUAUAAGUAGGAAGAACGCCACUCAAUGGAUUUCCUGAAACACCUAUUUUUCUCAAAUUCCUACAAUUCGUCAAAGAAGAAAGAAAGCUCCACUCAUGAUCAGUAGCAGAUCCUGUGAUCAAAUUAUUGUCAAAGAUUUUGAGCACUUCAAGGUGUUUUAAGCUGCCAAGCAUUUUAGGGAUUGGGCCAGAGAAUAAGUUUCGUGACAACUCUAGUUUCUUAAGCAUGGAAGCAUUGGAGAUAGAGUUGGGAAUGUUUCCGCUAAGUUUAUUUCUCCACAAUAAAAGAAUCUCAAGCUUUGGAGCAUUGGUGAUUGGUGGUAAAUCACCUGUGAAAUAGCAUCUUUUAGUAUACACAUUCAUUGAAUACCAAAUUCACAAAAUAUAUAAUACAUUAAAAUAAAAACUGUAAAACUUUAAAUCAAUUAAGAAUAAAAUUUUGGCAUGGAAAAAUGUGAUGAAAUCAAUUAGAAAGUUGAGACAUAAUAAGAAGUUUUGAGUAGUAAUUACUCAUGAUUUCUAUAGACAAAACAUAUAAUACACUGAUAAUUUUUUAAAAAAUAUUGUAAAACCUGAAAUAAAAUAAAAAAUAAAAGUUUGGCAUGAGAAUGUGGCAUCUAAUCAUUCUUAAAAAUAAGACUAACAUUGAAUAAUAAUUAGUUAUGAUUUGAGAAACAAAAAUGUUAAAGAUGUAAACUGGUAUGAUUUUUAUCUAUUGGGUUAAUUAUUUAUUUUUAUUAAAUUAUAUAUAGUGUAAAAUUUAAAGAUUAUUAUUUGCUCAAAAUUUUUGUAUUUUUCGUAUAUUUGAAAUUUAAUCUUUAUAUUUUUUAUUUUCUGUGAUUUAGUCUCUCUACUUUUUGAAUUGAAAAUUUUAAGUUUAUUUAUUAACACUGUUAAAAAGUUUUUGUGUUAGUAUGGCAUUUUGAAAAAUAAAAUAAAAUUGAUAUCUAUGUUUUUAAUUAUUCCAAAUAUUGUUUUACUAUUUCAAGAUAAACUUUUUGUGUCUAUACCAAUAUCUUAAGAACUAUUGUUGCAUGUUUAAUUAUUCUAAAGAUUUGUUGAUUGAGUCUUGGUUGAAGUGCAUUAUUCUCCUAUUUAUGAAUUGGGGAGUUGAUAAAGUACUUUAUUUUAAUAUAUUUUAAAAUAUUAAAAAUUUAUUAAAAUAUUUUUUAUAAAACUUGAUUGUACCACAAUAUACAAUUUUAAUAUCAAAUUUUUAAUUGUUUUUUAAAAAUAUUAGCGAAUAUAUACUUUAUUUCAAGUUACACAAUUUUUACUAGCUUUUAACUUUUUUUAAAAUUUUUAUCGUCUUUUAUAAUUUCUAAUAAUUUUUUAUAAUUUUUUACAAUAUUUACAAUUUCUAACAAUUUUUAAUAAUUUUAUUAUUUAUUUCAAAUUUAAAAAUUAACAAAUUUUUAUUUUUUUAAAACAAUUAUAUAUUUAUAAUGUAGUUAUUUUUUUAUAAUUUUUUUUUGAAAUUUAAAGAUUUUUUUGGUUUUUUUUUUCUAGAUGAUGAUGCCAUCAUGAUGCCAUCAUAUGCCACAUGCCUUCUAAUUUGUUGUCAUAUAGACAUAUUUCUUCGAGCGUAGUUGAAUUAAAAAUACUUGAUGGAAUCUGACCUGCACACAUAGUCGAAAAUUGAAGUGAAAAGCAUACCUUCUAAGCUGUUAAACUAAAAAUACUUUAAGCAUAUUUUAUUUUCCAUCAAAUUAACUAUUUUGCCUUGAAUGAAAUAAAAUGUUCUUAUUUUUGUUAUCUAUUACAAAUCAAACUCUUUUAUGAAAAAACUAUUUUAAAUUAAAGAAACAAAGAAAAUUCAAUAUCUUCUAAGUUAUUCCACUCCAAAUAUAAUCUUCAGUGAAGAAAUCUUGAAGAUGGAAGAUGGAACCUUACCAGAUAAUUGAUUGAAUCCCAAGCUCAAGGACUCUAGAUUAGACAUGUUAACAAGUGUUUCAGGGAUUGUGCCUAUAAAGUUAUUAUUUUUCAUUUUCAGCCUUCGAACUCCCUGUAAGUUCCCAAGCCAUGAUGGAAUUUCCCCAUUAAGACUGUUGUAUUUUAAUCGAAGGAUCCUCAAACGAUGCAAUUGGCCCAAUUCUUUAGGGAGAUGGCCAUAGAAAUGGUUUCUACUCAAGUCGAGAGAGAGUAGAAAUGAAAGAUUUCCAAGGUGUGGAGGGAUACUACCCCUAAGAUUCAUGCUUUUAAGUUUCAAAGCUAUAACUCUUUUAUGGAGGAUGCCACAAGAAACACCAAUCCAAUUGCAAACAGAGGUUGAGGCCGUCCAAUUGUUUGCCAAGACAUUUUGAGGACCGGCAAUGCGAUCCUUAAACUCGAGAAGUGCAAACUGAUCGGAGUUGAGAUUCCUGACUGUCAUACCCCAGCAAAGUCCGGAACAUGGUACGAAUAAAGCUAAAAGAAGAUGAAAGCAAGUGUUGUAGUUCAUGAUAGCAAGACGGAAUAAGCCAAGAAAAUAAAAAAAAGUAGGACAAGGGAAGUUGAGUUGAUAAAAUAGUUUGGAUGAUGAAGAAAAGCCCAGAGAGCAUGCUUUAAUAUGUUUUGAAGAAAUUUCAAAAUAAAUUUCAAAAUAAAUUUCAAAAUAAAAAUUUAAAAAGGAAAGCAAAGUUUUGAAGAAAUUUCAAAAUAAAUUUCAAGUCUUCUUCUUUAAAAAAUACGUACAAAGAGCGAAUUUUCAAAAUUUCUCCUAAAUUUUCUUCACAUUACUCCACAUAAUCCAUUAAAAAAACUUAAAAAAUAUAUUUUAUUAAUUACUAUACAUUCUUUUACUUUCAGAAUAAUAAAUUGUUUAAAAUUUGCUAUUAGUCCCUGUAAUUUAAAAGUUAAAAAAAAAAUUCAAUCCUCCUACUUUUCUAAUUUAAAAAUUCUAGUUCAAUCAAUUUUAAUUUUAAAAUCUUUGUAUAAAAGGUGUUUUUUUUUUGUGACCGAUCACACUUAACCAAUAUUUAAAAAUUAUUAAAAAAUAUUUUUUUUUGAAAUUUAAAGUGAUCUAAAAACAUAUUUUUAAGUACUUUGGACAGUCUAUUGUUGAUUUCCUUAUUAUAUUAAGUGUUUGCAAUCACUCCUAAUAUAUUGUGCUUGAGUUGUGACAAAGUCGAUCAUCAAAUUGCCAUAAUGAUCUAUUGAUGCUGAAAUUAAAGUUUUUGUUAUAUUGAUAGAGCUUGUCCUUCAACGCGUACAACGUGUUUGUUAUUUUUCUCCCUUCAAAUUGUAUGAUCUUAUUCAUUAAAUGAAUUAAUGAAUUUCCCUUUUAAAAAGAUAUAUUUUUAAAAAUUAAAUACUUUAUAAAAUAUUUAAAAAUUUGUAAGCCUUAAAACAAUCAACAAAAUAUUUUUGAAAUUUUAUAAAUAUAUUUUAAAAUUAUAGUAACGCUACAAAAUAUAUAUAUUUACUAAUUAUAUGCACCUUUUUUAUUUUUUUUCCUAACAUAUCAUUAUUUUCAACACUAUCGUAAUCCUGUUUUGAUAAUUCCCUUUCCAUACAUCCUUUUUCUACAUAGAAUUUCAAAAGAAAAUGUGAAUUAAUGUAAACGUGAGAAGACUUAAUUACAUUUAUUAGUUUAUCAAUCAAAACUUAAUUAGAAUCCAUCAAUAUUUCACACAUCAAAAACCCAAACAUAAAAUUCACUUUUAAAUUAUUUGAAGAUACAUUUGUAUUAUAGGAAAUGGAUUAAAUUAGUCUUUUAUUAUUAAAUGUAUUAUUUUAAUCUUUGUAUUAGGUAUGAAUUGUAUCUCCUAGAUUGAAGCCAAAGCUAUUCUUGAAAGACUGAAAUUAAGAUUCAGAUGUGUUGAGAUGGAAAGUGGCAACACAAUGUUGAUUGAAACUAUUUAUAACGGGUUGGCUACAAUAAGUAGUGCUGCCGAAGUAAGACAGAUUCACGAUUGGUGUUCCAAAAAUUGGGAAGUCAAAUUUCGACAUAUUCAACGAAAUGCCAAUAAAGUUGUUGAUUGCAUAGCUAAGGCAAAUGGAGGCGUAAUUGAGCAGCUGGUUAUCUUGGAAGAUCCUCUGCAUUAUGUGAGAUGCUAGCUUGAAGAAGAUAUUAGACAGUCACUAGUGACUGAUGAUAAUUUUCAUUUGGACUGAUGAGCGCUUAAUUUUCUAAGCUUAUGUUCAACAAAAAAAAAUUUAAAUACGUCUAAAUUGUAAUAGAGUUAACAUUUAGUGUUUAAAAAAUAUCUUAAAAAUUAUUUUUUUCCAAUUGCAGUUCAAUUCCACAAAUAUCGACGAUGAACCCGGACAUAAAAAUUACAGAAAAAAAAACACAUCUAUUAUCAAACCAGCAAUCCAUGUCUAAACUUAAAUUAACAAAAUUUGCCACACAACGCCCGGUACACUAUUAUAUAUCUAUACUAGAUUUAUUCUAGAUGCACAUGUUUUAUUAUAUUUAAAAAUUAAAAUGUAUGGUUGACUAAGUUUUAGUUGAGUUAGUAUUGAUAUUAUUGUCAGUGUAGGAAAAUGUGAGUUUAAUCACGCUCAAAUGUGUUUUAUCCUCCAAUUCAAGGGUUAGGAAAAGGUUAUUGAUAAUUAAAUUAUACCAACUUUUAUAAUAUUAAAAAAAAGGAUUUAUAAAUAAUAUAAGGAAAAGAAAAAAAGAGAAACAUAUUCAUAUUGAUGGGCUCUUUCAAUAUUAGACUUUUUUUUCUAUCACAAGUAAAAAUAUCAAAGGUGAUAAUAAUUAAAUUAUAAAAUUUAAAUUGAGAAAAUAGGGGAUAAAAUUUAUAAGUUUUAAAGUAUAAAGAAUGAAUUUAUAACUAACAACAUAUUUUAACCACAUAAUAAAAGUAGUUAUGGAGAGGAUCAUAUAAAAUGCAAAAAUGAAAUAAUAGAAAAGAAAUAAGUGUUGGGUAUAGUGGCAAUGUAUAUUAUACUUCUAAGGGGAGAUCAAGAUUUUAGACAAGGGAAGAAUUUUAAACCUGCUUUUUUCUCUAGAACUCAACGCAAACCUCAAAUUUAUCUUUUUAAAAGAAUUUAAAAAUAUCUAUAUAAAAGGUGAUUUUUUACCGAUCACACUUAACAAAAUUAAAAAAAAAUUGAAAUUUAAAGUGAUCUAAAAACAUAUUUUAAAGUGCUUUUGACCAUCUUGUGCUGAUUUCUUUAGUAAUUUGAUUUGUUCAAUAUAGAUUUUGGUGACUUAAAACAAAAUUAAUAAAAAAAUAUUUUAUCAGAUAUCUUUUUAAUGUUUAAUAAUAAGUUAAUUUAUAAAAUAUACUUUCAUUGGACACAGGGCCUCCAAGGCGGUGAACCACUAAUCAAAUUAAUUUUGAGAUACUUAAAUUUGUUUUCAUCAAUUAAGAAAUUAAAAAAAUUUGUUGAGACCUCAUGAUUAUGUUUUAUAAUUUCAGGCUUAUCAACUAUUUUGAAAAACAACAAAACGUCUUACACCAAAAACUAAAAAAAUAAAAACGUCGACAUUAAAUUUGUUGCCAUGCAAUCAAUUUUAAGAUGGUUUUUGGAGUUAUAUAUCACCUUAGCAUUGACUUACUUUUCUACACUUAGUCUUCUCCAACAAGUUAAAUAUUUCAAUUUUAACAACAUUGACAGGUCUUUGGGGUAGGGUCGAGCAAAACUCAAUAUAGGCUGAGUUGGCUCGGCCAAGUCGAGUCGACUUGUUCAAAUUAUUUAAAUUCGUAAUUUUUAAGGUGCAGUUAGAAUUUUUUGUUUUGAGAUGCUAAGAUUAAAAUAUUUCAGUUGCUAAAACAAAAUAUUUGUAUUUAAAAAGGCAUAAAUUAAAUAAUUAAGUUUUUCGAGUUUCCAUUUAAUCAAAGGUUAAAAGGACUAAAUUGAAGCUUUUUAUUUUUAAGAAAGGCUGAAUGACAAAUUGCCCAAAGCCAUGCCCCUAGCUAUACAACUAACUUCUCUAUGAUUAGUCCUUCGUUUGCUUUGGGUGAAAUCUUCCAACUAGCCUCAUCCUUGGUUUUACUUUCCAACAAUUAGUGUAUCACGAGUUUUGUUUUCUUUAAAAAAUAUUUGUGGAUAUUAGGAGAUAAUGAAAAUUAUUUUACUAUGAAAUUUUAAUAAAACUGGAAAAUAAGUAAUUUAUUUUAAGAGGUCGCAAUUAAACGUUAGAUUUCCAAUUUUUAAAUUUUAAUUUUUUUUUGACAAUUGCAUAAUAUUUUGAGUGUUGUAGGAAUGCCAUAAUAUAACCUUCCCUAAACAUAAUCGACUCUUGAGCAUGAUGGAUCCUAGAACUUCUCCUCUAUUCUCGUACCGCAAAUUGCUUCAAGUGUGGGUUCGAACAAUCACAAAUUAAACACAAAACCAGAAAUGAUUUAUUACUUUCAAUAGCAAGGUAAUUCUCUCUCAAUAGAAACCAAUAGAAGUGUAAUUCUUAGAAAAUAAAAUUUAUUUUUUGAAAAUAUAUUCUCACUACUUUCUAGCAGAAUAACAAUAUGUGAAACUUAUGUCUUGUGUUAAUAGCUCUACCAGUACUCUCUAUUUAUAGGGAGAGAUACGAGAAUCCUGGUUGAAUUAGUAAAACACGAAUAAUAUUUAUUUCAUAGAAAACAAUAUUCCACCCUAAGUAGAUCAAGUUUGUAUGACGCAUGGAUCAAAGCUCAAUCUAGGAGGAAAAAAAUAAAGGAAUUUUCUUUGUAAAGAAAAUUUGAGAUUGUACUAUUUUCAAAGUUAUAAAUAAAAUUAUACGCCAAAUUUUUAAGUCAAUUUCAACUCCAAUUUUGUAUGCACAAAUUUCUAGUACACUUGGUGGGACAUUCUUUGACUUUUAUCUAUUCUCUCAAAAAGUUAAAGUUCAAAGUUACAUUAAACUCAAAGAAGAUAAUCAUUAGUAAACCACCUCACAAGCCUGCUCAAACUAAUCCUACAACUCAUUCCACUUCAUCAUCAAACACCAAUGUUCUUGCUUAUCCUUAUGGAAUUAAACAGUCUCAUUUUCUGCAUUUUGGGUACACACCUGGUUUUAUUUGAUGCUAAAACAGUCCCCGAGCACUCCAAAGCCUAUAAUUGAACAAAUAAUACUAAUUUAAUCUUACAUAACAUGAUCCCAAAUUGAACUUGUAUCGAGGUUUUAACCCAUAAGUGACUAAACCUUACCUUCAACCGAGUGAACAGUAAUUCCCACACAAACUAAGACUCCGAUUGAAGAUUACGAGCCAUUGAAUCCUCCCCUAAUUGGCAUAAACAAAACACUUCAAAAGAAAGUCAACAAAUGGAGACAAAUCACUUAUCUAAAACUUACCGAACGAUCACAGACAAACGUGAAGCGACACGAGGCAGAGUGGGAAAAGAAAAAUCAAGAGGAUGAAGGGUGAAAGAGAGCAGAAAUUCGGUAGCAAUGAAGAGAAAAACGGCAAGAAAGUGGAGGGAUUUUGGGGAAAGUAAAAAAAAAGAUGAAUAGAAUAUUUGAUAACUACCCCAAUCCCUUAUUUCUCUCUAUCAAACUCCCCACUAAAUCCACUACUCAAAUUUUUAGUCCAUCUCAAACUCUCCUGGACGCACGAGCAAAAAAUAAUGCCCAUGCCAAAAUUUAAACAAAAGACCUCCUUCACACCAACACUCCACUUAUCCACCAGACCAAUAGGCUCAUUCUUUUAAUUAUUUUCCAACUUUUACUUAAAAGCCUACUGACCAAAGAUAGGGCUUAUUCAUAAAAAUACCAAAUUUUGCCCAAGACCUGGCUUGAACUUGGGACCUCCCAAACACACCCAGAACACAUAACCACUAAAGCAGACAUAAAUUUUGUGUCACACAUUCACAAUACCCAAAAUUAAAAUUUUAGGGCGUUACAAAAACACAUUAAAUAAUAUCGCAUAAAAUAAUCACAGUUAGAUAACAGUUCAGAAUGUCGAUUUUACAAUUUAACCACCAAUAGUAUCACAGUAUUCACAGUUGUAAUUUCAGAAUAUCAAAUUUCCACAUGAUUCACAAUAUUCACACAUAUAUAAAUAUAUCAUAAUAGAAUUCCAGAUUUGUAUGCACAUGAUUUAGAAGAUGCCAUACAAUUUUGGUUUUUAACAGAAUAAAUCCUACCCCACGUUACAUACCAUAAUGGGAGUUCCCCUAAACUCCCUUCUCCAACACACUAGGUUAUGGAUAAACCACUAUUGGUUCACAAAUAAUAACUGUCAUUUGGCUGUGGACACACAGCAAGUCCCCACAAUUGGAUUCUAGAUUUGGUUGUGGAUUCACAGCAAAAAAAUCCUACAAAUGAAGCCUGCUUUUGCCUGUAGAUUAUACAACAUAUACCCGCAGUUGGAAUCUGUCUUUGGCUGUGGAUGCAGUGUAACACCGCAAACUCGACCUGGACAUUAUGGCUGAAUCUUGAUGAUUUACUUUAACUCGCUAGAAAACCCACGAAUUUACUUUAAAAUCAUGUGGUUAAACUAGUGUUCACUUUGAUAAAUUGUUUUCCAGUUUUAGAGAAAUUUCUUGUUAAAACUGUUACUUUAUUACAAUAAAACAUUAAAGUAAUUGUAUCAUUUUGUAGUGGAAUCUACUAAGCUAUAAGGUUUUGAAAAUCGUGAUUUAGUUUGCAACAAAUCAUUUUGCAAAUAGAAAUUUAAUACUACUUAAUUUGGAAAAUCACGCUAAAACGAAAGCAAAGUCCAAAAUAAUUUACGGUUUGAAAUUCUAAAAAGCCCAAAUUAGACAUAAAGUCUAUUUAAACCAAUUUAUUGAAAGUGUAACACCCUAAACCCGGCCUAUAUGUUAUGGCCAAAUCUAGAUGUGUUACGAAAAAAAGUUUAUAAAAUGACUUCCUUGUUAUUGGCAAACCAUCGUAACCAUUAUUACUUAGUAUAUCUGAUUUGUUUGGAAAACUUAUUGAUAUACUUAUUUGAUUUAAAAUCGUUGCUCGCUUAUGCCUUUUUAUUAAACCAAAUAUUUUGCAGCGGAGUUUCUUUACAACAUCAUAUUUUGGAAAAUCAAAUUGUUUCUUGAAAAUCGUUAUUUUAGAAAAGUUUUCAUUUUCAGAAAAAUUAUUUUAUCAGUUGUUAUGCUGAGAAAACAAAAUAAAAUCCAAAACCAAAAAUAAUCGCAAAAAGUCUAGAGAGUCCCAAAAUGACAAUACUCUUAAAACUAGACAAGCUUAAACUAAUUUUAAAAGAAUGAAAUUUUACAGAAAUGUGGACACCACUGAGCUUCCGUCGCACCGACCCACCUAAAUCUGAGGGUUACUUGAACAGAACAAACAAACAGAGAGUGAGUUUUGAAACUUAGUGUCUAACGCAUAUAUAAACAAAAAUUCAGAAUCAAUCUCAUGCAGAACAGAUACAAGUGUAAACCUUUUAUAAAAUUAGAAUUGUACAGAUACAAAUAUGCAACAUCCUACCCUCAUCCUCUACACACCAACUCCGACCAUCCUAUCACACCACGUGGGGUAUAAAAUACCCAUCCAGCCCUACACACCGUAUAGUGUUUAUAUGACACUUUUUGGAAUAAUCGCAGCAGAGUUGCCAGUAUAUAUGCGAGAUAUCACCUCACAUAGAACACUUCCUCCUCAUAAUACAAAUCCCGCCUCAUAGCUAGAUACAGACAAAAUAUGAUGUAAAAUAAAUUAACAGAUACUAGAGUUAACAUAUCACGCGUGAGCGUAUAAUAGAUAUUACACAUGCUUAUGCAUAACAAAAUAGAUCAUACAUAUUGUAUUCCAUAAUACUCAUAUAAAUGUUAUUUACGUCAAUCUCAAUCUAACAGAGUAGCAGAUUUCAUGCUUUAACGCUUAUACCACACAUAUAGACCCUAUAGAAGGCCCACAGUCGAUCGAGACAACAUGUAUGUCGCUAGGGAAAAAAUUUGUAAUUUGGGCCCAUAUACAUGUAUGAGCCCACACACCCAAAAUGGCCUUGCCCAUGUGGCUCACCAACCUAGCACUCAGCCCAUACGGUCCAAAAUGGCCUAGGUCGUGUGUCACACACAGCCGCAUGUUGCACACAGCCUACCACAUAGCCAGUCACAAAACUGUUUGGAGUUGAAAAGCCCAAUUUUUGGCUUUCGUCAAUCAUCAUUUUCUUACGUUUUCAUUACACACCUGGUUUGAUUCUGACGCAAAAGCAACCCUAUGUCCACCGAAACCUAAAAAUAGCAUUCCAACGCCCAAUUUCAGUGAACAUUUACAAAACUCAAACAAAAACUAUCCAAAAACAUAGCCUCACAAUAGCAUCCAACGCACUCGCACACUUAUCGUCAACAAAUAGGAAACACCCAACACUCAAUUCGUUGGCGGAGCACCAAUUAUGAUAAUGCAAAAAUUUUAUGGAUUCUCAACACUAUCGAUCCGAAUGUAAGAUUGAUGCUUUCCAAUUAUGAUAAUGCGAAAAUUUUGUGGGAUGGUUUACAUGAAUUUUUUUUGUUGUCAACGAUCAACGUAUUCAAUAAUUAAAAUAAAAUAUUAGUCGUUUUUAGAAAACCAAGACUAUGAGUGUUGUAGUUUAUUUCAGUAAAUUAAAGGUUUUGUGGGAUGAACUAGAUAAUCAUGAACCAUUGAUUUGUUGCAAGUGUGGACAAUGUUUAUGUAACUUAGGGAAGGCGCAUGAACAAUGUCGUGAGCAUGAUUGACUUCAUCAAUUACUUCUUGCUCUCUAUUGUAAUUGUUAUGCUCAAACUAGGUUUACACUGUUUUACCAAGAUCCUUUGCCUUCCUUAAAUCAGGCAUUCCAACAAAUUACUUAGGAGGAACAUGUACGUGGAAUUACACUGAUUAAGGAAGAGAAGUCUGAUAUUUUAGGCUUUGCUAUGCGUACAGAGGGUCAUAACAAAGGCCGAGCUAAUUGUAUUGAUAAGUCAACCUUGUUGUGCACUCAUUGCCAUCGCAAAAGGCAUGAGAUGGCUACCCAUUUUGAAUUACAUAGCCACUUGGAUUGGCGGCUUAAGAAGUAUGGGAAGCCAGAGAAGAAAAGUGAUGAUCGUGGUGGUAAGACAAGUGCCACAUCUUCCACGUAAGUGUUUUAUUUCAAAGGAUCACAAUUAAACAUUAGAUUUCUCAUUUUUAAUUUUUUUAUUUUUUUAACAGCUACGUAAUUAACGAGUACCAAUUUUGGGUGUUGUAGGGGUUCUAUAACUUUCCCUAUAUGUAAUCGACUCUUGCACCCACUUUUUUUUCUCUAGAAUUCAAUGCAAACCUUAGAUUUAUCUUUUUAAAAGAAUUUUAAAAUCUCUUUAUAAAAGACGAUUUUUUUAGGUGACCAAUCACACUUAAGAAAAACAAAUCGGUGGCAACUCCUUUCUAAUAAAUGUAAAAAACUUUUUAAACAAAAUAAGGUUGAAAUAAUCUAGUUGUCGUUAUACUUUGAUAAAAUUUUAGAUUUAGUCCUUAUACUUAAAAGGUUAAAAAUUAAGUCUUGUUUUUAUUUAAAAAUCUUAGUCCUAUCGUUAAUAUUGUUUUUUUUUGUCAAAAUUUGUCAAGUUGACAUAUUAAUUAGGUUUCUCUUAUAUAUCGUGGUAUAUGACUAACACAAAAUAAACAAGUUGACAAAAUCUACAAAAAAUAUCAAAGAUGAUAAUAGUUUAAUUAAAAUUUUUAAAUUAAAAAAGUAAGGGAUUAAAUUUAUAACUUUUAAAGUACAAUGAAUGAAAUUAUUGAAAUACAAGAACUAACAACAUAUUUUAAAAUAUUACUAGUAAAUUAUAUAUCUACAACAAGAAUUGUAACCUCUUAUAUUAUAUUCUUGUAUCUAUUUUUGCAUCUUUCAUUAUAAUAUGAUUUAUUAAUUUUAAUAUUUUUAUAGAAUAAUAUGCUUUAAAUAGUUUUUUGUAUAAUUUAUAAAAAUUAUAAUAAACUUACAAAAUAAUUUAAUGAUAUUUAAUUAUUAACCAAAAAAAAUGAUAUCAUAUAUAUUAUGUAUAUAUUAAGAUUCCGAAUCAUUAAUUAUAUAUCUACGCAUUAUAAUAAAUUCAUCUUUCAAAAUUUUCCUUAUAAUUAAAGCAUAAAUUAUAUUUAUAAUAUUAUAAAUAUAUUUUAUCAUAAAUAUUCUUUCAAAUAUUUUUUAAUGUUUAAUAAUAAGUUAAUUUAUAAAAUAUUUUUUCAAUAAAUUAAUGUGAUGAGAUCGUUAGGUGCUUGGAUUUGGUGAAGGGGGAUGAAGAGAAAAGGGAUGGAAGUGAAUAAAAAUGUUGAGAAAUCGAAAGGGUUAGCGAGGGAAGCCGCCAUGAAAGGUGGUUCAAUGGAUAUGAACCAUCAAGCUUUUGUGGAUGAUGUUACUCAAGGUUGUUGCAAGUAAAUUAAAAAAUAUUUUUUUAAAUUAUUUUUUUGUUAAAAAACAUUUUUUAUUUUUUAUGUGGCAUGCCACAUUAUCAUAGUAUCAUGUGACAACUUCUGGUGAUUUCUGUCUGUAACAUUAGUCAAAUCAACAGUUAAAUCGUUCAACUCACAGUUUUUGUUAAAUGAAGAGGUCAAUUGGUUUUUUUGGAAUCAUUGAGUACUCAAUUGGUGCACUUUUAUCAUAAAGGCUAAAUUAAUUUUUUUAAUUUGUUAUUGUUGAGGGCUAUAACAAUAAAAAAAUUAAUGUAAAAUGAAAAAAAUGUUAGAGCUAAAUUUGUCAUUAUAACUAAAAUGUAAAACCAAAAUUUUUUGAAAAAUGAAAAAAAUGGAAAAUCACAAAUUCUAUCACUUAUGUUUGCUUAAAAUUAUAGUUUUGGUCACCAAUCUUUUGAAGUAAAUAUAUGGUCACCAAUAACUCACCUUAAAGUUAUACCCCUACGCAAGAAAGGAUUAAAUGACAUUGGAAUACCAUAAAACUUGUAUCUUUUUUUAUUCAUCUAAUACCAUUUUAACAUUUUCAUUUUAAAAAAUUGACAUAUCAUUUUGAAUUUGAUCUUUUUCAUGGUAUCUCAAAUUCAUUUAAUCUUUCCCUCUCUAAAAAAGCUAAUGUAACACAUUAAUGACAUCAUUUCAAACAAAGUUUUAGGUCAAAUUAUUCAUCUAGUCCUUGUAAUUGUUUUUAUAGGUGAAUUUCAUUAUUAUUCUUUUAUUUUCUUAGGCUUAAAUACACAUUUACCCCUAAUUUUAUCCCAUUCUCCUUAAUUGGUAUUUAUGGUUUAGAAAAUUUUAUAAAUAUAUUAUUUUUUAAGAAAUUAUAAGAAGAUUACAAAAAUUCCAAAAUAAUAUAAAAAAGCCAAGGAAAACCUAGAAAUUCAAAAAAAAAAAAAAAACGUCGACAUUGAAUUUGCUGUUUCACAUUCAAUUUUUGGAGAAGUAGAAUUUUCUAACUUAUUUUCCAUCAACUUGACUUCAAUUUUCAAUCACAAUCAAUUGCAUUCAAGAGCACCACAUCUGUUUGGAUGAAACAAACCUCUCAAUUUUAAGAUAAACGGGUCUUUAGGGUUAUAAAUUGAGGGCCUUUUCCACAAUUGCGGGUGAUUCGUUGAUAAUAACCUCAACAUUUCUGUAUCACAUUUCAAUUUUUAAUUUUUAGAGAGAUGAUUGGGUUACAAGACUGGUUUGAAGUGAAGAUAUUUCAAAAGAAGAUCGAAUACUCUACCAAUAGUCAUAAUUUAAAAUUCAGGUUAUGUUUCAUUUCAGCUAAGUUAAAUGUUAAGAUUGAGGUUAAACCUUUUAGAGGUUGCUCACAAAAGGAUCAAACCUUUAUAAAAUUGCCUAAAUGAAGGUUAAACCUUUUAAAAUAGACAAAUAAGGGCCUAACCUUUUAAAAGGUGUUCAAAUAAGGGUUUCUCAAACGUUGUAUAUCAGGUUAUGUGUUUUACUCUAAACACAUCGACAUUUACCUAUUUUUUCUAUAAAUUUGGUUGAAGUGCAUGAAAAAUCCUUAUUUGAGCACUUUUGUAAAGGUUAAUCUCUUAUUUGACCAUUUUGAAAGGUUUGAUCCUUAUAUAAGUAACCUCUAAAAGAUUGAGCACUAAUUUGACAAGUUUGAGAAAUAUCUAAAUUUGUUUUCAUGAAUCAAGAAAUUAAAAAAGAAAUGUUGAGAAAUAUUUUAGAGAUUCUUAGCUUUGACAAGUUCCCUCCACCAUCUCCCUGCCUCCAGUCCCACCUCUUCUCUUAUGCUCCUUCCAGCUUCUUGCCUUUUGUGUGUUGAAAAUUCAAAGGAACAAAAUAUCAACCUACAUCAUAAGGCACGAUCGCCAGAACUUUACUUUCUAGCCUGUCGAUCCGAUCCAAUCCAAUGAAAGAAGAACAAGGAGUCUUAAGAUCUGUCAACUUUAUUUCAUUUUCAUUUUCUUUGUCAUUUUCUAUGUUUCAUGUCGAAUACAAUGAAAGAAGAACAUAGAAAAAUGUGGCCUAUUUAUUUCCCAAUCAUCAUGAAAUUACUUGCCAUUGACUUAGAAUUUUCUCACCAAUUUUCAAGCAAUCUGACAUGAUUUCUCAAUCACAAUUAAUUGAAUUCAAGAUCUUUUUAGAUGACACAAACAUUUCAAUUUUAACACAAACCAAUAUUUCGGUUAUACUUCAGUGCUUGACAAGCACUUUCACAUUUGUGGGAUAAGAACUCUUAACAUUUUAGGAUCACAUUUAAUUCAAUUGCAUUUAAGACCUCAUGGUUUUAUUCUAUAAUUUCAGUCUUAUCAGCCUUUUCGGAAACAAUAAAACGUCGACAUUAAAUUUGUUGUUGAUGCAUUCAAUUUUUUGAGGGGUCUUUGGAGUUAUAUGUGACUUUAGCAUUGACUGACUUUUUUAUAAUUUAUCUUUUAUAAUAAGGUAAAUAUAUUAAUUUUAAUAACAUCGACAUGUUUUUUAGUAGGGUCGAGCAAAACCCAAUUAAAAUCGAUGAUAUUGGCUUAGUUGACUCGGUCAAGUCCAUUAGAUUGAUAAAAUCAUUUUUAAAAUCAGUUAUAAUGGAUAAAGGUAAUUAAUUAUCGAGUAAUGAAAUACAUAAUCAAAUCAAUUGAUUUUGUUAGAAACUAAAAGAAAAAGGGCUAAGCUGAAAAUUGAUUGCCCUUUAUUAAAAUUAACGAAUCUGUCUUUUACGUAUUAGAUAAUAUGAACAUCGCAUAUAUAAUAAGAAAAAUUACGUAUGAUUAUUUAUUAUCAUAAAAGGUUAGUUUAAAUUUAAAGUAAUCUAAUAUGUUUAUUGAACUUCAACUAUUAAAUAAAGUAUAAGCUAAAUAAGUAUAAAUAUUCUAGAAACCAUUUCUAACUGAUGAUAGGCUAAUUCGAUUAAUUUAUAAAAACUAGAUAGUAGGGUUAUAGUCCUCAAACUACACCUAAUUUAAUAACAUUUAUAUUUUUUUUAGCCUUAAACAUUUAUAGUUUUUGUUAAUUUGGUCCUUACUCUUUAAAAUUACAUAAAAAUUGCAAAAAAAUUAAAAAUUAAUUUUUAUCAUGAUUUUAAUAACAUUUAUAUUUUUUUUGUGGUUUGGUAACUUAUCAACUUGACUCUUACUUGUAACCAACUUUUCUAACCUUUUUCGUACCCUUAACCUAAGUCCCGUUACAAUUUCUAAAGACCUCUUGAUUGGUGUAUCAUCUCGAUUUGUUUUUAUAGUGGUGGAGAUUUGUUUUUUGUAGUGGCAUGAUUGCCAGAACUUUACUUUCUAUCCUGUCGAUCCGAUCCAAUGAAAGAAUAACAAAGAGUCUUAAGAUCUGUCAACUUUAUUUCAUUUUCAUUUUCUUUGUCAUUUUCUAUGUUUCUUGUCACAUACAAUGAAAGAAGAACAUAGAAAAAUGUUGCCUAUUUAUUUCCCAAUCAUCAUUCUAACAGGCCGAAUUAGCCCAGGCCCAAACAUUAAUAAAAUGUCCAGAUUACAAAAUAACCAACCAAAAAUUAAAAGCCCAAAAUAAUAAAAUAAAACCCAUUACAUUAACCCAAAACUCCAGCCCAAUUACAUUGAAGCCCAAAAAAAUAGUUUUUAGAAACCCCUAGGGUUUCUGGAACAAUCCGCGCCGCUCCUCCAUCCGCUUCUCCACGCACGCUGCACCUUUCCACGUGCGCCUCCAGCUGGCAGUGUACCUCCAAUGCAACAAACAAAGCAACAAGCAGCAAAAGAAAUGGAAAAACAACAAAAAAAAAAAGAAAGGAGCAACAAUGUAUAACAGAUUGAUAACAAAUAAUAGAAAAAAUAGCAGUAAAUAGGAAAAAAAAUUAAAAAAUAAUGAGGGUAAUUUCAUUUUUUUCUCUGUUUUGGCUAUAAAGAGAGCCGGUCAAAAUCUCUAAAGGGGGAUUUAGAAAUCAAUCAGAAAACAAGUAUUUUGUACCAACAAUUAGAGAAAAAAAAUACAAAAAUAGGGAUUGAAGGUUUUUUUUUCUUUCGUUUCGAUUUAUUUUAAAAUAGCAUAGAAAAUAAAAAGAAGGCUUACCUUGCGACGCCUUCAGAUCCUCUCGAAAAGGGGCUAAAAGGCCCUAUGUGGCACAGAUUUGACCACUGUUCACGGUGGAACCGCAGCGGAGGCGCAGAGGAUUGGCAUCAAUUUAGGCAGGGUUUGAAACCCUAGCAGAGAAAAAAUUAGGGUUGAUAGAUUUUUUUUAAAAAAAUGGCAAAAUGUUGUUUUAAAAAAUUUUGUUUUAAAAAAAAUUGUUGCUUUUAUAAAGGGUGUAAAACGGCGUCGUUUAGGGCAUGUUUCGAUGGCCCCAAAACGGCGCCUUAUAAGGCAACCCCCGACGACCCGACCUGCUCCAUGGGGGAUCCGCGUGGUUUUUGUUAAAUGGGUUAUGUCUAACCCUGGCCCUUCUACUUUUUAUACUUGUUUUAAUUUGAUCCUCUUUUUAUUUAUUUUUAUUUCUUUAAAUUAAGCCUGAUAAUUUUUUUCCAUUACAUUUUAAUCCUUAAUGAAACGGCGCGUUUUAGAGGAGAAGGGAAAAUUACCCUUCUAGUCCCUUCUUGUUAUUCGAGUGUUCAGAAGGGUCCUUUUUUGUUUAUUUUUUAUUUGCCCCAAAAUUUUGUUUUAAAGCUUAAUUUAGUCCUAUUUUGUUAUUUUAGCUAUUUUAUUAUUAGAUUAAUUAAUUUAAUAUUAUUAUUACUGCUAUUAUUUUACCCCUAUUAUUUAUAUAUUUAUUAUUAUAACUAUAUCAUUAAAUCAAUUAGUUUUUACAUUAUUAUUUCCAUUCUGUUUUUUAUUUACUUACUUAAAUACUUUAAAUGCAUUUAUUUUAUUUCUUAUUUUUUUAUGAAAUUUCAAAACUUUAGACUAUUUUUUUGUUACUAUAACCCUAAUUUCAUUCAUUUUAUAAUAGUUUUUUUUUAAAAUAUUUCUUAGAUUAAUUCCCUCGAUGUUAUUUUGUAUAUUUAUUUAUCUUUUUAAAUUUUCGAUAUUGUCUUAUUGUAUUAUUGUUGUUACUAUCAUUAUUCAUUAUUAUUGUUGAUUUUAUUCUUCUUUGAUUAAUGUUUAUGUUAGAGUAAUAGGUGUUAUGUGAUCAUUGUUAUUAUAUGUUAUAAUUUGUUGACACUCGUAUUGUAGUCAUUCGUCAGCUUAAUAUUUUGAGUAACAUUUUAAAUAUUACAUUAAUUUUGACCCAAAUGCAUAAUUUUUUAAUAAGUAAUAUUUCGUAUUGUGGAAUUUGAGAGAUCAUUCCCUAACUUACGGGGUCUCGAUUUUUUUGAUAAAUCUGAAUAUAAGAACUAUUUUAAAAAAAUACGUUUUAAAAUUAUCUCGGGAAUUUAAAAAGAAGCGUGUUCUAACUUACGGAAUAUGAUCUUUUUUUAAAAAUCGAGAUAAUCAAAUAUCUUUCAAAUAAAUAAACUUUUCGUGUUUAUUCUCGUUUUAGGAUUUAAGAUAUUGUGUCCUAACUCACGGGACACAAUUCUUUUUCUCGAUUAACGUGAAAUACGCCCUUUUUAAUUUUAUCUUUUUAAGUGAUUUUAACAAAAGGAUUGUAUUUUAAAUCUCUUCAAAAUUUUCAAUUUUUCGACAUUGAGACAUUAACUAAUCAAUUAGGUACCAAUUUUGGGCGUUACAAGGGUGUUAACCCUUCCUUGUACAUAACCGACUCCCGAACCUAUUUUUCUGAAUAUUAUAGGCCAAAAUUGUUUUAAUAAAUUAAACCCUUAAGAGGUGACUCGAUCACAGCUCAUAAAAAUUAUCGGUGGCGACCCUUGUUUUAAAAAAGGUGGUUUCAACAGCUUGGCGACUCCGCUGGGGACAAAAAUAAGAGUCAAGCCGCGAGUUGAUUAUUUCUUAUCUUUUUGUCAGAAAUUGUGAAUUCGAUUUAAAUUUAUGAUCUUUUCAUUGCAUUUUAUGGUCUGCAUCAUUUUUAUAUGCUUGCUUUACUACUUCGAGUCUUUUAAUCUUCGCAUAUUGUAUUGCAUAACCGUUCGGUUAUACCCUUUUAAGCGGGAGUGAGAAAUUAUUCUUUCGUGAGGUUUUCACCUUCGUAUAGGAUAGUGGAUUACUUUCAGGAUACAUCCAUACCUAUGUCUUCGUGAGAUUCUCAUCUCCGUAUAGUCAUAGGGAAAUGUAUUCCCCUGAACUGAACUCAGUCCGUAUGAGCCUAUAAUGGGUGAGGAUUGAGGAAUCUGCUGGUUCAGGUACCCUUUCUUUAGAACUAAACCGCAUGUAGUGAGCCCUAAGAGCAUACCCUAGGUAGAACCACUCCAAACCCCUAGUGGUCACCCAAAUAGGUGCUCUAUUUAUUUUUGCUUGCUUGUUUUUGCCUUGUACUAACCUAUUUGUUAUGGUUAUGAGUGCAUUGCAUUUUUAUCAUAAAAAAGAUGUGUUGAUUCACGUUCAGUUGCUAAAUAGAGAGCUUGUCAUGGAAAACGAAUUUCUUGAUAAAGUGGAAGACAAUGCGGUUGUCCGGAUAUGGUCCAAGAAAAUGUGAAGAAAGAAGGGUGAUAGUCUAAUGGAGGACUACACGACCUUGCUUUGUUGCCUGAUGAUUCAAGUUGACAAAGAUUAUUCGAGAGUCUUCAAUGUCCCGACCUUUUUAAAGAAGCUAACGAGCGUCACGAGGAUGAGCGAGUAAUGAGUUGCGGCCCGGAUCAAGCAAAAAAAAGAUAGAGGAGACACCCUUUUUGAAGAGUUCACGAGAUUUAUCUUAACAUCUAGACGAAGAAAAAGAUCAAUCUCUUUGCCUAGAGUAUGAGGGCAAAGCCGUAUAUAUCCGCUUUAUGUAAAUAAAUUUGUUUUCUAGUAAAGUUUUUCUAAUAGGAUUGAAUCAGAAUCAACGUCUCUUUUUGCAUUCAUUCCAUUCAUCUGCAUUGCAUUUCAUUGCAUCUAGAAUUUCACAAAAGGACCCUAAUUAAUCGAAAUUGUUAUAGCUACCUUGAAAAACUAACGAAAAUUUACCAAUUAAAUAUUCCUAUGGUACCCAUUGCAAAACUAAAGUAAUGGAUCAAAUAUUAGAAAGAUUAGAACAAAUGCUGAAGGAUAAACAUAACUGCUUUGGCUUAGGGUACAAGCCAGAUACAAGACAAAGAAGAAAUAGGAAAGGAGAACACGUUUGAGCGGGGAUGAGGUCAAAUGGGAGGGAUUAUUCAUCCCAGGCGAAGAAUGCCAAGAGAAGAAAAUAUUGAAAACAUGUUGGGAAACGUUCACAUCAAUGCCAUAUACGAAGAAGCAAUUGAAGGAGUGACCUUGUUAGAUAUCCGCCCUUAUGAACCUAAGAGUGUGCUAAACAAUUGGACUGCAGAAGAAAUUCUUGUAGUGUUUAGAGCUUACUCAUAGUAAUGUUCAGAACACACUUGUUGCUUUUAGCCUAGAAGUGAUAAGAAUCCCUCUGUGAAAUAGGCUCAUGUAUAAACAUCAUUAUUUUAAUGAAGUACAUCUUUGCAUUCAUUUUGAGCAAAUAUUCUUUUAUUCUUUUCAUACGAGUAAUUAUUUUGGAUUCUUUAAUUCUUUUGGGAUUUUCUUCCAAAAUCAUUCUUUUAUUACAUCCAUAAUCAUACUGUACAAAUAAUGUAAUAGCCUGAAUUUUCAGUGGUGUCGGAAUGGUGAUUCAAGAUCACUAAGUCUGACAAAUGAGUAGAAAAUAUUAUUAAUUUAGUAAGAAUAAGUAAAUGUGAAGUUAGGAAAAUUUUUGAAAUAGUGAAUAGUGUACUAGGAAUAAAUAUUAAAAUAAUUAAAAUAAAAAAUGAGGUAUCGAGACCUCGAAGAUUUUAAACCAAGCCAUAAGUACUUUUAGAAGUAUUUUUAGAGUGUCAUUGAGUUGGUAUUAAAGUUUCGUUAGAAAAUUUUAACGCUCGGAUAGUUAAUUAACCAAAAAGGACUAAAUUGAAAAUAGUGUAAAAUUUGUUAAAUUGUGAUUAAAUAGCUUAAGUGAUUAAAAAGGAGGGAUUUAAAAGGCAAUUAGGCCCAAAUUAUAUGGGCUGGACGGUUGGGUAAGAAAAAUCAGCAGAAUGUAAGGAGAAACAGGGGCAAAAUUGGAAACUUAACAAAUUAAACAUAUAAAACAAAGACAAAAGUGAAAAAUCUAGAGAUCUGCUCACAAUUUAUCAGCAAAAAUGCCAUAGGAGGUCUGAAAGAAGCUGGUUUUUCAUAUAUUUGAAUCAUGUAAGUUUAAUUCUUGAUUAUUUCUUCUAAUUUUUGUGAUUUUGAUACUUUUACAAUUAGGUCCAACUAAUUAUUUCAUUAGUUUUUGAUUUCAUGGCUGAUUUUGAAAGUUACCAUUGAUGAGUGUUGGAUUUUUAUGAUGAAUAAACAUGGAAUUAAAGCUUUAAUUUUGUUAUAUGAUGAUUUUAUUAAGUAAUUUUGAUAGAAAUUGAUUUUUGGGACCUAAUUGUGAAAAAGUUUGGAAUUAGGGUUUGGUGUUGCGGUUUUGAAUAUGAAAGUCUAUGUAGUAGUCUAAAAUAGUUGGAAAAGGUGUUAAUUGAGAAAAAUUAGAUCAAUUGAGGGGUUAAUUGAGUAGGACCAAAUUGUAAAAACUGUAAAGUUUGAGGUAAAAGUGUAAUUUCGAAAAUUUAAGGGCAUAAAUUGUGAAGUGAAUUAGAAUAGAAUUAUAUGCUGAUGAAUGAAUAAAUUUGUAUUUUAGAUCGAGAACCCGAAGCAAGCCGAGGAAAAGAAAAAGUAGUUGAUUAGUCCCUGAACUUUUACAAAUUCUGCAAAUCGACCCAGGUAAGUUCAUAUGGCUGAAAUUUAAUGAUUAAAUGUUAAUUUCAUGAAUUAUGUAAUGUAUGAUGAAAUGUAUUUAGUGUUGAAAUGAGAGUAAAAUAAAAAUGCGAAAAUCGAAUAAAUGAUCAAAUUAAGCGGAACGCCGGAUUUGAGUACUUCUGAUCAAGAGACAAAGUGAUAAGUGGUAGCUUUAGCUACACUUAUCUGAUCAAGUGAAAAAGUGAUAAGUGCUACACUUAUCUGAUCAAGAGACAAAGUGAUAAGUGGUAGCUUUAGCUCACUUAUCUGAUCAAGUGAAAAAGUGAUAAGUGCUAUACUUAUCUGAUCAAGUGACAAAGUGAUAAGUGGUAGCUUAGCUACACUUAUCUGAUCAGGGCCAAAUGAUAAGUGAUCAUACGUAAGACCAUAGUUAUACUAUGGCCAAGUGAAAGUGAAGUACUCAAUUUUCCGUAACCGUUCCUUAAUUUUGAUCAAGGAUGGUAAGUGACAAAUAGGCCCAAAGAAAUUAUGGUAAAAGAAUAAGUAGUAGUGAGUUUAUACCAAGGAACUCUCCAAAGAUUGUGGUUGACAAGUAAACUUAGUAAUGGUGUAUAUUGUAUAAGUGUACAAAUGUUUGGUAAGAUUUAUGUUUGUGCCUAUGAACUUACUAAGCUUUUCUAUAAGCUUACAUGUGUGUGUUUAUUGUUUUUCUAGAUUAACGUAUUUAUACAUUCGGAGGAUCGGAUCUACUUCGAGAAUCACACUAUCCAGAUAUACUCCGGUAGAUUUUGUUAAACAACUUUUUGGAUUUAUAUGGCAUGUACAUAGAAUUGAAGUAAAAAGUAAUAGAAUGAAUGACUGAGUAUGCAAAGUAAAUUUGAAUGUGAUGGUUGUGUUAGAUAUUGAAAAAUACAUGUUUUUAGUUUGAAAUGGUUGAUUGGCUGAACUUCGUUAGUAUUCAAGUGAAGUAGUUGAAAUACUGGAAUUGGUUGUGAUUUGAAAUUUGCAGGGAAGGUUAGAUAAAUAUAAAGGGGUUAUAUUGAUUUUUUUUAAAAAUUUCAAUGGAAUAAUUUUUGGACAGCAGCAUUGAUGUAACUUUUAAAAAUCACCAAAAAUAGUGGAAAUAGAAUUAGAAGUUGAAUGAGAUAUGAAAUUAAAUCUGAAUGAGUCUAAUUUCACAUGAAAGAAGUAGAAUAAGAAAAAGAGUUAUAUAUUUUUAGAUAUUUGAAUUUUAGUGAAACAGGGCAAGAAUGUUUUUGAAGUCCCCUGUUCUGACUUUAGAAAUUUAGUAAAAAUUGUACAAAAGGAAUUAUGAAUUAUAAUUUAUAUGUUUAAAUUCCGUAAUGAGUAUAUUUUAAGUAGAAAUAAUUGGAACCACCAUAUGAAGUCUUUGCAAUGAGAUAAUUGAAUUUUAGCGACAAGAGGUCAGGAUAGUCAAUUAGUGAAAUAGGGGAGACUUCAACUAAUAAACUGUAUUAAUUUGCUAAACCAAAAAUUCUGAAAAAUUUAUGGUGAAUAUACAUAUGAGUCUAGUUUGAGGGAAAAUUUACGGAUCUAAAUUUUUAGUUUCGUAUCUUGAGUUAUAAUUAUUUUAGUGACUACUGCGCAUGUGGACAGCUUUGUUGUGAAUGGUGAAAUUAAUUUUUAAAGUAAAUUUUUAUGCCCCGAACUUUUAAGUUCAGUCAAGUAACGCCUUAUGCUCGACUCCGGCAACCGUCUUGGGUAAGGGGUGUUAUAAAUAAUUAUUCUUAAAUUCAUACAUUCUUUGUAUAUUAUUUUGUACCUACAAUAGGUCCCUAGAUAUUAACAACAUGAGUGACGUUGCUACAGACUCAGAAUUUCCUUUUAAACAAGACAUGUGUUUAGAGGGAUCCCAUGGCUUUGAAGAUGACGUAGACUGUGGCUUAUCUCUGAAUUUGUUAAGGAUGGUAAAACAAGAGGAGAAGCAAAUCCUACCUCACAAGGAAUCAAUGGAAAUUGUGAGCUCAGAAGGGGGAAAAGAGGUGAAGAUUGAGACUAACAUUGCCACAAAGACAAAGCAUGACCUCGUUGAGUUACUCCAAGAAUUUAAAGAUGUCUUCGCAUGGUCAUACCAGGAUACUCCCGGGUUAAGUACUGGCAUUGUAGUACACUACCUUCUUAUAAAAGAAGAUUGCAAGCCAGUUUAGCAGAAACUCUGAAGGAUGAUGCCUGAUAUUGUGCUAAAAAUAAAAGAAGAAGUUAAAAAGCAAUUUGAUGUUGGGUUCUUACAAGUGGUUAAAUAUUCAGAAUGAGUAGCCAACAUCGUCUCAGUCUCUAAAAAAGAUGGGAAAGUACGAAUGUGCAUAGAUUACAGAGACAUGAACAAGGCCAGCCAAAAAGAAAAUUUCCCAUUGCCUCACAUUGACACUUUGGUGGAUAAUACAGUAGGCUACUCACUGUUUUCCUUCAUGGACGACUUCUCUGGAUACAACCAGAUAAAGAUGCAUCCCAAAAACAUGGGAAAGACUACAUUCGUGACCCUAUGGGGAAUGUUUUGCUAUAAAAUGAUGUCAUUCGGAUUAAAGAAUGUGGGAGCGACGUAUCAAAGGGAAUGGUAACCUUGUUUCAUGACAUGAUGUACAAGGAAAUCGAGGUUUAUGUUGGCGAUAUGAUUGCAAAAUCCAGAACAGAAGAGGAACAUGUGUAGGCCCUAAGAAAAUUAUUCUUAAGACUGAGAAAGUUCCAGCUCAAGCUUUCCAACGAAAUGCACAUUCAGAGCUAGGUUAGGAAAGCUGUUAGGCUUCACAGUUAGUGAAAAAGGAAUCGAGAUCAACCCAGAUAAAGUCAAGGCGAUACGAGAUUUACCUCUACCAUGCACUCAGAAGGAAGCUCGAGGUUUCCUAGGAAGACUGAAUUACAUUGCUCGAUACAUUUCACAACUAACCGAAAAAUGUGACACCAUAUUAAAAUAAAAAUAGAUUAAAUUGUAAGUAAAACAUAAUUUAAACAUAUGAAUACAUCAAAUUAAUAAUACUAAAUGAAUACAGUUAUUUAUGAUGAUGUUGUUGCCAAUUCCUAAUUUGGUGUCUAGUUAAUUUGUGACAUCAUAAAUUUAAGUGAUAAAUUUAAGGUUUUAUGUAUUGAUGUGGAUUCAAAUAUCACCAUAAUUUUUGUAAAUAAAAAACUAAUAAGAUAACUUAUAUUAAGUACGAAAGGGUAUUUUUAUAAUUUCUCUAAUCGAGUUGGUGCCCGGUUGACUCAUGACACUAACUCAAUCAGAAGCUUUAAUAAUAAUAUAGAUAUUCAUGUUAAAAAAACAAAAAAAAAGUACUUUAGUUCCAAAUAAUUAUAUAACAAGUAAAUUUAUAAUUGAUGAAUAAAUUUAUAAAUAAUAUAUUUAUAUGAUCUAAUAUAUUAUAUUUAUAUUAAUUAUAUAUCAUCUACAAACUUUGAAGAUCAAUUUAUUAAGUAAAAAUGAAAUUGUUAACACUAAAUCAAUUUUUAGAUUUUGUAUAGAUGAUUUAGUGAUGAUAAAAACAUUAUUAACACUAUUUUUUAAUUAACAAAAAAUUAGUGAUAUAUUUAAAUUAUAUUUAUCAUUUAUUAUUUUUAAUAAUAUUUUUUAAUUAUAUGAAGUAAAAUUAUAUUGUAUACUAAAUAUGGUACAUAUACUCUAAUUAUAACUUGAAAUUUUAUUAUAUAAAUUAAUAUAAAUUUGAAUAACAAAAUAAAAAAAAACUAAUUAGAAUAAUUUUAAAAAACAUUAUUUAAAAGUAGUUAAAAAUCACGUGCAACAGGUGAGAUCAAUGGUCUUUAGAGAAGAAAUGUUGAAGAUCAAAGUUGGAAUCUGGCCUAUAAGGCCUUUAAUUGCUUUAAUAUUAAGCAGUUCCAAACCAAGAAGAUUACCGAUUUCCUCAGGAAUUUGACCUGCACACAUGGUCGAAAAAUCAAUGUGUCAAACUACCUAUUUUGUUAGCAUAAGUCAAAGAGGUUUUCUUUUCUAUUCUACAUAAUUUGCAGAUGUUAGAUUUUAAUAUUUUUAAGCAUAUUUGUUUUCAUCAAAUUAACUAUUUUGAACUAUUUUGCCUUGAAUGAAAUAAAAUGCUCUUACUUUUGUUAUCUAUUACUAAUCAAACUCUUUUAUAAAAAAAAUACUUUAAACUAAAGAAACCAAGAAAAUUCAAUACCUUCUAGGUUAUUCAACCCCAAAUAUAAUUCUUUGAGUCGUGUCGGAUUUCCAAUACUUCUUGGAAUGAUCCCCAUCAAUUGAUUAUAGGAAAAUGACAAAAUUUUAAGGUUGUUGCAUUUGCUUAUACUUGACGGAAUGUUACCAUAUAAUUCAUUCCGACUCAAGUAAAGCCCUUCAAGCUUGGAAAGAUGUGACACAUAUCAUUAGGCAAGCUACCUGAUAGGCUAUUGUUGGAGAGAUCAAUGGCCUUCAGAGAAGAAAUGUUGAAGAUCGAAGUUGGAAUCUGACCUGUAAGGCCUUUAAUUGCUUUAAUAUUAAGCAGUUCCAAACCAAGAAGAUUACCGAUUUCCUCAAGAAUUUGACCUGCACACAUGGUCGAAAAAUCAAUGUGUCAAACUACCUAUUUUGUUAGCAUAAGUCAAAGAGGUUUUCUUUUCUGUUCUAUAGUAAUUUGGUGAUGUUAGAUUUUAAUAUAAUUCAGCACAUGUUUUUCAUCAAAUGAAAUAAAAAGUUUUUCCUUUUGUUAUCUAUUACAAAUCAAGCUCUUUUAUUAAAAAAAUACUUUAAAUUCAAGAAAUCAAGGAAAUUAAUUACCUUCUAAAUUAUUAAACCCCAAAUAUAAUUCCUGGAGUCGUGUUAGAUUUCCAAUACUUCUUGGAAUGAUCCCCAUAAAUUGAUUAUGGGGCAACAACAAAUUUUUAAGGAUGUUUCAUUUGCCUAUGCUUGACGGAAUGUUACCAGAUAACUCAUUGCUAUGCAAGUGAAGCCCUUCAAGCUCGGGAAGAUGUUGACACAUAUCAUUAGGCAAACUACCUAAUAGGCUAUUCCUGGAGAGAGCAAUAGUCUUGAGAGAAAAAUGUUGAAGAUCGAAGUCGGAAUCUGAUCUGUAAGGCCUUUAAUUGCUUGAAUAUUAAGCAUUUCCAAACUAAAAAGAUUACCGAUUUCUUCAGGAAUUUGACCUGCAGACAUAGUCGAAACAUCAAGGUGUUAAAUUUCCUAUUUUGUUAGUGUAAAUCAAAGAGGCUUUUUAUUUUUUUUCGUUAUGAAAUAAUAUGGAUAUGUUCGAUUCUAAUCAUAUUUAAGUAUAUAUUAGUUCUUGAAAGAAUGAGUUCUUAUUUUUGGUAUUUAUAUUGCAAAUAUAUAUUUUUUUAAAUUUAAAAGAAGGGAGGGGGCAAAUGUGUUUAAACUAAAGACAUCAAGGAAAAGGCAUACCAAGUAUAAUUGUUUAAGUUGUGUCAAAUUCCCAAUGCUUUUUGGAAUGAUCCCACUAAAUUGAUUAAUAGACAAUUCCAAAAUUUGAAGGUUGCAGCAUUUGUCUAUACUUGAUGGAAUAGAACUUGAUAAUUCAUUUCUACUCAAGUAAAGCUCUUUCAGCUUGGGAAGAUGGACACACAAAUCAUCGGGCAAGCCACCAGAAAGACUAUUAUCACAAAAAUGAAUCCUUUUCAAAGAAGAAAUGUUAAAGAUGGAAGAUGGAACCUGGCCAGAUAAUUGAUUGAAUCCCAAGUUCAAGAUCUCUAGAUUGGACAAGUUGACAAGUGUUUGAGGGAUCGUGCCUGUGAAGUUAUUAUUUCUCAUUUCCAACCUUUGAACUCUGUGCAAGUUCCCAAGCCAUGGUGGAAUUUCCCCAUUAAGACGGUUGUAGCUUAAUCGAAUGAUCCUCAAACGAUGCAAUUGGCCUAAUUCUUUAGCCAGAUGGCCGUAGAAAUUGUUGUUGCUCAAGUCGAUAGAAAAUAGAAAUGAAAGAUUUCCAAGGUGUGGAGGGAUAGUACCCCUAAGAUUCAUGUUUGUAAGAUUAAUCAAAGCUACAACUCUUUCAUGGAUGAUGCCACAAGAAACACCAACCCACUUACAGACAGAGGUAGAGUUCGUCCAAUUGUUUGCCAACACAUUUUGAGGAUCGACAAUGCGAUCUUUAAACUCAAAGAGUGCAAACUGAUCGGAGUUGAGAUUCCGGACUGUCAUAGCCAAGGAAACAAUAGAACAUUGUAUGAAUAAAAGUGAAAGAAGAUGAAAGCAAGUGUUGUAGUUCAUGAUGGCAAGACGAAAUAAGCCAGGAAAAGGGAAGUUGAAUUGAUGAAGAAAUAGCCAGCCAACAUGCUUAAAUAGGCUUCAACCCUUGCACACUUCUCAUACAUAAAGUUCGCUGCCAUUACAACAAGAAAACUCAUAUCUCCAUUCGUACCUAUCCAUACUUUAUUUGACUAACUUUUCCCUAACAAGUGUUCAGUAAGGAGAUAAAUCAGUUUGGAGCUAUUCACCGGCUUCUCCAAUCUUGGUUUCAAACUCCUAACCCAUCAAUUCACUUUAAUUGAAACGAUAUACACGAGUCUUUCGGCUUAUAUUUUUAAUUUAAUUUUUGUUACUUUUCAUAAUAUUUUUUGAGAAAUCCAAAUAUUCCAGUCUGAAAUUUCUUCAUUGCCACGUCUAUCUCCUGGGUAAGUCCGUGGUUAGGCAGCCCACUUUGGGAGCAGGAUUGUAAUUGUAAUUCUAUCCGACUCAUUUUACUAUUUAGAAAUAUAAAAGUAAUAUUAUAUUAUUUUUUAUAUUUUUAUAAAUUUAAUUUUAAUUAUAAUUUUUAAACAAUAAAACGAGUCAUUUGUAUUUGCCUAGUCUAAAUUGAAUCAGGAGUCAAAAAAAUUUUAAUCAUAAUUUACUAUUAUUUUAAUUAAUUAAAAUUUAACCUACUACAACUAGUAGUUGCAGAAAAAAUGUCAUUCCUUUAGAAAAACGAAAAUCCUUUAGAAAAAUGAGAACUUAUGAAGCAUUCAAUAAGAGUCAUUGGAAUAAAUGGUAACGAAAUCAUAAUUCAAUAUAAAGCUAAAAAAUGUACCAAUCUAUAUAAAUAAUGUAAGAUUUGUGAUACCUAAAUUAUUAUAUUUUCCAUAAAUAUAUGAAGAUAUUUUAUUAGGAAAUAAUUUUAUAUAUAAAAUUUUUUAUUUUCUUUUGAUAGAAAUUUAAUUAUGUUAUCUGUAGAAAAAAAUAUUUAUAGAAAUAUUAUUAGUAGAAAAUCAUAAAUUUGUGUGUGGCAAAAAAAAUUCACCACCAAGAAAGGGGCAAAUUAAACAACUUGAAACAAGUCAUUGGUUGUUUAAAAUAUUAGAUAAUAAUUUCAGUGAAGAAUCAUUAAAAUUAUGACAAAAUAACCCUAGAUAUUGUAGUAUUAAAUUGGAAAAUCUCAAUAAUAUUAUUAGAGUAAAACCUAUGAUCUAUCUAAACAAGAUAUAGAAGAUUUUGAUAUACAAAUUAAGGUUAGAAAUCAUGCGGAAAUAAAAAAGAAAAAAAAGCUAGUAUGGUCAUUAAUUAUAAAAGAUUAAAUCAAAAUAUUAUUUUUUUAUAGUUACUUGAAUUAAUCAGGCUAAACAAACAAAAUAUUUUAGUAAAUUUGACUGCAAAUCAGGAUUCUAGCAAAUCAUGAUAACAGAAAAGUCCAAACCUUUAACGGCUUUUAGUGCACCCAAUGGACAUUACCAAUGGAAAGUGAUGUCAUUUCAAUUAUGUGAUGCACCACAAAUCUUCCAAAGACGAAUGGAUUUUAUAUUUAAUAAAUAUAAAAAAAUUCUAUGUAGUCUACAUAGAUGAUAUUUUUUAUAUUUUUAGAUACACUAGAAUUACAUAAGAAACAUUUAAAUAUUAUUUCUUAAGAAUUCAUAAAAUAUAGAAUCAUAUUAAACCCUAAAAAUAUAGAGUUAGAAAAAAGAGAGAGAAUUUUUAUAAUAGUGGAAAUAAAAAAUUGUCCUCAAAAGAUUGAAGAAAAAAAGAACUUCCAACAAUUUCUAAUAUAUUCCUCCCAAAUUUUCAGUUUCAAUUUUAUUACAGAAUUUCUUUGCCGACAAUAAGAAAUUAAGAGCGCUCUUUAAGUUGAAUAUAGUCCGUCAGAUAUGGCUAUCUAUAACAUGGAACCUUUGGUUUUCAAGCUGAAUAGGAGAAUUGAUUCACUUGAUAAGUAUGAAAAAUUGAAACUGCUAAAUUUAAGUGCACUAACUCUGGAUAUCAUCAUUAUUUUUCUGUACAUUAAAGUACCUGUUUGAUAUGCGAUUUCUGCCUCAAACUAUCAACAUCUUUAACAUCCUUUUGCUAUAGUUAGCAUGGGUACUUCCUUUUAGAUUAACAGUUAGGUUUGAACUGUGAAUUAGAUUUCUGUGGCUGCUGGGAUUGAAGAAGUUAGUAUGCGAAUGACAUUGGACAAAUUUGGCAAAGUCUUCUCCAUCAGUGAAGAAAACCCCUUGGCGUAUGAAAAAUGUUCACCAUCUUAGACAUUUGUUUUCUUAUUGUAAGAAUAUUUUUAACAUUGUAACUUUUAACAUUAUUGUAAGAAUAUUUUGAAUUAUACUUCAGUUAUCAAUUUAUAUCAUAUAUCUUUUGUUGAAUUUGAAGUAUAAUUUAUAUUUGCUGUUUUUGGUUAGAUUUCAUGCUAUAGGAAGGGUUGUAUAUGGAUAGAAAUUGAAUGUUACAAAUCUGCCAAAGUUAGUGGCGUUUUUUCAUAAGAGCUGCUAAAGAAUGCUAUUUUUGGCGGUGUUUGUAAUAAAAGAGCCGCUAAAGGUCAUGUUCUUUAGCGAUGUUUGUGGGUAAAGCGCCGCUAAAGAUCAUGUUCUGUAGCGGUGUUUGUGGAUAAAGCGCCGCUAAAGAACAUGACCUUUAGCAGCGUAUUUUCACAUAAACGCCGCAAAAUUUAGCGGCUUUGUCUAUAGCGACUUUUUUUGCAGCGCUUUAAGUUUUAGCGGCGCUUUUAGGCCUAAAAAAGGGCCGCUAAAAGCCUGUUUUGCUGUAGUGAGCAUAUUUACAUUUUCGUCCCAAUUUCAACUAACACCCCAUCUAUUUCCCACUUCCCUUUUUCGGGCAAUUUCAACUAACACCUUCAUAUCAAACAUAACUAUUUUUCAAUUUUUCUUCUUUAUUUCAUUAAUAAAAUUAUCAAUCUAUUUGUUUUUAAAUAUAUAAUUUCAUUAAUAUUUUUUAAAUUAUAAUAUAAGAGUUGUUGUUUAUUUAUAGUUUUAUUACAUUAUUUACUCUCUCUUUUCUAUCAAGUUUUUUAAAUUAUAAUAUAAGAUUUAUUUUAUCAAUUUGUGGCUUAUCCAGUAUUCAUCUAUUUUAAUAAUAACUUGAGUUCCAGUCAUUAUCAUACCAGAAAGAGUUCCAUUUAUUCUUUAUCGUAAAUUUUAUAAAAAAAUAUACAUUUUAUUAUAAUACUAUAUGUGUUACGAAUAAUAUUUUAUUGUGGAUGCCCAUAAUUUUCAAAGUUGUAACCUCUAAUGUAGUAACCUUAAUGAAAUUAUGAGGCUUUUAUAUUGUAAUCAAGCCUCUAUUUAUUCUUUGUAACUUAAACAGAAGCAUAUUUUCUAUUAUAUUGAUAUUUUUUAUAGAUAUAUAUAUAUAUAUAAGGAAUCAAAUAAAAAGUUAUUUACCUUUCUAUUAUAUUGAUAUUUUCUAUUUGAUUUGUUCUUUUCUUUCACUAUUCCAUAAUAUAUUAUCAGUACGAUUUUAACCAAGAGUAACAUGUUAUUAGAUUGUGUCAAAAUUUUGUUGAGAAUCAUUAGAUUGUUUCCUUUUUCUUCUAUUUAGCCCCAAAUUGCACCCCUACACAAAAUUCAACAAAAACAUGGAAAAAUUAGUGGUGCACUCUCAUAAAUUAACCAAUUUAAUUACAUAAAAUAUGUAACUUUAGCAUUUUAUCAAUCAUGUUCUUUAGCGGCAUUUGUGGGUAAAGCGCCGCUAAAGGUCAUAUUCUUUAGCAGCGUUUGUGAUAAAAGUGCCACUAAAUAUCAUGUUCUUUAGCGGCGUUUGUGGAUAAAGCGCCGCUAAAGAACAUGACGUUUAGCAGCAUUUUUUUACAUAAACGUUGUAAAAUUUAGCGGCGUUGUCUAUAGCGACGUUUUUUGCGGUGCUUUCAAAUAGUUUUAGCGGCGCUUGUAGGCCUAAAAAAAUGCCGCUAAAAGUCUGUUUUGCUGUAUGAGCAUAUUUACAUUUUCGUCCCAAUUUCAACUAACACCCCAUCUAUUUCCCACUUCCCUUUUUCGGCCAAUUUCAACUAACACCUUCAUUUCAAACGUAAUUGUUUUUCGAUUUUUCCUCUUUAUUUCAUUAAUAAAAUUAUCAAUCUAUUUGUAUUUUAAAUAUAUAAUUUUAUUAAUAUUUUUUAAUUAUAAUAUAAGAGUUUUUGUUUAUUUAUAGUUUUAUUAUAUUAUUUACUCUCUUUUUUCUAUCAAGCUUUUUAAAUUAUAAUAUAAGAUUUAUUUUAUCAAAUGGUGGCUUAUCGAGUAUUCAUCUAUUUUAAUAAUAACUUGAGUUCCAAUCAUUAUCAUACCAGAAAGAGUUCCAUUUAUUCUUUAUCGUAAAUUUUAUAAAAAAAUAUAUAUUUUAUUAUAAUACUAUAUGUGUUAGGAAUAAUAUUUUAUUGUGGAUGCCCAUAAUUUUCAAAGUUGUAACCUCUAAUGUAGUAACCUCAAUGAAAUUAUGAGGCUUUUAUAUUGUAAUCAAGCCUCUAUUUAUUCUUUGUAACUUAAACAGAAGCAUAUUUUCUAUUAUAUUGAUAUUUUUUUAUAGAGAUAUAUACAUAAGGAAUCAAAUAAAAAGUUAUUUACCUUUCUAUUAUAUUGAUAUUUUCUAUUUGAUUUGUUCUUUUCUUUCACUAUUCCAUAAUAUAUUAUCAGUACGAUUUUAAUCAAGAGUAACAUUUUAUUAGAUUGUGUCAAAAUUUUGUUGGACUUCAAGUAUUGGAAUUUAAUUGUUUAAGUUAAGAAUCAUUAGAAUCAAUGGCUAUUUGAGAUAUGCUUGAGGAUGAUCUCAUUCUCUUCAUCACAAAGGUGGAGGUUAGAAAAUCUUUAUGUUUAAACAUUUAUAGCUUUAAAGUUAUUUUAACCUCUUAUUGUGACCUUAUAAUAUUUUGUAAUUUUUUGUAUUAUGGUAUAUAAAAAAAAUCUAACCAUAGUGAUUGAUUAGUAAUAUGAAUUUGUUAUUUGUUAUGUUUAAUAUAUAUUUUAUUUAUACUUAUUCAUUUUAUUUUUAUAUGAGUAAAUGAAGUGUUUGAAGAUUCGAAAUUUUUAUCAUCCAAGUUGAAAAUAAGUGCAAAAGUGUACAUUAUUUAAAAUAAAUUACGCAUUCAUUAAUGUUAUAUGAUAAAAUCAUUACAUGUUCUAAAGAACUAAUAUUGCAUCAAACUGUAAAAAGCUCUUGAAGAGUUAAUAUUUUACCUCCUUGUGAUACAAAAUCAUAUACAAUAUGAUAUUAUUUUUCAAAUCGAGUAGAUAUAUGUUGAGGGAAAUCUUUAUGUGGUUUACAUUAAAACCAUGGAUAGAAAUGACAUGAGAUACUCGUGUAUUUUUAUUAUAAAUAUUCCUUGAAGGAAGACACUUCACUUGUAUGAUUGACAUAUGAGAUAGUGGCAAGAAGUUCAUAGUGUUGGUAUGGUCGUCUAGAUCAUCUCAAAUCAAUAAUGAUGCAAAAUAAUUUGAAGAGAAUUUAUAUGAUUUUAUUGAAGAAUGAGAAGAUAUUUUCAUUUUGAUAAUUGUCAUCAAUACUAGUUCUUUGGAAAAAAAAUAUUGAACUAACAUAAAGUUAGAGGUUGGUUGCAUUUUUUGAUGAUAUCCAAAUAAUAUAUGAGCUCAUGUAUCACAUGUAUGCAACCCAAAGUUUACAGUAUUAUUUCUUGAAAUAAUUUGAUUCUACACAAUCUCUAUAGUAUGCAAUUUGUGCUAACAACGUUGGUGCAUUAUAUCCUAAGCUUGAUUUUCGUAGUUUUAGCUGAGAUAAUAUUAAGUUGUCUAUGCCUAUAUAUGUUAUACUUAAUGGUUAGCAAAAUUGUGCCUCCAUUUAAUUGCUUAACCAUUAAUAUAAGAAUAACUUUAAAAUAAGCAUGUAAUUUUAUUUGCAUAGAGUCAACAUGUAAGAAACAUUUGCCCCAUGAGAAUUGGCUUUCAUUUAUAAGCCAAUAGGUUUCAUAUGACUAUUUGGAUGUAAAAUAUCUAUUUUAUAUUCCACCAUAAUGCACUAAGAUGGUCCAUCAAGUAUGAAGUUGAGAAAAUUUAGAAUUUUUAUUUGAUGGUAAAAGUUGAAAAGAGAUAUAUACUUAUAAUUUUGAAAAAAAUAGUCAUGUUGCAAAUUUUUCUCAAUAUUAGGGGGAGACAAGUUGGACAAAUAAGGAUAAUUAUGUCAUCACUUUUUGUGAUCCCUCACUAAUAUUAUGUGCACAAAGUUUGAAGGAAAAAAGUAUUUGCUAGACAUGUUUAGUGAUGACACUUAGAGAUUGUAUAUACUAGAUGAUACAUAUACCAGCUAAAAUGUUCCAAAUAAUUAUGAGUCCUAGAAGGACAUAGUGAUAAAAAUAAUUUUUGGGCACGCUAGAAGGAUAAAAAACUAGUUCAUUCUAUAAAUCAAAAAAUUCUUGAAAGAAAAGAGUAAGAAAUGAAGCUGGCCACACAUUAAAGGAAACGAGUACUCAUGAAGAGACCUAAGGCAUAACUUUUAAUAAAACCCCAAAAGAGGUUCAAUACAUGGAAUUAUGAAUAUAAUAAGAUAUCUCGAUUAGUUAUAUCAUAACUAAAGAUGAUGGGGUUGAUAAAAGGAAAUUGUUGUUAACAACGAUAAUCUAAGUAGAACAUUUCAAUAUUAUGGUAAAAUGAGUAUUUUGAAUGAAAAUAUACUUGAAAGUAUUUAGAUGGGAACAACUCAUCAAAAUAAAUAGACGUUUCUAUUAUAACUUAUGAAAUGUGUCUCGGACAUGAAGUCCAAACAUUCGACAGGUGUAAAGCCAAGUGGAGUAUAUGUUAGCAUAAUAGUGAAAAAAUACAAAUCAUAAUAUAUAAAAUUGACUUGUAAGACAAACUUUCCCAAGACACUUGAUUUUGAUUAUGAAAAAUGAUUAAUUUGUGAUCUUAUCAAUUGAACAUACUUUGUAUAAUCAACAAAUUAUUAAUUAACCUCAUUUAACCAAUUUCCUUCAACACAUUUCAAAUCAAAUUAAUGUGUUGAGCACGCCCUUAACCCUUUUUCUUGAUUCAUUGCAUAGUCUAUUUCCAAGUACCAUAAUCAUCAACAUUUCAAUAUAUAAAGUCAUAACAUAAUGAAUCAUAGUUAGAAUUUUUUUUACCCUAUUAACCAAGUAUGGAACAAAAAUAAAAACCUAAUUUGUCAAGCUCAUUCAAUCAGCUUAUAUAUUAUAAGAAGAGCCUAAGUAUAAAUCCUAUACAUGAUUUCAAAUUCAACUAUUUAUAUUUGAGAUUCAAUUUAAAAUUCAUACUGAAAUUAUCAAAUUAACUCGUAAGCUACUCACGCUAAACAUUAAGGUACUCGAAUUCAAGUGGCUAGAUAUCAUAAACACUUUUAGCUUGUAAAACUAUUUCUAAGGGUCAGCCCAGAAUCAUGGUUGAACCCAAAAUCUGGUAACAAAAAUUUAAUUGAGCCAUCAGCCUAAAACAAAUAAGGCUUAAAAGGUUGGCACCCGAACAAUCAAAGAUAAACACCACCAUAUGCCACUCCCUGAAUCCGAUACAUACAAUAACACCCUUCACCACUUUUAUUCUUCUCCUUUUUUUUAACCUCAAUUUGGAUGGUCGCAUUUCUCUUUUUAGUGCUUUAUAGGGUUUGGGCUUUCAGAAUCCUCAGAGAUGCAAUUCAUGGAUCCCUCUAAGAAAUGCAAGCUUGAUGAAAAUGGUAUUAUUUCAACGGCAUCAGAACCUGACCCAAUCACCAAACUAACCCCACAAGAUGGCCGCAAGCUAAUCGAGCAAUUUAUCGUCGAUCAACUCCUUGACGUCCUCCAAGAUGCUGUUUGUUGUCACCUUGAUGUUCUUUCCGCCGUACACUCUAUUGCCGAUCAAGAUCCAUCUCAAAGGAAGCUUUUCAUCCGUGGUUGGGUUGGGAUACUACAACCCAACCCAACCCACAUUAGCAUACUACCAUGCGGUAACUUCUAGUGAUUUCUGUCUGUAACAUUAGACAGGUUAACAGUUAAAUCGUUCAACUGAAAGAUUUCUUUGAAGGAAGAGGUCAAUUGAUUUUUUUUGGAAUCAUUGUGUACUCAGUUGCAUUUAAGACGGGUAUCAUUCAUAAAGUAUAUAUCUACAUCAAGAAUGGUAGCCUCUUAUAUUAUAUUCAUGUAUUUAUUUUGCAUCUUUAAUUAUAAUAGGAUUUUUUUUGUUUAUUUAUAGUUUUAAUUAUAAUAUUUUUUAAAUAUGCCAAAGUAAAUUAUGUACCAAUUUUAAACUUCUCCUAGGUAAUUUAACGUAAGGGCAUUUAUGUUAUUUUACCACUUAUGAUAAAACUAACCUAAUUUUAGAUCUAAGUGUUUACCAACCUUCUUUUAGUCAAAUUAUGCAAGCCUAAAAUUUUUAGCUUAAUUUGAGUUUGUUUACUAUGUCUAAUUCAAGUUUUAUUAUUAAGAACUAAAUUGUAACUUAAACAAAUUAGAAUACCAAUUUAAAGAGACAAAAAUUCAAAGCCCCAAAACCCACACGGGCAUGUGGGUAAGUGACACAGGCGUGUGGAAACUGGAGCUAUCACACACGGGUGAGUGGGACUGAAAAAUAUGAAAUAAAUUAAUCCAUUUAAAUUUCCAACAACCAUGCUAUACUACCAAACCAAAUAAUGUUAGAAGCUUUGAAUAGGGGCGAAUCUUAAAAAAAAAUAGAAGAAUUAGAAUUAAAUUAUAAAAUUUUGAGAAGUUGUCAUGUAUUAAUUUAUUAUUUUUUAAAGGGUCUUAAUAGAUUUUUUUUCCCCAUUUUGGUUUGGCCAAUACCCCUGUCUGCCUCUUUCAAUUUGCUUCAACCCUUAGCCCAAUAUUCGAUUUGUUGUGGAAGUUUGACGCAUAAAAAUUCCUUUUUUAGAGGUUUAAAUUAUAAAUUUUUAUUAACAAAAUAUAAAAGAAAAAAACAUGUGUAGACAAGCCAAGAAACCUUUGGGAUCAUACAGGUGAUUUUGAGAUGUUCAUGGUUAUUUUGGUGGAGAGGGUAAAAAAGAAACAAAUGAUUCAUUAUAUAUGAUAUAAUUAUGAAAUUCAAGCCAUAUAUUGUAUGUUUCAUCCAUACAAAUUUCUUGUAGCAUUAAAUGACUCGUAGGCUUGCUGAAUUUCUUUGAAAGGCCCAAAGGCAAUUUAACAUUCACAAAAUAAUCUCUAAAUAGUGUAAAGACAAAUCAAAUCCACAGUAGCAUUAGAGUUGAUUAAGCUAAGCAUUGGCAAAUAUUACUUUGAUUUUGCAUGCAAUAUUGGCAAAACCCCCUCUUACAUUAGAAAAACAACAUAAUCCAUGAAACAUUGAUAGCCCAAUACAAAUUUCAUCGAGAAAAAAGUCUCUUUGUUUUGUAGAACAUGAUAGUAAAGAUGUGGAGUUUCGUUCUUCUUAUUGGCCUCCUUUAGUUUUCCUUGAUCAACAACCACUAGCCAAAAACACAAUUAGAUUAGAUUAUGAAUGAUACUUUCAACUAUGACAAUAUUAAAUACAAACCACUCUAAAUAACUCUAAAUAAAUGGAAAGCAGCAAAUUACCAGACGAGGCAAGCUAGCUCAAUUAAGACCAUUGUGUUAUACUUGUCUCUGAAUUGAAAAAUUUAGAAGGAAAUAAAGAGAAAGACUUAGAAAAUACUUGAAAACAGAAAAAAAAAUUAUGUCAUUUAAAAUAAAAAAUUUCUAUUCAAGCCAUUUAAAAUUUGUAAGAUUUUUAAAAUUUUAAAAUGAUAAAGGUAAAAUUGUACUUUGGCACCCCAAAAAUGAUAAAACUUUGAUUUAAUUAUUUAAAAAUUAUAAAAAUAUAGGCUAUUAAAAUGGUGAAAUUAUAUUUUUACUAUAGUAAAAAUUACAAUUUAAUUUCACCCCUAAAAGGAUUUUCUGGCUUCGCACCUAAUAAAAUCUUUGGCAAAAGACUAAAAUAAAAUUAUACCAUGAAUGGAAAAAGAAACUAAUAAAAUCCAAUCUAACAAAGAAAAUAACUUGAUGUCCAAAAGCUACCAUAAACCGUAAUUCAUGGGAAGGCUUGUUGCUUAUUUUAUUGGUUUCCAUUUUGAAAGAAGUUUGAAUUUUGAAGAGAGCCUACUACGUGAAAGCAAAAGAAAAAAAAAUAGUUUAUAUGAUUAAAAUUCCAGAAUAGAUUAAAAAUGUUGAAUUAAAGAUAAAAUUAAGUGUGAAUUAAUAACCACAAGUGUACUCUUUACUCACCAUCUCUGUUAAAAAUGUUGGAUGUUGUUUAGCAACCUUUGUUUGAUUUUCUUCAGCUCAACCACAACAUCUUUCAUAUCUUUUCUUUCUUCUGGUAACUCAGCUGAACAAUUCAAAGCCAACUCCAUGAUAGAUGAAAUACAAUUUGCUUUAACAACAAUGUACUCAUCCUCUCUUCUUAAUAAAUCAACAUCUGCAAUUUCUAUCGCUCCUUUAGGCAAUGAUCUUUCCAUCCAAUGCCUUAUACUCUCUUCUUCAACAAAAACCUUAUCAGUUGGCUUUUUCUUUGUGAAAGUUUCUAUAAGGACGAUCCCAUAACUAUAGACGUCAGAUUUUAUAGAAACAAUUCCUGCUGAUCCAAAUUCUGCAUUUCAAGUAUAAUUAGAACAUCAUUCAUCCUCAAUUAUUUCUAAAACGCUUAUUCAAAUAUCUAUCCACAUACACGUGAAACAAAAAUAUAAAAUACAAAUUAGGAAAAUAAUCAUACAAAAAUAAAAAAAAGAAUUCACCUGGUGCCAUAUACCCAAUAGUUGCAAGAGUCAUGGUUUGCUUCAUUACUUCACCUUCUCCCAACAAUUUGGCAACGCCAAAAUCUCCAACAUGUGCAACCAUGUCUUCAUCUAGUAAAAUAUUGCUUGGUUUUAUGUCACAAUGAAUUAUAGGUGUUGGAUGUCCAUUGUGGAGGUGUUCUAUAGCUACCGCAACAUCUAUCAUUAUGUCGACCCUUUGUAUGAUACCAAGGAAACAAUUUUCAGAAUGUAACCAUUUCUCAAGGUUUCCAUUAGACAUGUAAUCAAGCACCAAGGCUUUGAAGUCAACACUUGAGCAGUAAGUAAUGACCUUCACAAUAUUACGAUGAACUAUAUUAAGCAUAGCAUCACAUUCAAUGUCAAAACUCCUAAAUGCUCCCUCUGUUUGCAAAUUGAAAACUUUUAUUGCAACUUCCAUUCCAUCUGAAAGCCUCCCUUUAUAUACAUAUCCAAAACUCCCUGAACCAAGCGUAUUGCUUUCCUCAAAUCCAUUAGUUGCUCGUGAAAGUUCAGCAUGUGAAAUUCUUCUCAGUGUCUUCAAAGACAACAAAUCAUCUUUAACUGGUAGAGCUGUACUCCUUUGGCAUCUUCUAUACAUAAUAGUUAAGACUAUUAGUACUAGGACAAUACCAAUUGUUGGUAAACCAUACCUAAAAGCAUGCAAUAUAAUCAUUUGGGAGUUUUUGUGGAUGUCAUUUUUGCAAGGUGGGACUAGCAAUCUAGGUGGACCACAAAGUGCACAAUUAUUCAUGAAUGAUGUGCUAGAAAAGUUUGAAAAACAUCCUUUGCUGGGAAUUUCCCCUUCAAGUCUAUUGAAAGACACAUUAAAAUACUUUAGAUAUAAAAGCUUUUCCAAAGAUUUGGGAAUGACUCCAGAGAGAUUGUUAUUGCAUAAAUCCAAGAAUUCCAAACUAAUCAACCCUUCAAAUGAUUCAGGGAUAUGACCAUAUAGUAUGUUAUUUGAUAAAUCUAAUGAAACCAAAGUUAUAAGACCCCCAAAUGUGGAUAAGAUAUCGCUCGUGAGAAGAUUCCUUGAUAAAUUUAGUCUCAGUAGACUCCUAAAAUUUCCAACAUCAAUAGCAUGUGAAUUGUGAAGACGGUUUGAUGAUAAAUCUAUUUCUAAGAUAUCUUUAAGACUCCACAAAGUUGAGGGUAUUGUAGAACUCAAUUUGUUGGAACCUAACCAAAGAUAUCUCAAAGCAGAAAUAUUACCUAAACAAGAGGGUAUGGAUCCAUGCAGCUUAUUCAACCCUAAAUACAUCUCGUAUAGUCUCUCCAAACCACAAAGGCUUUCUGGGAUAGGCCCUCCUAAUUUAUUAGAGGAAAGACCUAGAAUUUGGAGAUUUCUCAUUCCUCCUAUUGAUGCUGGAAUCAAUCCACUUAAUUUAUUAUACCCAAGAUCUAAAAGCAAUAGGUUGGUUAAGUUACCUAUUUCCAUAGGAAUAAUGCCUUGAAGCUCACACUCUGUGGCAUGAAAGUAUUGAAGGGAUUUUGAAAGGUUCCCGAAAUAAGUAGGAAGAACGCCACUCAAUGGAUUUCCUGAAACAUCUAUUAUGCUCAAAUUCCUACAAUUCGUCAAAGAAGAAAGAAAGCUCCACUCAUGAUCAGUAGCAGAUCCUGUGAUCAAAUUAUUGUCAUAGAUUUGGAGCCAUACAAGUUGUCUUAAGCUGCCAAGCGUUUUAGGGAUUGGGCCAGAGAAUGAGUUAUCUCCCAAGUCUAGUUCCUUAAGCAUGGAAGCAUUGGAGAUAGAGUUGGGAAUGUUUCCGCUAAGUUUAUUUCCCCACAGUAAAAGAAUCUGAAGCUUUGGAGCAUUGGUAAUGGGUGGUAAAUUACCUGUAAAAUAGCAUCUUUUAGAAAACAUUCACAAAAUAUAUAAUACAUUAAAAUAAAAACUUUAAAUCAAUUAAGAAUAAAAUUUUGGCAUGGAAAAAUGUGAUGAAAUCAAUUAGAAAGUUGAGACAUAAUAAGAAGUUUUGAGUAGUAAUUAGUCCUUGUGAUUUGUAUAGACAAAACAUAUAAUACACUGAUAAUUUUUUUAAAAUAUUGUAAAACCUGAAAUAAAAUAAAAAAUAAAAGUUUGGCACGAGAAUGUGGCAUCUAAUCAUUCUUAAAAAUAAGACUAACAUUAAAUAAUAAUUAGUUAUGAUUUGAGAAACAAAAAUGUUAAAGAUGUAAACUGGUAUGAUUUUUAUCUAUUGGGUUAAUUAUUUAUUUUUAUUAAAUUAUAUAUAGUGUAAAAUUUAAAGAUUAUUAUUUGCUCAAAAUUUUUGUAUUUUAGGAUUUUAGGAUCGCAUUUAAUUCAAUUGUAUUUAAGACCUCAUGAAUUUAUUCUAUAAUUUGAGUCUUUUCAACCUUUUGGGAAAUAAUAAAACAUCGACAUUAAACUUGUUGUUGAUGCAUUCAAUUUGAUUUUUUGAGGGGUCAUUGGAGUUAUAUGUGAAUUUAGCAUUGAUUGACUUUUUUAGAAUUAAUCUUUUAUACCAAUUUAAUAACAUCGACAUGUUUUUGGGUAGGGUCGAGCAAAACCCAAUUAAAACCGAUGAAAUUGGUUUAGUUAACUCGGUCAAGUCCAUUAGAUGGAUAAAAUCAAUUUUAAAAUCAGUUAUUAUGGAUUAAGGUAAUUAAUUAUCGAGUAAUGAAAUACAUAAUCAAAUCAAUUGAUUUUGUUAGAAACUAAAAGAAAGUGGGAUAAGCUGAAAACUGAUUGCCCUUUUUUAGAAUUAAGGAAUCAGCCUUUUACAUGUUAGAUAAUAUGAACACCCCAUAUAUAAUAAGAAAAAUUAUGUACGAUUAUUUAUUAUCAUAAAUGGUUAGUUUAAAUUUAAAGUAAUCUAAUAUGUGUGUUGAACUUCAACUAUUACAUAAAGUAUAAGCUAAAUAUGUAUAAAUAUUCUAGAAACCAUUUCUAACUGAUGAUAGGCUAAUUUGAAAUUAAGAUUAAUAUAUAAAAACUAGAUAGUAGGGUUAUAGUCCUCAAACUACACCUAAUUUAAUAAAAUCUAUAGUUUUUAUAGCCUUAAACAUUUAUAGAUUUUGUUAAUUUGGUCCUUACUCUUUAAAAUUACAUAAAAAUUGCAAAAAUAUUUUAGAAAUACAAUUUUUUCGUAUUUUUAAUAACAUUUAUAGUUUUUUUUUUGGUUUGGUAACUUAUCAACUCGACUCUUAAUUGUAACCAACUUUUCUGAUUUUUUCGUACCCUUAACCUAAGUCCCGUUACAACUUUCUAAAGACCUCUUGAUUGGUGUAUCAUCUCGAUUUGUUCUUAUAGUGGUGGGGAUUUGGUUUUCAAGCAAGCCUAUGCUAAUCACAUUUUUCGUUCAACUAUUGAGCACACAGUACUUGAACCUUAAACACUUUGAGUGCUUUGAGUGAAUCUUAGUUAGGGUAUUGAUUAUUGUUGAGUUUGAAUUUUAGGUAAUUAUUGAGAUGGAGGAGAUGCCUAUUUUUUUGUGCUUUACAAAUUUCUGCUUAGAUUGCUUUUAUUCUUUAGUUUCAUGCUAGUUUCAAUUUCCAGUGCAUGAUUAUCUAUAGAUUAUUCAUAAGGCAUUGUCGGUGAAAACAAUAAAUUGAGGGAGAUUAACUUGAAAUAAAUUGAGGGAUAUUAACUUGAAUAAAGGUUGAGAAUUUUGCUUAAGGACAAACAAAUGCUUAAGUGUGGGGAUAUUUGAUAAGUGCUAAAAUUGAUAUGUUUUAACAUCAUUCUUAAUGUGUUUUUGGUUGAUUAUUCGAUGUUAAUGAUGCUCCUAAUCCUUACAAUUCGUGUUUUUAUGCUUAAUAGAACAUUUGGGAGGAAAAUGAGCUAAAAAUGAACGAAAACCUGAAAAUGGGGGCAAACUAUAGGACAUGGGCUGACCUAUUCCUCAUGACCGUAUGACUCACACGAUCAUGUGGUAGGUUGUGUCGAUUUCGUAGAUUUGCACUCUGAACUGUAAAAAAAGAAAAUUUUAGAUUUUUUGAGCAUUUUAAUACGUAUAUAUGAAAAAAAUAAGAAGAUAGGAGAGAACCUUCCUAGAAUAUUUAAGAAAACAACUCCAAAGACACUAUUGAAGUCGACUCUGAAGCAAAUUUUCCUCAAGAUUGAAGAUUCCCAGUUGGUUUCUUAAGAGAUUAUCAUGAGUUUCUUUAUUUCUUCUGGUUAUACUGCCCUUUGGAUGUUUUUAUUUUUAAGCAUGAACUAAUUUUCUAAAUACCGAAUUAGAGAGAUGAACCCUAUGAUAGAUUGUGACACCCCAAACCCAACCGGAUAGACCCGCCCGAAUUCAAAGCAUUUCAUUAGCCACCUAAGUGACUCUCCAGCUAACGACCACCCAAGACACACCUCGACCUUAUAACACCUCAAUCUUAUCUAAUUACUAGUUAUUUAUUAAUGUAGAAGUAAAUUAAUAUGAGCCAAUUUUAAACUUUUUCUAGGUAAUUUAACCUAAAGGCAAUUUUGUCAUUUUACCACCUAAUGUAAAACUAACCCGAUUUUAGAUCUAAGUGUUUACUAACCUUCUUUUAGUCAAAUUAUACAAGCCUAAAAUUUUCAGCUUAAUUUGAGUCCGUUUACUAUGUCUAAUUCAAGUUUUAUUAAUAAGGACUCAAUUGUAACUUAAACAAAUUAAAAUACCAAUUUAAAGAGACAAAAAUUCAAAACUCCAAAACCCACACGGGCAUGUGGGUAAGUGACAAGGGCUUGUGGGAUUGAAAAAUAUGAAAUAAAUUAAUCCACUCAAUUUUCCAACAACCAUGCUAUACUACCAAACCAAAAAAACACUUGAAGUUUUGAAUAGGGGCGAAUCUAAAAAAAAUUAGAAGAAUUAGAAUUAAAUUAUAAAAUUUUGAGAAGUUAAAAUAUAAUUUUAUCAUGUAUUAAUUUAUUGUUUUUUAAAGGGUCCUAAUAUAAUUUUUUUCCCAUUUUGGUUGGGCCAAUACCCCUGCCUGCCUCUUUAAAUUUGCUCCAACACUAAACCCAAUAUUCGAUUUGGAUUAACAACAACAUAUAGGUUAGUAUUUGUGGGAGUUUGACGAAUAAAAAUUCCUUUUUUAGAUGUUUAAAUUAUAAAUUUUUGAAAGAUUAAAAUAAAUUUGUAUUUUUUUAUUAACAAAAUAUAAAAGAAAAAAAAAUAUGUUUAGACAAGCCAAGAGAACUUUGGGAUCAUACAGGUGAUUUUGAGAUGUUAAUGGUUAUUUUGGUGGACAGCGUAAAAAAGAAACAAAUGAUUCAUUAUAUAUAAUAUAAUUAUGAAUUUCAAGCCAUAUAUUGUAUGUUUCAUCCAUAAAAAUUUCAUGGGAGGUCCAAAGGUAAUUAAAUGACUUGUAGGCUUGCUGAAUUUCUUUGAAAGGCCCAAAGGCAAUUUAACAUUCACAAAAUAAUCUCUAAAUACUGUAAAGACAAAUCAAAUCCACAGUAGCAUUAGAGUUGAUUAAGCUAAGCAUUGGCAAAUAUUACUUUGAUUUUGCAUGCAAAAUUGGCAAAACCCCCUCUUACAUUAGAAAAACAACAUAAUCCAUGAAACAUUGAUGGCUCAAUACAAAUUUCAUCGAGAAAAAAGUCUCUUUGUUUUGGAGAACAUGAUAGUAAAGAUGUGGAGUUUCGUUCUUCUAAUUGGCCUCCUUUAGUUUUCCUUGAUCAACAACAAUUAGCCAAAAACACAGUUAGAUUAGAUUAUGAAUGAUACUUUCAACUAUGACAAUAUUAAAUACAAAACACUCUAAAUAAAUGGAAAGUAGCAAAUUAAGACCAUUGUGUUAUACUUGUCUCUGAAUUGAAAGAUUUAGAAGAAAAUAAAGAGAAAGAGUUAGAAAAUACUUGAAAACAGAUAAAACUUAUAUGUCAUUUAAAAUAAAAAAAAUUUCUAUUUAAGCCAUUUAAAAUUUUUAAGAUUUUUUAAAUUUUAAAAUGAUAAAGGUAAAACUAUAUUUUGGUACCCAAAAAUGAUAAAACUUUGAUUUAAUUCUUUAGAAAUUAUAAAAAUAUAGGCUAUUAAAAUGGUGAAAUUAUAUUUUUACUAUAUUAAAAAUUACAAUUUAAUUUCACUUGCUAAAAGGAUUUACUGGCUUCGCCCCUAAUAAAAUCUUUGGCAAAAGAUUAAAAUAAAAUUAUACCGUGAAUGGAAAAAGAAACUUAAGAAAACCCAAUCUCACAAAGAAAAUAACUUGUCCAAAAGCUACCAUAAACCGUAAUUCAUGCGAAGGCUUGUUGCUCAUUUUAUUGGUUUCCAUUUUGAUUUUGCAAAAGAAGUUUGAAUUUUGAAGAGAGCAAAAGAAAAAAAUAGUUUAUUAAUUUUUUACGAAUACCGACAUAUUAUAUACAUGAUUAAAAUUCCAGAAUAGAUUAAAAAUGUUGAAUUAAAGAUAAAAUUAAGUAUGAAUUAAGAACCACAAGUGUACUCAUUACUCACCAUCUCUGUUAAAAAUGUUGUUUAGCAACCUGUGUUUGAUUUUCUUCAGCUCAACCACAACAUCUUUCAUAUCUUUUCUUUCUUCUGGUAACUCAGCUGAACAAUUCAAAGCCAAUUCCAUGAUAGAUGAAAUACAAUUUGCUUUAACAACAAUGUACUCAUCCUCUCUUCUUAGUAAAUCAACAUCUGCAAUUUCUAUUGCUCCUUUAGGCAAUGAACUUUCCAUCCAAUGCCUUACAGUCUCUUCUUCAACAAAAACAUUAUCAGUUGGCUUUUUCUUUGUGAAAGUUUCUAUAAGGACGAUCCCAUAACUAUAGACGUCAGAUUUUAUAGAAACAAUUCCUGCUGAUCCAAAUUCUGCAUUUCAAGUAUCAUUAGAACAUCAUUCACCCUCAAUUAUUUCUAAAAUGCUUAUUCAAAUAUAUAUCCGCAUACACAAGAAACAAAAAUAUAAAAUGCAAAUUAGGAAAAUAAUCGUACAAAAACAAAAAAGAAUUCACCUGGUGCCAUAUACCCGAUAGUUGCAAGAGUCAUGGUUUGCUUCAUUACUUCACCUUCUCCCAACAAUUUGGCAACGCCAAAAUCUCCAACAUGUGCAACCAUGUCUUCAUCUAGUAAAAUAUUGCUUGGUUUUAUGUCACAAUGAAUUAUAGGUGUUGGAUGUCCAUUGUGGAGGUGUUCUAUAGCUACCGCAACAUCUAUCAUUAUGUCGACCCUUUGUAUGAUAUCAAGGAAACAAUUUUCAGAAUGUAACCAUUUCUCAAGGUUUCCAUUAGACAUGUAAUCAAGCACCAAGGCUUUGAAGUCAACACUUGAGCAGCAAGUAAUGACCUUCACAAUAUUACGAUGAACUAUAUUAAGCAUAACAUCACAUUCAAUGUCAAAACUCCUAAAUGCUCCCUCUGUUUGCAAAUUGAAAACUUUUAUUGCAACUUCCAUUCCAUCUGAAAGCCUCCCUUUAUAUACAUAUCCAAAACUCCCUGAACCAAGCAUAUUGCUUUCCUCAAAUCCAUUAGUUGCUCGUGAAAGUUCAGCAUGUGAAAUUCUUCUCGGUGUCUUCAAAGACAACAAAUCAUCUUUAACUGGUAGAGCUGUACUCCUUUGGCAUCUUCUAUACAUAAUAGUUAAGACUAUUAGUACUAGGACAAUACCAAUUGUUGGUAAACCAUACCUAAAAGCAUGUAAUAUAAUCAUUUGGGAGUUUUUGUGGAUGUCAUUUUUGCAAGGUGGGACUAGCAAUCUAGGUGGACCACAAAAUGCACAAUUAUUCAUGAAUGAUGUGCUAGAAAAGUUUGAAAAACAUCUUUUGCUGGGAAUUUCCCCUUCAAGUCUAUUGAAAGACACAUUAAAAUACUUUAGAUAUAAAAGCUUUUCCAAAGAUUUGGGAAUGACUCCAGAGAGAUUGUUAUUGCAUAAAUCCAAGAAUUCCAAACUAAUCAACCCAUCAAAUGAUUCAGGGAUAUGACCAUGUAGUAUAUUAUUUGAUAAAUCUAAUGAAACCAAAGUUUGAAGACCCCCAAAUGUGGAUAAGAUAUCGCCCAUGAGAAGAUUCCUUGAUAAAUUUAGUCUCAGUAGACUCCUAAAGUUUCCAACAUCAAUAGCAUGUGAAUUGUGAAGAUGGUUUGAUGAUAAAUCUAUUUCUAAGAUAUCUUUAAGAUUCCACAAAGUUGAGGGUAUUGUAGAACUCAAUUUGUUGGAAUCUAACCAAAGAUAUCUCAAAGCAGAAAUAUUACCCAAACAAGAGGGUAUGGGUCCAUGCAGCUUAUUCAACCCUAAAUACAUCUUGUAUAGUCUCUCCAAACCACAGAGGCUUUCUGGGAUAGGCCCUUCUAAUUUAUUAGAGGAAAGAUCUAGACCUUGCAGAUUCCGCAGUCCUCCUAUUGAUGCUGGAAUGAAUCCACUUAAUUUAUUAUGGUCAAGUUCUAAAACCAAUAAGUUGGUUAAGUUACCUAUUUCCAUAGGAAUAAUGCCUUGAAGCUCACAAUUAUAGGCAUGAAAGGAUUGAAGGGAUUUUGAAAGGUUCCCAAUAUAAGUAGGAAGAACGCCACUCAAUGGAUUUCCUGAAACACCUAUUUUUCUCAAAUUCCUACAAUUCGUCAAAGAAGAAAGAAAGCUCCACUCAUGAUCAGUAGCAGAUCCUGUGAUCAAAUUAUUGUCAGUGAUUUUGAGCACUUCAAGGUGUUUUAAGCUGCCAAGCAUUUUAGGGAUUGGGCCAGAGAAUGAGUUAUCUUCCAAGUCUAGUUUCUUAAGCAUGGAAGCAUUGGAGAUAGAGUAAGGAAUGUUUCCGCUAAGUUUAUUUCCCCACAGUAAAAGAAUCUGAAGCUUUGGAGCAUUGGUAAUGGGUGGUAAAUUACCUGUAAAAUAGCAUCUUUUAGAAAACAUAUUCAUUGAAUACCAAAUUCACAAAAUAUAUAAUACAUUAAAAUUAAAACUUUAAAACUUUAAAUCAAUUAAGAAUAAAAUUUUGGCAUGGAAAAUUGUGAUGAAAUCAAUUAGAAAGUUGAGACAUAAUAAGAAGUUUUGAGUAGUAAUUACUCAUGAUUUCCAUAGACAAAACAUAUAAUACACUGAUAAUUUUUUUAAAAAUAUUGUAAAACCUGAAAUAAAAUAAAAAAUAAAAGUUUGGCAUGAGAAUGUGGCAUCUAAUCAUUCUUAAAAAUAAGACUAACAUUGAAUAAUAAUUAGUUAUGAUUUGAGAAACAAAAAUGUUAAAGAUGUAAACUGGUAUGAUUUUUAUCUAUUGGGUUAAUUAUUUAUUUUUAUUAAAUUAUAUAUAGUGUAAAAUUUAAAGAUUAUUAUUUGCUCAAAAUUUUUGUAUUUUUCGUAUAUUUGAAAUUUAAUCUUUAUAUUUUUUAUUUUCUGUGAUUUAGUCUCUCUACUUUUUGAAUUGAAAAUUUUAAGUUUAUUUAUUAACACUGUUAAAAAGUUUUUGUGUUAGUAUGGCAUUUUGAAAAAUAAAAUAAACUUGAUAUCUAUGUUUUUAAUUAUUCCAAAUACUGUUUUACUAUUCCAAGAUAAAUUAUUUGUGUCUAGACCAAUAUCUUAAGAACUAUUGUUGCAUGUUUAAUUAUUCUAAAGAAUUGUUGAUUGAGUCUUAGUUGAAGUGCACUAUUCUCCUAUUUAUGAAUUGGGGAGUUGAUAAAGUACUAAAUUUUGAUAUAUUUUAAAAAAUUAAAAAUUUAUUAAAAUAUUUUUAUAAAAAUUAAUUGUACCAAAAUAUACAAUUUUAAUAUCAAAUUUUUAAUUUUUUUAAAAAUAUUAGCGAAUAUAUACUUUAUUUCAAGUUACACAAUUUUUACUAGUUUUUAACUUUUUUUUUAAAUUUUUAUCGUCUUUUAUAAUUUCAUAUAUUUUUUUAUAAUUUUUUACAAUAUUUACAAUUUCUAACAAUUUUUAAUAAUUUUAUUAUUUAUUAUAAAUUUAAAAAUUAACAAAUUUUUAUUUUUUUAAAACAAUUAUAUAUUUAUAAUGUAGUUAUUUUUUUAUAAUUUUUUUUGAAAUUUAAAGAUUUUUUUGGUUUUUUCUAGAUGAUGAUGCCAUCAUGAUGUCAUCAUAUGCCACAUGGCAAUUUAUAAUUAGUUGACUAUCUCAAUCUAUUUUUUUAACGUCCAAUGGACUAAAACAAGAACACCUGAUAAUGUUAGAGACUACACUAGGAAUGUUUGAUAAUAUUAGGUACUAAAGUGGGCAAAAAAAAUUAAGGACUAUAUUAAAAAUAUAUCUAUAAUAUAUAUAAAUGCAUGGAUUUUGAGAAACUUUUGAAAUGACAAAUAUAUAGUCUUUGUUUUUUUUUACUAUAUUAUUGAAUUUUUUAUUUUAAAUAUUUUUUUAUUACUUUUAAGAUUUAUCAUAUGUAUGGAUAAAAAUUUUGGUUUUACUAAAAUAUUUGGUUAAAUAAAUUCACUUUAUAAAAAAAUUUAGCAUCCUUAUAAAUAACAAUUUUGAUUCCAUUAAAAAAAUUAUUUAAAAAUAUAUAAUAAAAAUUUAAAAUUUAUAUUGAAUCACUUUAUACUUAAAUUAUUAUUAGAAACUUUAUCAUACACAUAUGUGUAUGAGAACCACGUUUUCAGAACUUAAAUUUGUGUUCUAAAAUAACUUAUGAUAAAUAAUUAAAUGUAUAAUUUGAAAUUAUAUUGAAAUAAAAAUAGAUUAAAUUGUAAGUAAAACAUAUAUAAUUUAAACAUAUGAAUACAUCAAAUUAAAAAUACUAAAUGAAUACAUUUAUUUAUGAUGAUGUUGUUGUCAAUUCAUAAGUUGGUGUCGAGUUAAUUUGUGACAUCAUAAUUUUAAGUGAUAAAUUUAAGGUUUUAUGUAUUGAUGUCGAUUCAAAUAUCACCAUAAUUUUUUUAAAUAAAAAACUAAAGCACCCUCAAAUAAUAUAACUUAUAUUAAAUAUGAAAGGGUAUUUUUGUAAUUUCUCUAACGAGUUGGUGCCCGGUUGACUCAUGACACCAACUCAAUCAAAAGCUUCAAUAAUAAUAUAGAUAUUCACGUUUAAAAAAAGUACUUUAGUUCGAAAUAAUUAUGUAACAAGUAAUUUUAUAAUUGAUGAAUAAUUUUAUAAAAAUAUAUUUAUAUGAUCUAAUAUAUUAUAUUUAUAUUAAUUAUAUAUCAUCUACAAACUUUGAAGAUCAAUUUAUUAAGUAUCAGGAAAAGAAAAAAUGAAAUUGAAUUAACACUAAAUCAAUUUUUAGAUUUUGUACAGAUGAUUUAAUGAUGAUAAAAACAUUAUUAGCACUAUUUUUGAAUUAACAAAAAAUUAGUGAUAUAUUUUAAUUAUAUUUUUUAUUUUUUAUUUUUAAUAAUAUUUUUUUAAUUAUAUGAAGUAAAAUUAUAUUGUAUACUAAAUAUGGUACAUAUACUUUAAUUAAAACUUGAAAAAGUAUUAUAUAAAUUAAUAUAUUUUAAUUAUAUUCAACCAUUUGAAUAACAAAAUUAAAAAAAAACUAAUUAGAAUUAUUUACUUUUUAAAGUUUAAUGGAAAAUAAAAAAUAAAAAAUAAAUCAAUUCAUAUAAAUCUUAUUGUUUAUUAUCAGAUUAAAAUGAUAAAAGUAUAUGACAUACAUAGAAGAAACAAAUUCAACACCAUGUUUUUGGAGUUUGGAAAAAAUUAAAGUGAAAAACCUACCUUCUAAACUGUUGUUAAAUAGAUCUAUUUCUUCGAGCGUAGUUGAAUUAAAAAUACUUGAUGGAAUCUGACCUGCACACAUAGUCGAAAAUUGAAGUGAAAUCAAACUCUUUUGUGAAAAAAAUAUUACCAGAUAAUUCAUUCCAACCCAGGUAAAGCCCUUCAAGCUUGGGAAGAUGUUGACACAUAUCAUUAGGCAAACUACCUGAUAGGCUAUUGUUGGAGAGAUUAAUGGUCUUCAAAGAAGAAAUGUUGAAGAUCGAAGUUGGAAUCUGACCUAUAAGGCCUUUAAUUGCUCUAAUACUAAGCCUUUCCAAACUAAGAAGAUUACCAAUUUCCUUAGGAAUUAGACCUGCAGACAGUCGAAAAUUCAAUGUUUUUCAGCAUAUGUUUUUCAUCAAAUGAAAUAAAAAGUUCUUCCUUUUGUUAUCUAUUACAAAUCAAACUCUUUUAUAAAAAAAAUACUUUAAAUUCAAGAAAUCAAGGAAAUUGAUUACCUUCUAGAUUAUUAAACCCCAAAUAUAAUUCUUGGAGUCGUGUUAGAUUUCCAAUACUUCUUGGAAUGAUCCCCAUAAAUUGAUUAUAGGACAACGACAAAAUAUUAAGGUUGUUGCAUUUGCCCAUGCCAAAUGGAAUGUUACUAGAAAACUCAUUGCUAUCCAAGUAAAGCCCUUCAAGCUUGGGAAGAUGUUGACACAUAUCAUUAGGCAAACUACCUGAUAGGUUAUUGUUGGAGAGAUCAAUGGUCUUCAAAGAAGAAAUGUUGAAGAUCGAAGUUGGAAUCUGACCUGUAAAGCCUUUAAUUGCUUUAAUAUUAAGCAUUUCCAAACUAAGAAGUUUAAAUCAAUUAAGAAUAAAAUUUUGGCAUGGAAAAAUGUGAUGAAAUCAAUUAAAAAGUUGAGACAUAAUAAGAAGUUUUGAGUCGUAAUUAGUCCUUCUGAUUUGUAUAGACAAAACAUAUAAUACACUAAUAAUAAUUAGUUUGGCAUGAGAAUGUGGCAUCUAAUCAAUCUUAAAAAUGAGAUGACACUGAAUAAUAAUUAGUUAUGAUUUGGGAAACAAAAAUGUUAAAGCCAUUGCUUUUAAUGUAAACUAGUAUGAUUUUUAUCUAUUGGGUUAAUUAUUUAUUUUUAUGAAAUUAUAGUGUAAAAUUUAAAGAUUAUUUUUAUCUAUUACAAAUCAAACUCUUUUAUGAAAAAAAUAUUUUAAAUUAAAGAAACAAAGAAAAUUCAAUAUCUUCUAAGUUAUUCCACUCCAAAUAUAAUCUUCAGUGAAGAAAUCUUGAAGAUGGAAGAUGGAACCUUACCAGAUAAUUGAUUGAAUCCCAAGCUCAAGGACUCUAGAUUAGACAUGUUAACAAGUGUUUCAGGGAUUGUGCCUAUAAAGUUAUUAUUUUUCAUUUUCAGCCUUCGAACUCCCUGUAAGUUCCCAAGCCAUGAUGGAAUUUCCCCAUUAAGACUGUUGUAUUUUAAUCGAAGGAUCCUCAAACGAUGCAAUUGGCCCAAUUCUUUAGGGAGAUGGCCAUAGAAAUGGUUUCUACUCAAGUCGAGAGAGAGUAGAAAUGAAAGAUUUCCAAGGUGUGGAGGGAUACUACCCCUAAGAUUCAUGCUUUUAAGUUUGGAAACAAAUUCAACACAAUGUUUUUGGAGUUUGGAAAAAAUUAAAGUGAAAAACAUACCUUCUAAUUUGUUGUCAGAUAGUCCUAUUAUUUCGAGCAUAGUUGAAUUAAAAAUACUUGAUGGAAUCUGACCUGCACAUAUAGUUGAAAAUUGAAGUGAAAAACAUACCUUCUAAACUGUUCAACUAAAAAAACUUUAAGCAUAUUUGUUUUUCCAUCAAAUUAACUAUUUUGCCUUGAAUGAAAUAAAAUGCUCUUACUUUUGUUAUUUAUUACUAAUCAAACUCUUUUCUAAAAAAAAACUUUAAAUUAAGAAACUAAGAAAAUUCGGUACCUUCUAGGUUAUUAAACCCUAAAUAUAACUUCUGGAGUCGUGUUAGAUUUCCAAUACUUCUUGGAAUGAUACCCAUAAAUUGAUUAUAGGACAACGACAAAUUUUUAAGGUUGUUGCAUUUGCCCAUGCCAAAUGGAAUGUUACCAGAUAAUUCAUUCCAACUCAGGUAAAGCCCUUCAAGCUUGGGAAGAUGUUGACACAUAUCAUUAGGCAAACUACCUAGGUUAUUGUUGGAGAGAUCAAUGGUCUUCAAAGAAGAAAUGUUGAAGAUCGAAGUUGGAAUCUGACCUGUAAGGCCUUUAAUUGCUUUAAUAUUAAGCAAUACCAAAUCAAGAAUAUUACCGAUUUCCAAACCAAGAAUUUAUAGAAGAAACAAAUUUAACACAAUGUUUUUUGAGUUUGGAAAAUGUUAAAGUGAAAAACAUACCUUCUAAUUUGUUGUCAGAUAGUCCUAUUAUUUCGAGCAUAGUUGAAUUAAAAAUACUUGAUGGAAUCUGACCUGCACAUAUAGUUGAAAAUUGAAGUGAAAAACAUACCUUCUAAACUGUUCAACUAAAAAAACUUUAAGCAUAUUUGUUUUUCCAUCAAAUUAACUAUUUUGCCUUGAAUGAAAUAAAAUGCUCUUACUUUUGUUAUUUAUUACUAAUCAAACUCUUUUCUAAAAAAAAACUUUAAAUUAAGAAACUAAGAAAAUUCGGUACCUUCUAGGUUAUUCAACCCCAAAUAUAAUUCUUUGAGUUGUGUCAGAUUUCCAAUACUUUUUGGAAUGAUCCCCAUCAAUUGAUUAUAGGACAAUGACAAAAUUUUAAGGUUGCUGCAUUUGCCCAUGCCAAAUGGAAUGUUACCAGAUAAUUCAUUCCGACUCAAGUAAAGCCCUUCAAGCUUGGGAAGAUGUUGACACAUAUCAUUAGGCAAACUACCUGGUAGGCUAUUGCUGGAGAGUUUAAUAAUCUUCAGAGAAGAAAUAUUGAAGAUGGAAGAUGGAACCUGACCAAAUAAUUGAUUGAAUCCCAAGUUCAAGAUCUCUAGAUUAGACAUGUUAACAAGUGUUUCAGGGAUUGUGCCUGUAAAGUUAUUAUUCUUCAUUUCCAGCCUUCGAACUCUCUGUAAGUUCCCAAGCCAUGAUGGAAUUUCCCCAUUCAGACGGUUGUAGCUUAAUUGAAGGAUCCUCAAACGAUGCAAUUGGCCAAAUUCUUUAGGGAGAUGGCCAUAGAAAUGGUUGCUACUCAAGUCGAGAGAGAGUAGAAAUGAAAGAUUUCCAAGGUGUGGAGGGAUAGUACCCCUAAGAUUCAUGCUUGUAAGAUUCAAAGCUAUAACUCUUUUAUGGAGGAUGCCACAAGAAACACCAAUCCAAUUGCAAACAGAGGUUGAGGCCGUCCAAUUGUUUGCCAAGACAUUUUGAGGACCGGCAAUGCGAUCCUUAAACUCGAGAAGUGCAAACUGAUCGGAGUUGAGAUUCCUGACUGUCAUACCCCAGCAAAGUCCGGAACAUGGUAUGAAUAAAGCUAAAAGAAGAUGAAAGCAAGUGUUGUAGUUCAUGAUAGCAAGACGGAAUAAGCCAAGAAAAUAAAAAAAAGUAGGACAAGGGAAGUUGAGUUGAUAAAAUAGUUUGGAUGAUGAAGAAAAGCCCAGAGAGCAUGCUUUAAUAUGUUUUGAAGAAAUUUCAAAAUAAAUUUCAAAAUAAAUUUCAAAAUAAAAAUUUAAAAAGGAAAGCAAAGUUUUGAAGAAAUUUCAAAAUAAAUUUCAAGUCUUCUUCUUUAAAAAAUACGUACAAAGAGCGAAUUUUCAAAAUUUUUCCUAAAUUUUCUUCACAUUACUCCACAUAAUCCAUUAAAAAAACUUAAAAAAUAUAUUUUAUUAAUUACUAUACAUUCUUUUAUUUUCAGAAUAAUAAAUUGUUUAAAAUUUGCUAUUAGUCCCUAUAAUUUAAAAGUUAAAAAAAAUUCAAUCCUCCUACUUUUCUAAUUUAAAAAUUUUAGUUCAAUCAAUUUUAAUUUUAAAAUCUCUGUAUAAAAGGUGUUUUUUUUGUGACCGAUCACACUUAACCAAUAUUUAAAAAUUAAUAAAAAAUAUUUUUUUUUGAAAUUUAAAGUGAUCUAAAAACAUAUUUUUAAGUGCUUUGGACCGUCUAUUGUUGAUUUCCUUAUUAUAUUAAGUGUUUGCAAUCACUCCUAAUAUAUUGUGCUUGAGUUGUGACAAAGCCGAUCAUCAAAUUGCCAUAAUGAUCUAUUGAUGCUGAAAUUGAAGUUUUUGUUAUAUUGAUAGAGCUUGUCCUUCAACGCGUACAACGUGUUUGUUAUUUUUCUCCCUUCAAAUUGUAUGAUCUUAUUCAUUAAAUGAAUUAAUGAAUUUCCCUUUUAAAAAGAUAUAUUUUUAAAAAUUAAAUACUUUAUAAAAUAUUUAAAAAUUUGUAAGCCUUAAAACAAUCAACAAAAUAUUUUUGAAAUUUUAUAAAUAUAUUUUAAAACUAUAGUAACGCUACAAAAUAUAUAUAUUUACUAAUUAUAUGCACCUUUUUUAUUUUUAUUUCCUAACAUAUCAUUAUUUUCAACACUAUCGUAAUCCUGUUUUGAUAAUUCCCUUUCCAUACAUCCUUUUUCUACAUAGAAUUUCAAAAGAAAAUGUGAAUUAAUGUAAACGUGAGAAGACUUAAUUACAUUUAUUAGUUUAUCAAUCAAAACUUAAUUAGAAUCCAUCAAUAUUUCACACAUCAAAAACCCAAACAUAAAAUUCACUUUUAAAUUAUUUGAAGAUACAUUUGUAUUAUAGGAAAUCGAUUAAAUUAGUCUUUUAUUAUUAAAUGUAUUAUUUUAAUCUUUGUAUUAGGUAUGAAUGAUAUCUCCUAAAUUGAAGCCAGAGCUAUUCUUGAAAGACUGAAAUUAGGAUUCAGAUGUGUUGAGAUGGAAAGUGACAACACAAUGUUGAUUGAAACUAUUUGUAACAGGUUGACUACAAUAAGUAGUGCUGCCGAAGUAAGACAGAUUCACGAUUGGUGUUCCAAAAAUUGGGAAGUCAAAUUUAGACAUAUUCAGCGGAAUGCCAAUAAAGUUGUUGAUUGCAUAGCUAAGGCAAAUGGAGGCGUAAUUGAGCAGCUGGUUAUCUUGGAAGAUCCUCUGCAUUAUGUGAGAUGGUAGCUUGAAGAAGAUAUUAGACAGUCACUAGUGACUGAUGAUAAUUUUCAUUUGGACUGAUGAGCGCUUAAUUUUCUAAGCUUAUGUUCAACAAAAAAAAUUUUAACUACGUUUAAAUUGUAAUAGAGUUAACAUUUAGUGUUUAAAAAAUAUCUUAAAAAUUAUUAUUUUUUCCAAUUGCAGUUCAAUUCCACAAAUAUCGACGAUGAAUCCGGACAUAAAAAUUAUAGAAAAAAAACACAUCUAUUAUCAAACCAACAAUCCAUGUCUAAACUUAAAUUAACAAAAUUUGCCACGCAACGCCCAGUACACUAUUAUAUAUAUACUAGAUUUAUUCUAGAUGCACAUGUUUUAUUAUAUUUAAAAUUUAAAAUAUAUGGUUGACUAAGUGUUAGUUGAGUUAGUAUUGCUAUUAUUGUCAGUGUAAGGAAAUGUGAGUUUAAUUGCGCUCAAAUGUGUUUUAUCCUCCAAUUCAAGGGUUAGGAAAAGGUUAUUGAUAAUUAAGUUAUACCAACUUUUAUGAUAUUAAAAAAAGGAUUUAUAAAUAAUAUAAGGAAAAGAAAGAAAGAGAAACAUAUUCAUAUUGAUGGGCUCUUUCAAUAUUAGACUUUUUUUUCUAUCACAAGUAAAAAUAUCAAAGGUGAUAAUAAUUAAAUUAUAAAAUUUAAAUUGAGAAAAUAGGGGAUUGAGUUUAUAAGUUUUAAAGUAUAAAGAAUGAAUAUAUAACUAACAACAUAUUUUAACCACAUAAUAAAAGUAGUUAUGGUAAAAUAAUGACCUGAAUAAUUUUAAACGUCUCAUCCUUGCAAAAAUGAAAUAAUAGAAAAGAAAUAAGUGUUGGGUGUAGUGGCAAUGUACAUCAUACUUCUAAGGGGAGAUUAGGGUUUUAGACAAGGGAAGAAUUUUAAACUUGCUCUUUUCUCUAGAACUCAACGCAAACCUCAAAUUUAUCUUUUUAAAAGAAUUUAAAAAUAUGUAUAUAAAAGGUGAUUUUUUUACCGAUCACACUUAACAAAAUUUUAAAAAAAAAUGAAAUUUAAAGUGAUCUAAAAACAUAUUUUUAAGUGCUUUAGACCAUCCUGUGCUGAUUUCUUUAGUAAUUUGAUUUGUUCAAUAUAGAUUUUGGUAACUUAAAACAAAAUUAAUAAAAAAUUAUUUUUUUAGAUAUCUUUUUAAUGUUUAAUAAUAAGUUAAUUUAUAAAAUAUACUUUCAUUGGACACAGGGCCUCCAAGGCGGUGAACCACUAAUCAAAUUAAUUUUGAGAUACUUAAAUUUGUUUUCAUCAAUUAAGAAAUUAAAAAAAUUGUUGAGACCUCAUGAUUAUGUUUUAUAAUUUCAGGCUUAUCAACUAUUUUGAAAAACAACAAAACGUCUUACACCAAAAACUAAAAAAUAAAAACGUCGACAUUAAAUUUGUUGGCAUGCAAUCAAUUUUAAGAUGGUUUUUGGAGUUAUAUAUCACCUUAGCAUUGACUUACUUUUCUACAGUUUGUCUUCUCCAACAAGUUAAAUAUUUCAAUUUUAACAACAUUGACAGGUCUUUGGGGUAGGGUCGAGCAAAAUUCAAUAAAAACAGAUGAUAUAAGUUGAGUUGGCUCGGCCAAGUCGAGUCGAUUUGUUCAAAUUAUUUAAAUUAGUAAAUUUUAGGGUGCAAUUAGAAUUUUUUGUUUUGAGAUGCUAAUUAGAUUAAAAAAUUUCAGUUGCUAAAACAAAAAAAUUGUAUUUAAAAAGGCAUAAAUUAAAUAAUUAAGUUUUUCGAGUUUCCAUUUAAUCAAAGGUUAAAAGGACUAAAUUGAAGCUUUUUAUUUUUAAGAAAGGCUGAAUGACAAAUUGCCCAAAGCCCAUGGCCCUAGCUAUACAACUAACUUUUCUAUGAUUAGUCCUUGGUUUGCUUUGGGUGAAAUCUUCCAACUAGCCUCAUCCUUGGUUUUACUUUCCAACAAUUAGUGUAUCGCGGGUUUUGUUUUCUUUAAAAAAUAUUUGUGGAUAUUAGGAGAUAAUGAAAAUUAUUUUACUAUGAAAUUUUAAUAAAACUGGAAAAUAAGUAAUUUAUUUUAAGAGAUCACAAUUAAACGUUAGAUUUCCCCUUUUUAAAUUAUAAAUUUUUUUUUGACAAUUGCAUAAUAUUUUGAGCGUUGUAGGAAUGCCAUAAUAUAACCUUCCCUACGCAUAAUCGACUCUUGAGCAUGAUGGAUCCUAGACCUUCUCCUCUAUUCUCGUACCACAAAUUGCUUCAAGUGUGGGUUCGAACAAUCACAAAUUAAACGCAAAACCAAAAAUGAUUUAUUACUUUCAAUAGCAAAGUAAUUCUCUCUCAAUAGAAACCAAUAGAAUUGUAAUUCCUAGAAAAUAAAAUUUAUUUUUUGAAAAUAUAUUCUCACUACUUUCUAGCAGAAUAACAAUAUGUGAAACUUAUGUCUUGUGUUAAUAGCUCUACCAGUACUAUCUAUUUAUAGGGAGAGACACGAGAAUCCUGGUUGAAUUAGUAAAACACGAAUAAUAUUUAUUUCAUAGAAAACAAUAUUCCACCCUAAGUAGAUCAAGUUUGUAUGACGCAUGGAUCAAAGCUCAAUCUAGGAGAAAAAAAACAAAGGAAUUUUCUUUGUAAAGAAAAUUUGAGAUUGUACUAUUUUCAAAGUUAUAAAUAAAAUUAUACGCCAAAUUUUCAAGUCAAUUUUCAACUCCAAUUUUGUAUGCACAAAUUUCUAAUACACUUGGUGGGACAUUCUUUGACUUUUAUCUAUUCUCUCAAAAAGUUAAAGUUCAAAGUUACAUUAAACUCAAAGAAGAUAUUCAUUAGUAAACCACCUCACAAGCCUGCUCAAGCUAAUCCUACAACUCGUUCCACUUCAUCAUCAAACACCAAUAUUCUUGCUUAUCCUUAUGGAAUUAAACAGUCUCAUUUUCUGCAUUUUGGGUACACACUUAGUUUUGUUUGAUGCUAAAACAGUCCCCGAGCACUCCAAAACCUAUAAUUGAACAAAUAAUACUAAUUUAAUCUUACAUAACAUGAUCCCAAAUUGAAAUUGUAUCGAGGUUUUAACCCAUAAGUGACUAAACCUUACCUUCAACCGAUGAACAGUAAUUCCCACACAAACUAAGACUCCAAUUGGAGAUUACGAGCCAUUGAAUCCUCCCCUAAUUGGCAUAAACAAAACACUUCAAAAGAAAGUUAACAAAUGGAGACAAAUCACUUAUCUAAAACUUACCGAACGAUCACAGAAAAACGUGGAGUGACACGAGGCAGAGUGGGAAAAGAAAAAUCAAGAGGAUGAAGGGUGAAAGAGAGCAAAAAUUCGGUAGCAAUGAAGAGAAAAACAGCAAGAAAGUGGAGGGAUUUUAGGGAAAGUAAAAAAAAAGAUGAAUAGAAUAUUUGAUAACUACCCAAUCCCUUAUUUCUCUCUAUCAAACUCCCCACUAAAUCCACUACUCGAAUUUUUAGUCCAUCUCAAACUCUCCUGGACGCACGAGCAAAAAAUAAUGACCAUGCCAAAAUUUAAACAAAAGACCUCCUUCACACCAACACUCCACUUAUCCACCAGACCAAUAGGCUCAUUCUUUUAAUUAUUUUCCAACUUUUACUUAAAAGCCUACUGACCAAAGAUAGGGCUUAUUCAUAAAAAUACCAAAUUUUGCCCAAGACCUGGCUUGAACUUGGGACCUCUCAAACACACCCAGAACACAUAACCACUAAAGCAGACAGAAAUUUUGUGUCACACAUUCACAAUACCCAAAAUUAAAAUUUUAGGGCGUUACAAAAACACAUUAAACAAUAUCGCAUAAAACAAUCACAGUCAGAUAACAAUUCAGAAUGUCGAUUUUACAAUUUAACCACCAAUAGUAUCAUAGUAUUCACAGUUGUAAUUUCAGAAUAUCAAAUUUCCACAUCAUUCACAAUAUUCACACAUAUAUAAAUAUAUCAUAAUAGAAUUCUAGAUUUGUAUGCACAUGAUUUAGAAGAUGCCAUACAAUUUUGGGUUUUAACAGAAUAAAUCCUACCCCACAUUACAUACCAUAAUGGGAGUUCCCCUAAACUCCCUUCUCCAACACACUAGGUUGUGGAUAAACCACUAUUGGUUCACAAAUAAUAACUGUCAUUUGGCUGUGGACACAUAGCAAGUCCCCGCAAUUGGAUUCUAGAUUUGGUUGUGGAUUCACAGCAAAAAAAUCCUACAAAUGAAGCCUGCUUUUGCCUGUAGAUUAUACAACAUAUACCCGCAGUUGGAAUCUGUCUUUGGCUGUGGAUGCAGUGUAACACCUCAAACUCGACCUAGACGUUAUGGCUAAAUCUUAAUGAUUUACUUUAACUCGCUAGAAAGCCCACGAAUUUACUUUAAAAUCAUGUGGUUAAACUAGUGUUCACUUUGAUAAAUCGUUUUCCAGUUUUAGAGAAAAUUCUUGUUAAAACUGUUACUUUAUUACAAUAAAACAUUGAAGUAAUUGUAUCAUUUUGUAGUGGAAUCUACUAAGCUAUAAGGUUUUGAAAAUCGUGAUUUAGUUUGAAACAAAUCAUUUUGCAAAUAGAAAUUUAAUACUACUUAAUUUGGAAAAGCACGCUAAAACGAAAGCAAAGUCCAAAAUAAUUUACGGUUUGAAAUUCUAAAAAGCCCAAAUUAGUCAUAAAGUCUAUUUAAACCAAUUUAUCGAAAGUGUAACACCCUAAACCCGGCCUGUAUGUUAUGGCCAAAUCUAGAUGUGUUACGAAAAAAAGUUUAUAAAACGACUUCCUUGUUAUUGGCAAAUCAUCGUAGCCAUUAUUACUUAGUAUAUCUGAUUUGUUUGGAAAACUUAUUGAUAUACUUAUUUGAUUUAAAAUCGUUGCUCACUUACGCCUUUUUAUUAAACCAAAUAUUUUGCAGCGGAGUUUCUUUAAAACAUCAUAUUUUGGAAAAUCAAAUUGUUUCUUGAAAAUCGUUAUUUUAGAAAAGUUGUCAUUUUCAGAAAAAUUAUUUUAUCAGUUGUUAUGCUGAGAAAACAAAAUAAAAUCCAAAACCAAAAAUAGUCCCAAAAAGUCUAGAGAGUCCCAAAAUGACAAUACUCUUAAAACUAGACAAGUUUAAACUAAUUUUAAAAGAAUGAAAUUUUACAGAAAUGUGGACACCACUGAGCUUCCGUCGCACCGACCCACCUAAAUCUGAGGGUUACUUGAACAGAAUAAACAAACAGAGAGUGAGUUUUGAAACUUAGUGUCUAACGCGUAUAUAAACAAAAAUUCAGAAUCAAUCUCAUGCAGAACAGAUACAAGUGUAAACCUUUUAUAAAAUUAGAAUUAUACAGAUACAAAUAUGCAACAUCCUACCCUCAUCCUCUACACACCAACUCCGACCAUUCUAUCACACCACGUGGGGUAUAAAAUACCCACCCAGCCCUACACACCGUAUAGUAUUUAUAUGACACUUUUUGGAAUAAUCGCAGCAGAGUUGCCAGUAUAUAGGCGAGAUAUCACCUCACACAGAACACUUCCUCCUCAUAAUACAAAUCCCGCCCCAUAGCCAGAUACAGACAAAAUAUCAUGUAAAAUAAAUUAACAGAUACUAGAGUUAACAUAUCACGCAUGAGCGUAUAAUAGAUAUUACACAUGCUUAUGCAUAACAAAAUAGAUCAUACAUAUUGUAUUCCAUAAUACUCAUAUAAAUGUUAUUUACGUCAAUCUCAAUCUAAUAGAGUAGCUGAUUUCAUGCUUUAACUCUUAUACCACACAUACAGACCCUAUAGAAGGCCCACAGUUGAUCGAGACAACAUGUAUGUCCCUAGGGAAAAAAUUUGUAAUUUGGGCCCAUAUGCAUGUAUGAGCCCACACACCCAAAAUGGCCUUGCCCAUGUGGCUCACCUACCUAGCACUCAGCCCAUACGGUCCAAAAUGGCCUAGGUCGUGUGUCACACACAGCCGCAUGUUGCACACAGCCUACCACAUAGCGAGUCACAAAACCGUUUGGAGUUGACAAGCCUAAUUUUUGGCUUUCGUCAAUCGUCAUUUUCUUACGUUUUCAUUACACACUUGGUUUGAUUCUGACCCAAAAGCAACCCUAAGUCCACCGAAACCUAAAAAUAGCAUUCCAAUGCCCAAUUUCAGUGAACAUUUACAAAACUUAAACAAAAACUAUCCAAAAACAUAGCCUCACAAUAGCAUCCAAUGCACUCGCACACUUACCGUCAACGAAUAGGAAACACCCAACACUCAAUUCGUUGGCGGAGCACCAAUUAUGAUAAUGCAAAAAUUUUAUGGAUUCUCAACACUAUCGAUCCAAAUGUAAGAUUGAUGCUUUCCAAUUAUGAUAAUGCAAAAAUUUUAUGGGAUGGUUUACAUGAAUUUUUGUUGUUGUCAACGAUCAAUGUAUUCAAUAAUUAAAAGAAAAUAUUAGUCGUUGUUAGAAAACCAAUACUAUGAGUGUUGUAGUUUAUUUCAGUAAAUUAAAGGUUUUGUGGGAUGAACUAGACAAUCAUGAACAAUUGAUUUAUUGCAAGUGUGGACAAUGUUUAUGUAACUUAGGGAAGACGGAUGAACAAUGUCGUGAGCAUGAUCGACUUCAUCAAUUACUUCUUGCUCUCUAUUCUAAUUGUUAUGCUCAAACUAGGUUUACAUUGUUUUACCAAGAUCCUUUGCCUUCCUUAAAUCAGGCAUUCCAACAAAUUACUUAGGAGGAACAUGUACGUGGAAUUACACUGAUUAAGGAAGAGAAGUCUGAUAUUUUAGGCUUUGCUUUGCAUACAGAAGGUCAUAACAAAGGCCGAGCUAAUUGUAUUGAUAAGUCAACCUUGUUGUGCACUCAUUGCUAUCGCAAAAGGCAUGAGAUGGCUACCUAUUUUGAAUUACAUAGCCACUUGGAUUGGCGGCUUAAGAAGUAUGGGAAGCCAGAGAAGAAAAGUGAUGAUCGUGGUGGUAAGACAAGUGCACAUCUUCCACGUAAGUAUUUUAUUUCAAAGGAUCACAAUUAAACAUUAGAUUUCUCAUUUUUAAAUUUUUUUUAUUUUUUUAACAACUACGUAAUUAACGAGUACCAAUUUUGGGUGUUGUAGGGGUUCUAUAACUUUCCCUAUAUGUAAUCGACUCUUGCACCCUCUUUUUUUCUCUAGAAUUCAAUGCAAACCUUAAAUUUAUCUUUUUAAAAGAAUUUUAAAAUCUCUUUAUAAAAGACGAUUUUUUUAGGUGACCAAUCACAGUUAAGAAAAACAAAUCGGUGGCAACUCCUUUCUAAUAAAUGUAAAAAACUUUUUAAACAAAAUAAGGUUGAAAUAAUCUAGUUGUCGUUAUACUUUGAUAAAAUUUUAGAUUUAGUCCUUAUACUUAAAAGGUUAAAAAUUAAGUCUUGUUUUUAUUUAAAAAUCUUAGUCCUAUCGUUAAUAUUGUUUUUUUUUUGUCAAAAUUUGUCAAGUUGACAUAUUAAUUAGGUUUCUCUUAUAUAUCGUGGUAUAUGACUAACACAAAAUAAACAAGUUGACAAAUUCUACAAAAAAUAUCAAAGAUGAUAAUAGUUUAAUUAAAAUUUUUAAAUUAAAAAAGUAAGGGAUUAAAUUUAUAACUUUUAAAGUAUAAUGAAUGAAAUUAUUGAAAUACAAGAACUAACAACAUAUUUUAAAAAUAUUACUAGUAAAUUAUAUAUCUACAACAAGAAUUGUAACCUCUUAUAUUAUAUUCUUGUAUUUAUUUUUGCAUCUUUCAUAAUAUGAUUUAUUAAUUUUAAUAUUUUUAUAGAAUAAUAUGCUUUAAAUAGUUUUUUGUAUCAUUUAUAAAAAUUAUAAUAAACUUACAAAAUAAUUUAAUGAUAUUUAAUUAUUAAUCGAAAAAAAUGAUAUCAUAUAUAUUAUGUAUAUAUUAAGAUUCCAAAUCAUUAAUUAUAUAUCUACGCAUUAUAAUAAAUUCAUCUUUCAAAAUUUUCCUUAUAAUUAAAGCAUAAAUUAUAUUUAUAAUAAUAUAAAUAUAUUCUAUCAUAAAUAUUCUUUCAAAUAUUUUUUAAUGUUUAAUAAUAAGUUAAUUUAUAAAAUAUUCUUUCAGUAAAUUAACGUGAUGAGAUCGUUAGGUGCUUGGAUUUGGUGAAGGGGGAUGAAGAGAAAAGGGAUGGAAGUGAAUAAAAAUGUUGAGAAAUGGAAAGGGUUAGCGAGGGAAGCCGCCAUGAAAGGUGGUUCAAUGGAUAUGAACCUUCAAGCUUUUGUGGAUGAUGUUACUCAAGGUUGUUGCAAGUAAAUUUAAAAAUGUUUUUAAAUUAUUUUUUUGUUAAAAAAACAUUUUUUACUUUUUUAUGUGGCAUGCCACAUUAUCAUACUAUCAUGUGACAAUUUCUGGUGAUUUCUGUCCGCAACAUUAGUCAAAUCAACUGUUAAAUCGUUCAACUCACAGUUUUUGUUAAAUGAAGAGGUUAAUUGAUUUUUUUUUGGAAUCAUUGAGUACUCAAUUGGUGCACUUUUUUCAUAAAGGCUAAAUUAAUUUUUUAAUUUGUUAUUGUUGAAGGCUAUAGCAAUAAAAAAAAUUGAGGUAAAAAAAUAUUAGAGCUAAAUUUGUCAUUAUGCCUAAAAUGUAAAACCAAAUUUUUUUGAAAAUGAAAAAAAAUGGAAAAUCGCAAAUUCCGUCGCAUAUUUUUGCUUAAAAUUAUAGUUUUGGUCACCAAUCUUUUGAAGUAAAUAUAGGUCACCAAUAUUAUCAAUUUGUUACUUUGUAAUAACUCACCUUAAGUUAUACCCCGACGCACGAAAGGAUUAAAUGACAUUGGGAUACCAUCAAACUUGUAUCUUAAAUACACAUUUACCCCUAAUUUUAUCACAUUCUUCUUAAUUGGUAUUUAUGGUUUAGAAAAUUUUACAAAUAUAUUAUUUUUUAAGAAAUUAUAAGAAGAUUACAAAAAUUCCAAAAUAAUAUAAAAAAGCUAAGGAAAACCUAGAAAUUCAAAAAAAAAAACGUGGACAUUGAAUUUGCUGUUUCACAUUAAAUUUUUGGAGAAGUAGAAUUUUCUAACUUAUUUUCCAUCAACUUCACUUCAAUUUUCAAUCACAAUCUAUUGCAUUCAAGAGCACCACAUCUUUUGGGAUGAAACAAACCUCUCAAUUUUAAGAUAAACGGAAUCUAUUGCAUUCAAGAGCACCACGUCUUUUUGGAUGAAACAAAGCUCUCAAUUUUAGGAUAAACGGGUCUUUAGGGUUAUAAAUUGAGGUCCUUUUCCACAAUUGCGGGUGAUUCGUUGAUAAUAACCUCAACAUUUCUGUAUCACAUUUAAUUCAAUUCCACAUUCAAUUUUUAGUUUUUAGAGAGAUGAUUGGGUUACAACAAUGGUUUGAAGUGAAGAUAUUUCAAAACAAGAUGAAUACUCUACCAAUAGUCAUAAUUUAAAAUGCAGGUUAUGUUUCAUUUCAGCUAAGUUAAAUGUUAAGAUUGAGGUUAAACCUUUUAGAGGUUGCUCGCAAAAGGAUCAAACCUUUAUAAAAUUGUUUAAAUGAAGGUCAAACCUCUUAAAAUAGACAAAUAAGGGCCUAACCUUUUAAAAGGUGUUCAAAUAAGGGUUUCUCAAAUUUUGUAUAUCAGGUUAUGUAUUUUACUCUAAACACAUCGACAUUUACCUAUUUUUUCUAUAAAUUGGGUUGAAGUGCAUGAAAAAACCUUAUUUAAGCACUUCUGUAAAGGUUAAACUCUUAUUUGACUAUUUUGAAAGGUUUGAUCCUUAUAUAAGCAACCUCUAAAAGAUUGAGUACUAAUUUGACAAGAUUGAGAAAUACCUAAAUUUGUUUUCAUGAAUCAAGAAAAUAAAAAAGAAAUGUUGAGAAAUAUUUUAGAGAUUCUUAGCUUUGACAAGUUCCCUCCAUCAUCUUCCUGCCUCCAGUCCCACCUCUUCUCUUAUGCUCCUCCCAGCUUCUUGCUUUUUGUGUGUUGAAAUUUCAAAGGAACAAAAUAUCAACCUACAUCAUAAGGCACGAUUGCCAGAACUUUACUUUCUAGCCUGUCGAUCCGAUCCAAUGAAAGAAGAACAAAGAGUCUCAAGAUCUGUCAACUUUAUUUCAUUUUCAUUUUCUUUGUCAUUUUCUAUGUUUCAUGUCGAAUACAAUGAAAGAACAUAGAAAAAUGUUGCCUAUUUAUUUCCCAAUCAUCAUGAAAUUACUUGCCAUAGACUUAGAAUUUUCUCACCAAUUUUCAAGCAAUCUGACAUGAUUUCUCAAUCACAAUUAAUUGAAUUCAAGAUCUUUUUAGAUGACACAAACAUUUCAAUUUUAACACAAACCAAUAUUUAGGUUGUACUUCAGUGCUUGACAAGCACUUUCACAUUUGUGGGAUAAGAACUCUUAACAUUUUAGGAUCACAUUUAAUUCAAUUGCAUUUAAGACCUCACGAUUUUAUUCUAUAAUUUCAGUCUUAUCAGCCUUUUCGGAAACAAUAAAACGUCGACAUUAAAUUUGUUGUUGAUGCAUUCAAUUUUUUGAGGGGUCUUUGGAGUUAUAUGUGACUUUAGCAUUGACUGACUUUUUUAUAAUUAAUCUUUUAUAAUAUAUCAAUUUUAAUAACAUCGACAUGUUUUUUAGUAGGGUCUAGCAAAACCCAAUUAAAACCGAUGAUAUUGGCUUAGUUGACUCGGUCAAGUCCAUUAGAUUGAUAAAAUCAAUUUUAAAAUCAGUUAUAAUGGAUUAAGGUAAUUAAUUAUCGAGUAAUGAAAUACAUAAUCAAAUCAAUUGAUUUUGUUAGAAACUAAAAGAAAAUGAGAUAAGCUGAAAACUGAUUGCCCUUUAUUAAAAUUAACGAAUCCGCCCUUUACGUAUUAGAUAAUACGAACAUCACAUAUAUAAUAAGAAAAAUUACGUAUGAUUAUUUAUUAUCAUAAAAGGUUAGUUUAAAUUUAAAGUAAUCUAAUAUGUUUAUUGAACUUCAACUAUUAAAUAAAGUAUAAGCUAAAUAAGUAUAAAUAUUCUAGAAACCAUUUCUAACUGAUGAUAGGCUAAUUCGAUUAAUUUAUAAAAACUACAUAGUAGGGUUAUAGUCCUCAAACUACACCUAAUUUAAUAAUAUUUAUAGUUUUUUUUUUAGCCUUAAACAUUUAUAGUUUUUUGUUAAUUUGGUCCUUACUCUUUAAAAUUACAUAAAAAUUGCAAAAAAAAUUAAAAUUAAUUUUUUUUCAUAAUUUUAAUAACAUUUAUAGUUUUUUUUUUGUGUGUGGUUUGGUAACUUAUCAACUCGACUCUCACUUGUAACCAACUUUUCUAACCUUUUUCGUACCCUUAACCUAAGUCCCGUUACAACUUUCUAAAGACCUCUUUAUCAGUGUAUCAUGUCGGUUUGUUUUAUAAUGGUGGAGAUUUGUUUUUUGUAGUGGCACGAUUGCCAGAACUUUACUUUCUAGCCUAUCGAUCCGAUCCAAUGAAAGAAGAACAAAGAGUCUUAAGAUCUGUCAACUUUAUUUCAUUUUCAUUUUCUUUGUCAUUUUCUAUGUUUCUUGUCAAAUACAAUGAAAAAAGAACAUAGAAAAAUGUUGCAUAUUUAUUUCCCAUUCAUCACUCUAACAGGCCCAAUUAGCCCAGGCCCAAACAUUAAUAAAAUGUCUAGAUUACAAAAUAAUCAACUAAAAAUUAAAAGCUCAAAAAAUAAAAUAAAACCCAUUAUAUUAACCCAAAACCCCAGCCCAAUUACAUUGAAACCCAAAAAAAAAAUAGUUUUCAGAAACCCCUAGGGUUUCAGAAGCCCCUCAAUGUUAUUUUGUAUAUCUAUUUAUCUUUUUAAAUUUUCGAUAUUGUCUUGUUUUGUUUUUGUAUUAUUGUUGUUACCAUCAUUAUUCAUUAUUAUUAUUGUUGAUUUUAUUGUUCUUUGAUUAAUGUUAAUGUUAGAGUAAUAGAUGUUAUGUGAUCAUUGUUAUUAUAUGUUAUAAUUUGUUUACACUCGUAUUGUAGUCAUUUGUCAGCUUAAUAUUUUGAGUAAUAUUUUAAAUAUUACAUUAAUUUCGACCCAAAUGCAUAAUUUUUUAAUAAGUAAUAUUUUAUAUUUUGAAAUUUGAGAGAUCAUUCCCUAACUUACGGGGUCUCAAUUUUUUCGAUAAAUCUGAAUAUACUAACUAUUUUCAAAAAAUAUGUUUUAAAAUUAUCUCGGGAAUUUAAAAAGGAGCGUGUUCUAACUUACUGAAUAUGAUCUUUUUUUUAAAAUCGAGAUAAUCAAAUAACUUUCAAAUAAAUAAAUUUUCAAUGUUUAUUCUCAUAUCAGGAUUUAAAAUAUUAUAUCCUAACUCACGGGAUACAAUUCUUUUUCUCGAUUAACAUGAAAUAUGCCCGUUUUAAUUUUAUUUUUUAAGUGAUUUUAACAAAAGGAUUGUAUUUUAAAUCUCUUCAAAAUUUUCAAUUUUUCGACAUUGAGACAUUAACUAAUCAAUUAGGUACCAAUUUUGGGCGUUACGAGGGUGCUAACCCUUCCUCAUACGUAACCGACUCCCGAACCUAUUUUUCUGAAUAUUGAAGGCCAAAAUUGUUUUAAUAAAUUAAACCCUUAAGACGUGACCCCAUCACACCUCAUAAAAAUUAUCGGUGGCGACUCUCGUUUGCGUUUUUGUUUUCGUUUUCAAAAUAAAAGUCGACCCCUUGUUUUAAAAAAGGUGGUUCGAUAGCUUGGCGACUCCGUUGGGGAAAAAAAUAAGAGAGUCAAGCCACGAGUUGAUUAUUUCUUAUUUUUUGUCAGAAAUUGUGAAUUCGAUUUAAAUUUACGAUCUUUUCAUUGCAUUUUAUGGUCUGCAUCAUUUUGAUAUGCUUGCUUUACUGGUUCGAGUCUUUUAAUCUCCGCAUAUUGCAUUGCAUAACCGUUCGGUUAUACCCUUUUAAGUGGGAGUGAGAAACUAUUCAUUUGUGAGAUUUUUACCUCCGUAUAGGAUAGUGGAUUACUUUCGGGAUACAUCCGUACCUAUGUCUUCGUGAGAUUUUCAUCUCCGUAUAGUUAUAGGGAAAUGUAUUCCCCUGAACUGAACUCAGUCCGUAUGAGCCUAUAAUAGGUAAGGAUUGAGGAAUCUGCUGGUUCAGGUACCCUUUCUUUAGAACUAAACUGCAUGUAGUGAGCCCUAAGAGCAUACCGUAGGUAGAACCACUCCAAACCCCUAGUGGUCACCCAAAUAGGUGCUCUAUUUAUUUUUGCUUGCUUAUUUUUGCAUUGUACUAACCUAUUUUUUUGUUAUGAUUGCAUUGCAUUUUCAUCAUAAAAAAGAUGUGUUGAUUCACGUUCAAUUGCUAAAUAGAGAGCUUGUCAUGGAAAACGGAUUUCUUGAUAAAGUGGAAGACAAUGUGGUUAUCCGGAUAUGGUCCAAGAAAAUUUGACGAAAGAAGGGUGAUAGUCUAAUGGAGGACUACACGACCUUGCUUUAUUGCCCGAGGAUUCAAGUUGACAAAGAUUAUUUGAGAGUCCUCAAUGUCCCGACCUUUUUCAAGAAGCUAACGAGUGUCACGAGGAUGAGUGAGUAAUGAGUUGCGGCCCGGAUCAAGCAAAAAAGAGAUAGAGGAGACACCCUUUUUGAAGAGUUCGCGAGAUUUAUAUUAAUAUCAAAAUGAAGAAAAAGAUCAAUGUCUUCGCCUGGAGUAUGAAAGCAAAGCUGUAUAUAUAUCCGCUUUAUGUAAAUAAAUUUGUUUUCUAGUAAAGUUUUUCUAAUAGAAUUGAAUCAGAAUCAAUGUCUUUUUUUGCAUUCAUUCCAUUCAUCUGCAUUGCAUUUCAUUGCAUCCAAAAUUUCACAAAAGGACCCUAAUUAAUUGAAAUUGUUAUAGUUACUCUGAAAACUAAUAAAAAUCUACCAAUUAAAUAUUCCUACGGUACCCGUCGCAAAACCAAAGUAAUGGAUCAAAUAUUAGAAAGAUUAGAACAAAUUCUGAAAGACAAGCAUAAUCGUUUUUGCUUAGGGUACAAGCCAGAUACAAGACAAAGAAGGAAGGAGUUAGAGAAGAAAUAGGAAAGAAUGACAGCAUAUUUGAGCGAGGAUGAGGUCAAAUGGGAGCCUAUGAACUUUCCCUACAUAUCCAAAACUUUUGUAUCGGGAGGGAUUAUUCAUCCCGAGCGAAGAAUGCCAAGAGAAGAAAAUAUUGAAGAAAUGUUGGGAAACGUUCACAUCAAUGCCAUAUACGAAGAAGUAGUUGAAGGAUGGACCUUGUUAGAUAUCCGACCUUAUGAACCUGGGAGUGUGCUAAACAAUUGGACUACAGAAGAAAUUCCUGUAGUGUUUAGACCUUACUCAGAGUAAUAUUCAAAACACACUUGUUGCUUUUAGCCUAGAAGUGAUAAGAAUCCCUCUGUGAAAUAGGCUCAUGUAUAAACAUCAUUAUUUUAAUAAAGUAAAUCUUUGCAUUCAUUUUGAGCAAAUAUUCUUUUAUUCUUUCCAUACGAGUAAUUAUUUUAGAUUUUUCAUUAUUUUAGGAUUUUCUUCCAAAAAUCAUUCUUUUAUUACAUUCAUAAUCAUACUGUACAAAUAAUUAUUCUUAAAUUCAUUCAUUCUUUGUAUAUUCUUUUGUACCUAUAAUAGGUCCCUAGAUAUCAACGACAUGAGUGACGCUGCUACAGACUUAGAAUUUCCUUUUAAACAAGACAUGUGUUUAGAGGGAUCCCAUGACUUUGAAGAUGACGUAGACUGUGGCUUAUCUCCGGACUUGUUAAGGAUGGUAAAACAAGAGGAGAAGCAAAUCCUACUUCACAAUGAAUCAAUGGAAAUUGUGAGCUUAGAAGGGGAAAAUAGGUGAAGAUUGGGACUGACAUUGCCACAAAUACGAAGUAAGACCUCAUUGAGUUACUCUAAGAAUUCAAAGAUAUUUUUGCAUGGUCAUACUAGGAUACGCUCGGGUUAAGUACUGACAUUGUAGUACACUGCCUUCCUAUAAAAGAAGAUUGCUAGCCAGUUCAGCAGAAACUCCAGAGGAUGAGGCCUGAUAUUGUGCUAAAAAUAAAAGAAGUCAAAAAGUAAUUUGAUGUUGGGUUCUUACAAGUGGUCAAAUAUUCAGAAUGGGUAGCCAACAUCGUCUCAGUUCCUAAAAAAAAUGGGAAAGUACGAAUGUGCAUGGAUUACAGAGACUUGAACAAGGCCAGUCGAAAAGACAAUUCCCUAUUGCCUCACGUUGACACUUUGGUGGAUAAUACAGUAGGCUACUCACUUUUUUCCUUCAUGGAUGGCUUCUCUGGAUACAAUCAGAUAAAGAUGCAUCCAAAAACAUGGGAAAGAUUACAUUCGUGACCCUGUAGGAAACGUUUUACUAUAAAGUGAUGACAUUCAGAUUAAAGAAUAUGGGAGCGACGUAUCAAAGGGUGAUGGUAACCUUGUUUCAUGACAUGAUUUACAAGGAAAUCGAGGUUUAUAUUGACGAUAUGAUUGCAAAAUCUAGAACAGAAGAGGAACAUGUGCAGGUCCUGAGAAAAUUAUUCUUAAGACUGAGAAAGUUCUAGCUCAAGCUUUCCAACGAAAUGCACUUUCGGAGCUAGGUCAGGAAAGCUAUUAGGCUUCAUAGUCAGUGAAAAAGGAAUCGAGAUCAACCCAGACAAAGUCAAGGUAAUAAGAGAUUUACCUCCACUAUGCACUCAGAAGAAAGUUCGAGGUUUCCUAGGAAGACUAAAUUACAUUGCUCGGUUUAUUUCACAACUAACCGAAAAAUGUGACCCCAUAUUUCAUCUUUUAAAGAAACAUAAUCCAGAUGUAUAGGAUGAAGAAUGUCAGGAAGUUUUUGAUAGGAUAAAGCAGUACCUAUCAAAUACUCUAGUGCUGUUACCACCUAGCCCAGAUAGGCCACUGAUAUUGUAUUUAACAGUGUUUGAUAAUUUUAUGGGAUGCAUGCUAGGCCAACAUGAUGAGACAGGAAGGAAAGAAAGGGUUAUAUACUAUCUCAGUAAGAAAUUCACUGAUUAUGAAAUAAGAUACUCGUCUAUUGAGAAAUUAUGUUGUGCCUUGAUCUGGAUAACUCGGAGGCUAAGGCGGUACAUGUUGUACCAUACGACUUGACUAAUUUCAAAGUUAGACCCUUUAAAGUAUAUGAUGGAGUCAACUACUUUGAAUGGGAGGAUGGCCAGAUGGCAGAUUUUACUUUUUGAAUUUGACAUACUUUAUGUGAGCCAGAAGGCUAUAAAAUGGAGUGCAAUAGCGGAUUUUCUAGCUAGCAGAGCCUUGGAGGAUUAUGAGCCUUUAAAUUUUGAUUUUUUGAACGAGGACUUAAUGUAUGUGGCAACCACUAAAGAAAAUGCUCAAGUGGAUCGCAUUUGGAAGCUAAAAUUUGACGGAGCCUCAAAUGCUAUGGGUAAUAAAAUUGAGGCAGUCUUAGUAUCCCCGAGCAGAGAUCAUUAUCCUAUUGCUGGCAAAUUGGAUUUUGAUUGUACAAACAAUAUAGCAGAAAAUGAAGCGUGUAUUAUGGGCAUCCGUAUAGCCAAAGAAUGUAAAAUCAAAGUGCUAAAGGUAUAUGGGGAUUCUGCAUUGGUGAUAUAUCAGCUCAAAGGAGGAUGAGAGAUAAGAGACCUCAAAUUGAUUAAUUAUCGAAAGUUUAUUCUCGAAUUGAUUGAUGAGUUUGAUGAUAUUACUUUCUCCUAUCUCCCACUAGAUGAAAACCAGAUGGCUGACACGUUGGCUACUCUAGCUUUCAUGAUCAAAGUAAACAAACUAGAAGACAUGAAGCCUAUCCAGAUGAGCAUUUAUGAGACUUUGGCUCAUUGCUACAGUAUCGAGGAAGAGGAAAAGGAUGAUCAUCCUUGGUACCAAGAUAUACUGCAAUAUGUAAAGAAUCACGAGUACCCUGAUCAGGCAACGAAGAAUGAUAAGAGGACAUUGAGAAGACUAGCCACUAACUAUGUCUUACAUGGAGAGAUUUUAUACAAAAAGGGAAAGGAUCGGGUACUACUAAGAUGCUGGAUGCUAUAAAAGCUUAGAAAAUCUUGGAGGAAGUCCAUGAAGGUAUCUGCAAAAUGCAUGCCAACGGUUUCACAAUAGUAAGACAGAUUAUGAGAUUCGGGUACUACUGGUCGACCAUGGAAGGAGAUUGCAUCAAUUAUGCCAAGAAGUGCCAUAAAUGUCAAAUUUAUAGAGACAAAAUACACGCACGUUCUUCACCUCUCAACGUUAUGACUUCUCUAUGGCCUUUCUCUAUGUGGGAUAUGGAUGUCAUCGGGCCAAUAUUGCCAAAGGCUUCUAAUAGGUAUCGUUUCAUCUUCAUGGUCAUUGGUUACUUCACUAAAUAGAUGGAAGCUGAUUCAUAUGCUAAUGUCACGAAGUCAGGAGUCAGCAAGUUCUUGAAAAGGGAGAUCAUAUGUUGAUAUAUAAUGCCUGAAAGAAUCAUAUCUGACAAUACAUUGAAUUCGAAAAAUAGCAAAAUAGCGGAGGUCUGCAAUCAAUUCAAGAUCAAACACCAUAAUUCGUCACCAUAUCGCCCAAAAAUGAACGGAGCAGUGGAGGCGGCCAACUAAAAUACCAAGAAAAUUGUGGGGAAAAUGUCUGAGACUUACAAAGAUUGGCAUGAAAAAUUACCAUUUGCCCUCUUUGUUUAUCGAACAUCAAUCAGGACUUUCGUCGGGGCAACGCCUUUCUCUCUAGUUUAUAAGAUGGAGGCAGUUUUACCCAUUAAAGUUGAAAUCCCUUCUCUCUGGGUAUUGGCUGAGCUAAAGUUGGAUGAAGCUGAAUAGAUCCAACCUCGAUAUGAUCAGUUGAACCUAAUAGAAAGAAAAAGGCUAAAAGUUAUUCACCACGGUCAGAUGUACCAAAAACGAAUGAUGCGAGCCUACAACAAAAAAGUUCAUCCCAAAGAAUUCUAUGAGGGGGACCUAGUGUUGAAAAAGAUUUUUCCUCUACAAAAGAAUUUUAGAGGAAAAUGGAUGCCAAAUUAGGAAAGACCUUAUGUUGUAAUAAAGGCCUUUUCUGGAGGAGCAUUGAUUUUGAGUGAGAUGGAUGGUAAAAAUUUUCCUAAUCUUGUAAACUCAGAUUCAUUCAAGAAAUACUUCACCUAAAGAAGGAGAAGGGACCAAUGUGAAAACCUGCAAAGGGCACUUUGAGUCUUAAAAAAAAGAGACCAAGGUGAAAACCGCAAAUGGUGUCUUAAGUCCUAAAAAAAAGAGGCCAAGGUGAAAACUAGCAAAGGGCGCCUUGAGACCAAAGGGGAUUUGAGUUGAAAACCCGAAAAGAGCGACUCAAAUAUUGAUUAAAAUGGGGCAUGCAGUGAUCUUGCUAUACUUGAAUUAAUAGGAAAGGGGUAUACGACAUCUUGGGGCAUCGACAAAGUACUAUAGAUCUCCUAAACACAUUUCAAACUCAAAAUGGUCUUUAGGAAGUUUGUACAGAGAAAUUCAAGCUGCGAUGUCUAGGGCACCUAGUCUUCAUACUAUUUAUAUUAAAUUUGCUAUUCUUGGAAUACUUUAUUCUUUUCAAGAUACGUGUUCCCAAUCAAUUCCCUUUUUAUUCUUCUUUAUCCUUGAUAAUUUAUUCAUUUCGAGCUAUGCUCCAAAUCAAUUCUAUUCUUAUCCAUUGUUAUUAUCUUUUGCAAGCAUGUUGUAUUGGAAUAAUGAUUAAUAGACUAAUAAUACUUUUACAAAUAAAGUGCUGUAUAUUACUCUAAAAGUUUCUAAAUAAUACAAGAACCUAAAACAGGACUAUUGUUUAGAACGCACCGGGUUUAAAGGUUAGAAAUAUCUGAGAAGGAAGAGUCCAAAUUAAGACUAUCCCUUCGAAUUUUGUUGUCAAAAUAUUGAUUGAACAAAACGACAAGAUAUCGUAUUGGUGAACAAACGAGCAAUGAUCACCAGGUAAUAAAAAGAGGUUAUUUUGGAAAAAAAAUUACAUUGGUACGACACCUUAGGAAUGGUGUAAGAGACCAAAGAGGUUCACAUCUUGUAUUCUUGAAUUGCAAUAGGAGAGGAUUGAGAAAGAGCUAGAUAUUAUACUCCUGAAUUAUAAUGGAAGGGAAAUGGUACAAAUUUUAUGUACCAAAAGUACAGUGGAUUGAACCUUGAAGAUUACAGUAGGGGAAAUCUGAUUAAGUAAAAUAUGAAGUGUUUCUUUGGAGAUACCAGUCGAACAAGAUGGCAUUAUGACGUGUCGGUGAUAGAGCCUUAAUGAAUAAUGAGCAAUAACAACUCAAGCAUUAAGGGAUCAUUUUCAUAACAUUCUGUAUUCAUUCAUACACAUCUAGUUAGGAGAUUUUGAUUCAUUCCGAUCAUAACAUCCAAAUCACUAGACAUAAAUAGGCCCAUGAAAUGGAUUCUACAGGUCAUGUUCCCCAUAGAACAGAUGGGUGAAACCACAAAUCCUAUACCGCUGAAGUUGCAGUGGGAUGGAUUGAAGUCAUUAUGGCGAGUCUUAUCUCCCUGAAGUUGCAAUGGAGCAUAUUAAAGCUAGUAAUCUUAUCUCCCUGAAGUUGCAGUAGAGCGGAUUGAAGUUACAAGUCUUAUCCCCCUAAAGUUACAGUGGAGCAGACUGAAGAUAGUGAAUCUUAUUUCCCUGAAGCUGCAGUGGAACAAAUUGAAGCUAUAAAUUGUAGAUUUUAUCUCUCUAAAGUUGCAAUAGAGAAGAUCAUAUCAAACUUUAUCUCCCUGAAGUUGUAGUGGAACAGGUUGAAAAUACCAAUCUUAUCUCCCUGAAGUUACAGUGGAGUAGACUGAAGAUAGCGAAUCUUAUUUCUCUGAAGUUGCAGUGGAACGGAUUGAAGCUAUAAAUUACAGAUCUUAUCUCUCAGAAGUUGCAGUAAAGCAGAUCAUAGAAAACCUUAUCUCCCUGAACUUGCAGUGGAGUAGGUUGAAGUUAUAAGUCUUAUCUCCCUAAAGUUGCAGUGGAGCAGACUGAAGAUAGCGAAUCUUAUUNNNNNNNNNNNNNNNNNNNNNNNNNNNNNNNNNNNNNNNNNNNNNNNNNNNNNNNNNNNNNNNNNNNNNNNNNNNNNNNNNNNNNNNNNNNNNNNNNNNNNNNNNNNNNNNNNNNNNNNNNNNNNNNNNNNNNNNNNNNNNNNNNNNNNNNNNNNNNNNNNNNNNNNNNNNNNNNNNNNNNNNNNNNNNNNNNNNNNNNNNNNNNNNNNNNNNNNNNNNNNNNNNNNNNNNNNNNNNNNNNNNNNNNNNNNNNNNNNNNNNNNNNNNNNNNNNNNNNNNNNNNNNNNNNNNNNNNNNNNNNNNNNNNNNNNNNNNNNNNNNNNNNNNNNNNNNNNNNNNNNNNNNNNNNNNNNNNNNNNNNNNNNNNNNNNNNNNNNNNNNNNNNNNNNNNNNNNNNNNNNNNNNNNNNNNNNNNNNNNNNNNNNNNNNNNNNNNNNNNNNNNNNNNNNNNNNNNNNNNNNNNNNNNNNNNNNNNNNNNNNNNNNNNNNNNNNNNNNNNNUCAAAGGAACAAAAUAUCACCUACAUCAUAAGGCACGAUCGCCAGAACUUUACUUUCUAGCCUGUCGAUCCGAUCCAAUCCAAUGAAAGAACACAAGGAGUCUUAAGAUCUGUCAACUUUAUUUCAUUUUCAUUUCUUUGUCAUUUUCUAUGUUUCAUGUCGAAUACAAUAAAGAGAACAUAGAAAAAUGUGGCCUAUUUAUUUCCCAAUCAUCAUGAAAUUACUUGCCAUUGACUUAGAUUUUCUCACCAAUUUCAAGCAAUCUGACAUGAUUUCUCAUCACAAUUAAUUGAAUUCAAGAUCUUUUUAGAUGACACAAACAUUUCAUUUUAACACAAACCAAUAUUUCGGUUAUACUUCAGUGCUUGACAAGCACUUUCACAUUUGUGGAUAAGAACUCUUAACAUUUUAGGAUCACAUUUAAUUCAAUUGCAUUUAAGACCUCAUGGUUUUAUUCUAUAAUUUCAGUCUUAUCAGCCUUUUCGGAAACAAUAAAACGUCGACAUUAAAUUUGUUGUUGAUGCAUUCAAUUUUUUGGGUCUUUGGAGUUAUGUGACUUUAGCAUUGACUGACUUUUUUAUAAUUUAAUAAUAAGGUAAAUAUAUUAAUUUUAAUAACAUCGACAUGUUUUUUAGUAGGGUCGAGCAAAACCCAAUUAAAAUCGAUGAUAUUGGCUUAGUUGACUCGGUCAAGUCCAUUAGAUUGAUAAAAUCAUUUUUAAAAUCAGUUAUAAUGGAUAAAGGUAAUUAAUUAUCGAGUAAUGAAAUACAUAAUCAAAUCAAUUGAUUUUGUUAGAAACUAAAAGAAAAAGGGCUAAGCUGAAAAUUGAUUGCCCUUUAUUAAAAUUAACGAAUCUGUCUUUUACGUAUUAGAUAAUAUGAACAUCGCAUAUAUAAUAAGAAAAUUACGUAUGAUUAUUUAUUAUCAUAAAAGGUUAGUUUAAAUUUAAAGUAAUCUAAUAUGUUUAUUGAACUUCAACUAUUAAAUAAAGUAUAAGCUAAAUAAGUAUAAAUAUUCUAGAAACCAUUUCUAACUGAUGAUAGGCUAAUUCGAUUAAUUUAUAAAAACUAGAUAGUAGGGUUAUAGUCCUCAAACUACACCUAAUUUAAUAACAUUUAUAUUUUUUUUAGCCUUAAACAUUUAUAGUUUUGUUAAUUUGGUCCUUACUCUUUAAAAUUACAUAAAAAAUUGCAAAAAAAUUAAAAAUUAAUUUUUAUCAUGAUUUAAUAACAUUUAUAUUUUUUUUUGUGGUUUGGUAACUUAUCAACUUGACUCUUACUUGUAACCAACUUUUCUAACCUUUUUCGUACCCUUAACCUAAGUCCCGUUACAAUUUCUAAAGACCUCUUGAUUGGUGUAUCAUCUCGAUUUGUUUUUAUAGUGGUGGAGAUUUGUUUUUUGUAGUGGGCAUGAUUGCCAGAACUUUACUUUCUAUCCUGUCGAUCCGAUCCAAUGAAAGAAUAACAAAGAGGUCUUAAGAUCUGUCAACUUUAUUUCAUUUUCAUUUUCUUUGUCAUUUUCUAUGUUUCUUGUCACAUACAAUGAAAGAAGAACAUAGAAAAAUGUUGCCUAUUUAUUUCCCAAUCAUCAUUCUAACAGGCCGAAUUAGCCCAGGCCCAAACAUUAAUAAAUGUCCAGAUUACAAAAUAACCAACCAAAAAUUAAAAGCCCAAAUAAUAAAAUAAAACCCAUUACAUUAACCCAAAACUCCAGCCCAAUUACAUUGAAGCCAAAAAAAUAGUUUUUAGAAACCCCUAGGGUUUCUGGAACAAUCCGCGCCGCUCCUCCAUCCGCUUCUCCACGCACGCUGCACCUUUCCACGUGCGCCUCCAGCUGGCAGUGUACCUCCAAUGCAACAAACAAAGCAACAAGCAGCAAAAGAAAUGGAAAAACAACAAAAAAAAAAGAAGGAGCAACAAUGUAUAACAGAUUGAUAACAAAUAAUAGAAAAAAUAGCAGUAAAUAGGAAAAAAAAUUAAAAAAUAAUGAGGGUAAUUUCAUUUUUUUCUCUGUUUUGGCUAUAAAGAGAGCCGGUCAAAAUCUCUAAAGGGGGAUUUAGAAUCAAUCAGAAAACAAGUAUUUUGUACCAACAAUUAGAGAAAAAAAAUACAAAAAUAGGGAUUGAAGGUUUUUUUUUUCUUUCGUUUCGAUUUAUUUAAAAUAGCAUAGAAAAUAAAAAGAAGGCUUACCUUGCGACGCCUUCAGAUCCUCUCGAAAAGGGGCUAAAAGGCCCUAUGUGGCACAGAUUUGACCACUGUUCACGGUGGAACCGCAGCGGAGGCGCAGAGGAUUGGCAUCAAUUUAGGCAGGGUUUGAAACCCUAGCAGAGAAAAAAUUAGGGUUGAUAGAUUUUUUUUAAAAAAAUGGCAAAAUGUUGUUUUUAAAAAAUUUUGUUUUAAAAAAAUUGUUGCUUUUAUAAAGGGUGUAAAACGGCGUCGUUUAGGGCAUGUUUCGAUGGCCCCAAAACGGCGCCUUAUAAGGCAACCCCCGACGACCCGACCUGCUCCAUGGGGGAUCCGCGUGGUUUUUGUUAAAUGGGUUAUGUCUAACCCUGGCCCUUCUACUUUUUAUACUUGUUUUAAUUUGAUCCUCUUUUUAUUUAUUUUUAUUUCUUUAAAUUAAGCCUGAUAAUUUUUUUCCAUUACAUUUUAAUCCUUAAUGAAACGGCGCGUUUUAGAGGAGAAGGGAAAAUUACCCUUCUAGUCCCUUCUUGUUAUUCGAGUGUUCAGAAGGGUCCUUUUUUGUUUAUUUUUUAUUUGCCCCAAAAUUUUGUUUUAAAGCUUAAUUUAGUCCUAUUUUGUUAUUUUAGCUAUUUUAUUAUUAGAUUAAUUAAUUUAAUAUUAUUAUUACUGCUAUUAUUUUACCCCUAUUAGUUAUAUAUUUAUUAUUAUAACUAUAUCAUUAAAUCAAUUAGUUUUUACAUUAUUAUUUCCAUUCUGUUUUUUAUUUACUUACUUAAAUACUUUAAAUGCAUUUAUUUUAUUUCUUAUUUUUUUAUGAAAUUUCAAAACUUUAGACUAUUUUUUUGUUACUAUAACCCUAAUUUCAUUCAUUUUAUAAUAGUUUUUUUUUAAAAUAUUUCUUAGAUUAAUUCCCUCGAUGUUAUUUUGUAUAUUUAUUUAUCUUUUUAAAUUUUCGAUAUUGUCUUAUUGUAUUAUUGUUGUUACUAUCAUUAUUCAUUAUUAUUGUUGAUUUUAUUCUUCUUUGAUUAAUGUUUAUGUUAGAGUAAUAGGUGUUAUGUGAUCAUUGUUAUUAUAUGUUAUAAUUUGUUGACACUCGUAUUGUAGUCAUUCGUCAGCUUAAUAUUUGAGUAACAUUUUAAAUAUUACAUUAAUUUUGACCCAAAUGCAUAAUUUUUUAAUAAGUAAUAUUUCGUAUUGUGGAAUUUGAGAGAUCAUUCCCUAACUUACGGGGUCUCGAUUUUUUUGAUAAAUCUGAAUAUAAGAACUAUUUUAAAAAAAUACGUUUUAAAAUUAUCUCGGGAAUUUAAAAAGAAGCGUGUUCUAACUUACGGAAUAUGAUCUUUUUUAAAAAUCGAGAUAAUCAAAUAUCUUUCAAAUAAAUAAACUUUUCGUGUUUAUUCUCGUUUUAGGAUUUAAGAUAUUGUGUCCUAACUCACGGGACACAAUUCUUUUUCUCGAUUAACGUGAAAUACGCCCUUUUUAAUUUUAUCUUUUUAAGUGAUUUUAACAAAAGGAUUGUAUUUUAAAUCUCUUCAAAAUUUUCAAUUUUUCGACAUUGAGACAUUAACUAAUCAAUUAGGUACCAAUUUUGGGCGUUACAAGGGUGUUAACCCUUCCUUGUACAUAACCGACUCCCGAACCUAUUUUUCUGAAUAUUAUAGGCCAAAAUUGUUUUAAUAAAUUAAACCCUUAAGAGGUGACUCGAUCACAGCUCAUAAAAAUUAUCGGUGGCGACCCUUGUUUUAAAAAAGGUGGUUUCAACAGCUUGGCGACUCCGCUGGGGACAAAAAUAAGAGUCAAGCCGCGAGUUGAUUAUUUCUUAUCUUUUUGUCAGAAAUUGUGAAUUCGAUUUAAAUUUAUGAUCUUUUCAUUGCAUUUUAUGGUCUGCAUCAUUUUUAUAUGCUUGCUUUACUACUUCGAGUCUUUUAAUCUUCGCAUAUUGUAUUGCAUAACCGUUCGGUUAUACCCUUUUAAGCGGGAGUGAGAAAUUAUUCUUUCGUGAGGUUUUCACCUUCGUAUAGGAUAGUGGAUUACUUUCAGGAUACAUCCAUACCUAUGUCUUCGUGAGAUUCUCAUCUCCGUAUAGUCAUAGGGAAAUGUAUUCCCCUGAACUGAACUCAGUCCGUAUGAGCCUAUAAUGGGUGAGGAUUGAGGAAUCUGCUGGUUCAGGUACCCUUUCUUUAGAACUAAACCGCAUGUAGUGAGCCCUAAGAGCAUACCCUAGGUAGAACCACUCCAAACCCCUAGUGGUCACCCAAAUAGGUGCUCUAUUUAUUUUUGCUUGCUUGUUUUUGCCUUGUACUAACCUAUUUGUUAUGGUUAUGAGUGCAUUGCAUUUUUAUCAUAAAAAAGAUGUGUUGAUUCACGUUCAGUUGCUAAAUAGAGAGCUUGUCAUGGAAAACGAAUUUCUUGAUAAAGUGGAAGACAAUGCGGUUGUCCGGAUAUGGUCCAAGAAAAUGUGAAGAAAGAAGGGUGAUAGUCUAAUGGAGGACUACACGACCUUGCUUCGUUGCCUGAUGAUUCAAGUUGACAAAGAUUAUUCGAGAGUCUUCAAUGUCCCGACCUUUUUAAAGAAGCUAACGAGCGUCACGAGGAUGAGCGAGUAAUGAGUUGCGGCCCGGAUCAAGCAAAAAAAAGAUAGAGGAGACACCCUUUUUGAAGAGUUCACGAGAUUUAUCUUAACAUCUAGACGAAGAAAAAGAUCAAUCUCUUUGCCUAGAGUAUGAGGGCAAAGCCGUAUAUAUAUCCGCUUUAUGUAAAUAAAUUUGUUUUCUAGUAAAGUUUUUCUAAUAGAAUUGAAUCAGAAUCAACGUCUCUUUUUGCAUUCAUUCCAUUCAUCUGCAUUGCAUUUCAUUGCAUCUAGAAUUUCACAAAAGGACCCUAAUUAAUCGAAAUUGUUAUAGCUACCUUGAAAAACUAACGAAAAUUUACCAAUUAAAUAUUCCUAUGGUACCCAUUGCAAAACUAAAGUAAUGGAUCAAAUAUUAGAAAGAUUAGAACAAAUGCUGAAGGAUAAACAUAACUGCUUUGGCUUAGGGUACAAGCCAGAUACAAGACAAAGAAGAAAUAGGAAAGGAGAACACGUUUGAGCGGGGAUGAGGUCAAAUGGGAGGGAUUAUUCAUCCCAGGCGAAGAAUGCCAAGAGAAGAAAAUAUUGAAAACAUGUUGGGAAACGUUCACAUCAAUGCCAUAUACGAAGAAGCAAUUGAAGGAGUGACCUUGUUAGAUAUCCGCCCUUAUGAACCUAAGAGUGUGCUAAACAAUUGGACUGCAGAAGAAAUUCUUGUAGUGUUUAGAGCUUACUCAUAGUAAUGUUCAGAACACACUUGUUGCUUUUAGCCUAGAAGUGAUAAGAAUCCCUCUGUGAAAUAGGCUCAUGUAUAAAAAUCAUUAUUUUAAUGAAGUACAUCUUUGCAUUCAUUUUGAGCAAAUAUUCUUUUAUUCUUUUCAUACGAGUAAUUAUUUUGGAUUCUUUAAUUCUUUUGGGAUUUUCUUCCAAAAUCAUUCUUUUAUUACAUCCAUAAUCAUACUGUACAAAUAAUGUAAUAGCCUGAAUUUUCAGUGGUGUCGGAAUGGUGAUUCAAGAUCACUAAGUCUGACAAAUGAGUAGAAAAUAUUAUUAAUUUAGUAAGAAUAAGUAAAUGUGAAGUUAGGAAAAUUUUUGAAAUAGUGAAUAGUGUACUAGGAAUAAAUAUUAAAAUAAUUAAAAUAAAAAAUGAGGUAUCGAGACCUCGAAGAUUUUAAACCAAGCCAUAAGUACUUUUAGAAGUAUUUUUAGAGUGUCAUUGAGUUGGUAUUAAAGUUUCGUUAGAAAAUUUUAACGCUCGGAUAGUUAAUUAACCAAAAAGGACUAAAUUGAAAAUAGUGUAAAAUUUGUUAAAUUGUGAUUAAAUAGCUUAAGUGAUUAAAAAGGAGGGAUUUAAAAGGCAAUUAGGCCCAAAUUAUAUGGGCUGGACGGUUGGGUAAGAAAAAUCAGCAGAAUGUAAGGAGAAAACAGGGGCAAAAUUGGAAACUUAACAAAUUAAACAUAUAAAACAAAGACAAAAGUGAAAAAUCUAGAGAUCUGUUCACAAUUUAUCAGCAAAAAUGCCAUAGGAGGUCUGAAAGAAGCUGGUUUUUCAUAUAUUUGAAUCAUGUAAGUUUAAUUCUUGAUUAUUUCUUCUAAUUUUUGUGAUUUUGAUACUUUUACAAUUAGGUCCAACUAAUUAUUUCAUUAGUUUUUGAUUUCAUGGCUGAUUUUGAAAGUUACCAUUGAUGAGUGUUGGAUUUUUAUGAUGAAUAAACAUGGAAUUAAAGCUUUAAUUUUGUUAUAUGAUGAUUUUAUUAAGUAAUUUUGAUAGAAAUUGAUUUUUGGGACCUAAUUGUGAAAAAGUUUGGAAUUAGGGUUUGGUGUUGCGGUUUUGAAUAUGAAAGGCUAUGUAGUAGUCUAAAAUAGUUGGAAAAGGUGUUAAUUGAGAAAAAUUAGAUCAAUUGAGGGGUUAAUUGAGUAGGACCAAAUUGUAAAAACUGUAAAGUUUGAGGUAAAAGUGUAAUUUCGAAAAUUUAAGGGCAUAAAUUGUGAAGUGAAUUAGAAUAGAAUUAUAUGCUGAUGAAUGAAUAAAUUUGUAUUUUAGAUCGAGAACCCGAAGCAAGCCGAGGAAAAGAAAAAGUAGUUGAUUAGUCCCUGAACUUUUACAAAUUCUGCAAAUCGACCCAGGUAAGUUCAUAUGGCUGAAAUUUAAUGAUUAAAUGUUAAUUUCAUGAAUUAUGUAAUGUAUGAUGAAAUGUAUUUAGUGUUGAAAUGAGAGUAAAAUAAAAAUGCGAAAAUCGAAUAAAUGAUCAAAUUAAGCGGAACGCCGGAUUUGAGUACUUCUGAUCAAGAGACAAAGUGAUAAGUGGUAGCUUUAGCUACACUUAUCUGAUCAAGUGAAAAAGUGAUAAGUGCUACACUUAUCUGAUCAAGAGACAAAGUGAUAAGUGGUAGCUUUAGCUCACUUAUCUGAUCAAGUGAAAAAGUGAUAAGUGCUAUACUUAUCUGAUCAAGUGACAAAGUGAUAAGUGGUAGCUUAGCUACACUUAUCUGAUCAGGGCCAAAUGAUAAGUGAUCAUACGUAAGACCAUAGUUAUACUAUGGCCAAGUGAAAGUGAAGUACUCAAUUUUCCGUAACCGUUCCUUAAUUUUGAUCAAGGAUGGUAAGUGACAAAUAGGCCCAAAGAAAUUAUGGUAAAAGAAUAAGUAGUAGUGAGUUUAUACCAAGGAACUCUCCAAAGAUUGUGGUUGACAAGUAAACUUAGUAAUGGUGUAUAUUGUAUAAGUGUACAAAUGUUUGGUAAGAUUUAUGUUUGUGCCUAUGAACUUACUAAGCUUUUCUAUAAGCUUACAUGUGUGUGUUUAUUGUUUUUCUAGAUUAACGUAUUUAUACAUUCGGAGGAUCGGAUCUACUUCGAGAAUCACACUAUCCAGAUAUACUCCGGUAGAUUUUGUUAAACAACUUUUUGGAUUUAUAUGGCAUGUACAGAGAAUUGAAGUAAAAAGUAAUAGAAUGAAUGACUGAGUAUGCAAAGUAAAUUUGAAUGUGAUGGUUGUGUUAGAUAUUGAAAAAUACAUGUUUUUAGUUUGAAAUGGUUGAUUGGCUGAACUUCGUUAGUAUUCAAGUGAAGUAGUUGAAAUACUGGAAUUGGUUGUGAUUUGAAAUUUGCAGGGAAGGUUAGAUAAAUAUAAAGGGGUUAUAUUGAUUUUUUUUUUAAAUUUCAAUGGAAUAAUUUUUGGACAGCAGCAUUGAUGUAACUUUUAAAAAUCACCAAAAAUAGUGGAAAUAGAAUUAGAAGUUGAAUGAGAUAUGAAAUUAAAUCUGAAUGAGUCUAAUUUCACAUGAAAGAAGUAGAAUAAGAAAAAGAGUUAUAUAUUUUUAGAUAUUUGAAUUUUAGUGAAACAGGGCAAGAAUGUUUUUGAAGUCCCCUGUUCUGACUUUAGAAAUUUAGUAAAAAUUGUACAAAAGGAAUUAUGAAUUAUAAUUUAUAUGUUUAAAUUCCGUAAUGAGUAUAUUUUAAGUAGAAAUAAUUGGAACCACCAUAUGAAGUCUUUGCAAUGAGAUAAUUGAAUUUUAGUGACAAGAGGUCAGGAUAGUCAAUUAGUGAAAUAGGGGAGACUUCAACUAAUAAACUGUAUUAAUUUGCUAAACCAAAAAUUCUGAAAAAUUUAUGGUGAAUAUACAUAUGAGUCUAGUUUGAGGGAAAAUUUACGGAUCUAAAUUUUUAGUUUCGUAUCUUGAGUUAUAAUUAUUUUAGUGACUACUGCGCAUGUGGACAGCUUUGUUGUGAAUGGUGAAAUUAAUUUUUAAAGUAAAUUUUUAUGCCCCGAACUUUUAAGUUCAGUCAAGUAACGCCUUAUGCUCGACUCCGGCAACCGUCUUGGGUAAGGGGUGUUAUAAAUAAUUAUUCUUAAAUUCAUACAUUCUUUGUAUAUUAUUUUGUACCUACAAUAGGUCCCUAGAUAUUAACAACAUGAGUGACGUUGCUACAGACUCAGAAUUUCCUUUUAAACAAGACAUGUGUUUAGAGGGAUCCCAUGGCUUUGAAGAUGACGUAGACUGUGGCUUAUCUCUGAAUUUGUUAAGGAUGGUAAAACAAGAGGAGAAGCAAAUCCUACCUCACAAGGAAUCAAUGGAAAUUGUGAGCUUAGAAGGGGGAAAAGAGGUGAAGAUUGAGACUAACAUUGCCACAAAGACAAAGCAUGACCUCGUUGAGUUACUCCAAGAAUUUAAAGAUGUCUUCGCAUGGUCAUACCAGGAUACUCCCGGGUUAAGUACUGGCAUUGUAGUACACUACCUUCUUAUAAAAGAAGAUUGCAAGCCAGUUUAGCAGAAACUCUGAAGGAUGAGGCCUGAUAUUGUGCUAAAAAUAAAAGAAGAAGUUAAAAAGCAAUUUGAUGUUGGGUUCUUACAAGUGGUUAAAUAUUCAGAAUGAGUAGCCAACAUCGUCUCAGUCUCUAAAAAAGAUGGGAAAGUACGAAUGUGCAUAGAUUACAGAGACAUGAACAAGGCCAGCCAAAAAGAAAAUUUCCCAUUGCCUCACAUUGACACUUUGGUGGAUAAUACAGUAGGCUACUCACUGUUUUCCUUCAUGGACGACUUCUCUGGAUACAACCAGAUAAAGAUGCAUCCCAAAAACAUGGGAAAGACUACAUUCGUGACCCUAUGGGGAAUGUUUUGCUAUAAAAUGAUGUCAUUCGGAUUAAAGAAUGUGGGAGCGACGUAUCAAAGGGAAUGGUAACCUUGUUUCAUGACAUGAUGUACAAGUAAAUCGAGGUUUAUGUUGACGAUAUGAUUGCAAAAUCCAGAACAGAAGAGGAACAUGUGUAGGCCCUAAGAAAAUUAUUCUUAAGACUGAGAAAGUUCCAGCUCAAGCUUUCCAACGAAAUGCACAUUCAGAGCUAGGUUAGGAAAGCUGUUAGGCUUCACAGUUAGUGAAAAAGGAAUCGAGAUCAACCCAGAUAAAGUCAAUGCGAUACGAGAUUUACCUCUACCAUGCACUCAGAAGGAAGCUCGAGGUUUCCUAGGAAGACUGAAUUACAUUGCUCGAUACAUUUCACAACUAACCGAAAAAUGUGACACCAUAUUAAAAUAAAAAUAGAUUAAAUUGUAAGUAAAACAUAAUUUAAACAUAUGAAUACAUCAAAUUAAUAAUACUAAAUGAAUACAGUUAUUUAUGAUGAUGUUGUUGCCAAUUCCUAAUUUGGUGUCUAGUUAAUUUGUGACAUCAUAAAUUUAAGUGAUAAAUUUAAGGUUUUAUGUAUUGAUGUGGAUUCAAAUAUCACCAUAAUUUUUGUAAAUAAAAAACUAAUAAGAUAACUUAUAUUAAGUACGAAAGGGUAUUUUUAUAAUUUCUCUAAUCGAGUUGGUGCCCGGUUGACUCAUGACACUAACUCAAUCAGAAGCUUUAAUAAUAAUAUAGAUAUUCAUGUUAAAAAAACAAAAAAAAAGUACUUUAGUUCCAAAUAAUUAUAUAACAAGUAAAUUUAUAAUUGAUGAAUAAAUUUAUAAAUAAUAUAUUUAUAUGAUCUAAUAUAUUAUAUUUAUAUUAAUUAUAUAUCAUCUACAAACUUUGAAGAUCAAUUUAUUAAGUAAAAAUGAAAUUGUUAACACUAAAUCAAUUUUUAGAUUUUGUAUAGAUGAUUUAGUGAUGAUAAAAACAUUAUUAACACUAUUUUUUAAUUAACAAAAAAUUAGUGAUAUAUUUAAAUUAUAUUUAUCAUUUAUUAUUUUUAAUAAUAUUUUUUAAUUAUAUGAAGUAAAAUUAUAUUGUAUACUAAAUAUGGUACAUAUACUCUAAUUAUAACUUGAAAUUUUAUUAUAUAAAUUAAUAUAAAUUUGAAUAACAAAAUAAAAAAAAACUAAUUAGAAUAAUUUUAAAAAACAUUAUUUAAAAGUAGUUAAAAAUCACGUGCAACAGGUGAGAUCAAUGGUCUUUAGAGAAGAAAUGUUGAAGAUCAAAGUUGGAAUCUGGCCUAUAAGGCCUUUAAUUGCUUUAAUAUUAAGCAGUUCCAAACCAAGAAGAUUACCGAUUUCCUCAGGAAUUUGACCUGCACACAUGGUCGAAAAAUCAAUGUGUCAAACUACCUAUUUUGUUAGCAUAAGUCAAAGAGGUUUUCUUUUCUAUUCUACAUAAUUUGCAGAUGUUAGAUUUUAAUAUUUUUAAGCAUAUUUGUUUUCAUCAAAUUAACUAUUUUGAACUAUUUUGCCUUGAAUGAAAUAAAAUGCUCUUACUUUUGUUAUCUAUUACUAAUCAAACUCUUUUAUAAAAAAAAUACUUUAAACUAAAGAAACCAAGAAAAUUCAAUACCUUCUAGGUUAUUCAACCCCAAAUAUAAUUCUUUGAGUCGUGUCGGAUUUCCAAUACUUCUUGGAAUGAUCCCCAUCAAUUGAUUAUAGGAAAAUGACAAAAUUUUAAGGUUGUUGCAUUUGCUUAUACUUGACGGAAUGUUACCAUAUAAUUCAUUCCGACUCAAGUAAAGCCCUUCAAGCUUGGAAAGAUGUGACACAUAUCAUUAGGCAAGCUACCUGAUAGGCUAUUGUUGGAGAGAUCAAUGGCCUUCAGAGAAGAAAUGUUGAAGAUCGAAGUUGGAAUCUGACCUGUAAGGCCUUUAAUUGCUUUAAUAUUAAGCAGUUCCAAACCAAGAAGAUUACCGAUUUCCUCAAGAAUUUGACCUGCACACAUGGUCGAAAAAUCAAUGUGUCAAACUACCUAUUUUGUUAGCAUAAGUCAAAGAGGUUUUCUUUUCUGUUCUAUAGUAAUUUGGUGAUGUUAGAUUUUAAUAUAAUUCAGCACAUGUUUUUCAUCAAAUGAAAUAAAAAGUUUUUCCUUUUGUUAUCUAUUACAAAUCAAGCUCUUUUAUUAAAAAAAUACUUUAAAUUCAAGAAAUCAAGGAAAUUAAUUACCUUCUAAAUUAUUAAACCCCAAAUAUAAUUCCUGGAGUCGUGUUAGAUUUCCAAUACUUCUUGGAAUGAUCCCCAUAAAUUGAUUAUGGGGCAACAACAAAUUUUUAAGGAUGUUUCAUUUGCCUAUGCUUGACGGAAUGUUACCAGAUAACUCAUUGCUAUGCAAGUGAAGCCCUUCAAGCUCGGGAAGAUGUUGACACAUAUCAUUAGGCAAACUACCUAAUAGGCUAUUCCUGGAGAGAGCAAUAGUCUUGAGAGAAAAAUGUUGAAGAUCGAAGUCGGAAUCUGAUCUGUAAGGCCUUUAAUUGCUUGAAUAUUAAGCAUUUCCAAACUAAAAAGAUUACCGAUUUCUUCAGGAAUUUGACCUGCAGACAUAGUCGAAACAUCAAGGUGUUAAAUUUCCUAUUUUGUUAGUGUAAAUCAAAGAGGCUUUUUAUUUUUUUUCGUUAUGAAAUAAUAUGGAUAUGUUCGAUUCUAAUCAUAUUUAAGUAUAUAUUAGUUCUUGAAAGAAUGAGUUCUUAUUUUUGGUAUUUAUAUUGCAAAUAUAUAUUUUUUUAAAUUUAAAAGAAGGGAGGGGGCAAAUGUGUUUAAACUAAAGACAUCAAGGAAAAGGCAUACCAAGUAUAAUUGUUUAAGUUGUGUCAAAUUCCCAAUGCUUUUUGGAAUGAUCCCACUAAAUUGAUUAAUAGACAAUUCCAAAAUUUGAAGGUUGCAGCAUUUGUCUAUACUUGAUGGAAUAGAACUUGAUAAUUCAUUUCUACUCAAGUAAAGCUCUUUCAGCUUGGGAAGAUGGACACACAAAUCAUCGGGCAAGCCACCAGAAAGACUAUUAUCACAAAAAUGAAUCCUUUUCAAAGAAGAAAUGUUAAAGAUGGAAGAUGGAACCUGGCCAGAUAAUUGAUUGAAUCCCAAGUUCAAGAUCUCUAGAUUGGACAAGUUGACAAGUGUUUGAGGGAUCGUGCCUGUGAAGUUAUUAUUUCUCAUUUCCAACCUUUGAACUCUGUGCAAGUUCCCAAGCCAUGGUGGAAUUUCCCCAUUAAGACGGUUGUAGCUUAAUCGAAUGAUCCUCAAACGAUGCAAUUGGCCUAAUUCUUUAGCCAGAUGGCCGUAGAAAUUGUUGUUGCUCAAGUCGAUAGAAAAUAGAAAUGAAAGAUUUCCAAGGUGUGGAGGGAUAGUACCCCUAAGAUUCAUGUUUGUAAGAUUAAUCAAAGCUACAACUCUUUCAUGGAUGAUGCCACAAGAAACACCAACCCACUUACAGACAGAGGUAGAGUUCGUCCAAUUGUUUGCCAACACAUUUUGAGGAUCGACAAUGCGAUCUUUAAACUCAAAGAGUGCAAACUGAUCGGAGUUGAGAUUCCGGACUGUCAUAGCCAAGGAAACAAUAGAACAUUGUAUGAAUAAAAGUGAAAGAAGAUGAAAGCAAGUGUUGUAGUUCAUGAUGGCAAGACGAAAUAAGCCAGGAAAAGGGAAGUUGAAUUGAUGAAGAAAUAGCCAGCCAACAUGCUUAAAUAGGCUUCAACCCUUGCACACUUCUCAUACAUAAAGUUCGCUGCCAUUACAACAAGAAAACUCAUAUCUCCAUUCGUACCUAUCCAUACUUUAUUUGACUAACUUUUCCCUAACAAGUGUUCAGUAAGGAGAUAAAUCAGUUUGGAGCUAUUCACCGGCUUCUCCAAUCUUGGUUUCAAACUCCUAACCCAUCAAUUCACUUUAAUUGAAACGAUAUACACGAGUCUUUCGGCUUAUAUUUUUAAUUUAAUUUUUGUUACUUUUCAUAAUAUUUUUUGAGAAAUCCAAAUAUUCCAGUCUGAAAUUUCUUCAUUGCCACGUCUAUCUCCUGGGUAAGUCCGUGGUUAGGCAGCCCACUUUGGGAGCAGGAUUGUAAUUGUAAUUCUAUCCGACUCAUUUUACUAUUUAGAAAUAUAAAAGUAAUAUUAUAUUAUUUUUUAUAUUUUUAUAAAUUUAAUUUUAAUUAUAAUUUUUAAACAAUAAAACGAGUCAUUUGUAUUUGCCUAGUCUAAAUUGAAUCAGGAGUCAAAAAAAUUUUAAUCAUAAUUUACUAUUAUUUUAAUUAAUUAAAAUUUAACCUACUACAACUAGUAGUUGCAGAAAAAAUGUCAUUCCUUUAGAAAAACGAAAAUCCUUUAGAAAAAUGAGAACUUAUGAAGCAUUCAAUAAGAGUCAUUGGAAUAAAUGGUAACGAAAUCAUAAUUCAAUAUAAAGCUAAAAAAUGUACCAAUCUAUAUAAAUAAUGUAAGAUUUGUGAUACCUAAAUUAUUAUAUUUUCCAUAAAUAUAUGAAGAUAUUUUAUUAGGAAAUAAUUUUAUAUAUAAAAUUUUUUAUUUUCUUUUGAUAGAAAUUUAAUUAUGUUAUCUGUAGAAAAAAAUAUUUAUAGAAAUAUUAUUAGUAGAAAAUCAUAAAUUUGUGUGUGGCAAAAAAAAUUCACCACCAAGAAAGGGGCAAAUUAAACAACUUGAAACAAGUCAUUGGUUGUUUAAAAUAUUAGAUAAUAAUUUCAGUGAAGAAUCAUUAAAAUUAUGACAAAAUAACCCUAGAUAUUGUAGUAUUAAAUUGGAAAAUCUCAAUAAUAUUAUUAGAGUAAAACCUAUGAUCUAUCUAAACAAGAUAUAGAAGAUUUUGAUAUACAAAUUAAGGUUAGAAAUCAUGCGGAAAUAAAAAAGAAAAAAAAGCUAGUAUGGUCAUUAAUUAUAAAAGAUUAAAUCAAAAUAUUAUUUUUUUAUAGUUACUUGAAUUAAUCAGGCUAAACAAACAAAAUAUUUUAGUAAAUUUGACUGCAAAUCAGGAUUCUAGCAAAUCAUGAUAACAGAAAAGUCCAAACCUUUAACGGCUUUUAGUGCACCCAAUGGACAUUACCAAUGGAAAGUGAUGUCAUUUCAAUUAUGUGAUGCACCACAAAUCUUCCAAAGACGAAUGGAUUUUAUAUUUAAUAAAUAUAAAAAAAUUCUAUGUAGUCUACAUAGAUGAUAUUUUUUAUAUUUUUAGAUACACUAGAAUUACAUAAGAAACAUUUAAAUAUUAUUUCUUAAGAAUUCAUAAAAUAUAGAAUCAUAUUAAACCCUAAAAAUAUAGAGUUAGAAAAAAGAGAGAGAAUUUUUAUAAUAGUGGAAAUAAAAAAUUGUCCUCAAAAGAUUGAAGAAAAAAAGAACUUCCAACAAUUUCUAAUAUAUUCCUCCCAAAUUUUCAGUUUCAAUUUUAUUACAGAAUUUCUUUGCCGACAAUAAGAAAUUAAGAGCGCUCUUUAAGUUGAAUAUAGUCCGUCAGAUAUGGCUAUCUAUAACAUGGAACCUUUGGUUUUCAAGCUGAAUAGGAGAAUUGAUUCACUUGAUAAGUAUGAAAAAUUGAAACUGCUAAAUUUAAGUGCACUAACUCUGGAUAUCAUCAUUAUUUUUCUGUACAUUAAAGUACCUGUUUGAUAUGCGAUUUCUGCCUCAAACUAUCAACAUCUUUAACAUCCUUUUGCUAUAGUUAGCAUGGGUACUUCCUUUUAGAUUAACAGUUAGGUUUGAACUGUGAAUUAGAUUUCUGUGGCUGCUGGGAUUGAAGAAGUUAGUAUGCGAAUGACAUUGGACAAAUUUGGCAAAGUCUUCUCCAUCAGUGAAGAAAACCCCUUGGCGUAUGAAAAAUGUUCACCAUCUUAGACAUUUGUUUUCUUAUUGUAAGAAUAUUUUUAACAUUGUAACUUUUAACAUUAUUGUAAGAAUAUUUUGAAUUAUACUUCAGUUAUCAAUUUAUAUCAUAUAUCUUUUGUUGAAUUUGAAGUAUAAUUUAUAUUUGCUGUUUUUGGUUAGAUUUCAUGCUAUAGGAAGGGUUGUAUAUGGAUAGAAAUUGAAUGUUACAAAUCUGCCAAAGUUAGUGGCGUUUUUUCAUAAGAGCUGCUAAAGAAUGCUAUUUUUGGCGGUGUUUGUAAUAAAAGAGCCGCUAAAGGUCAUGUUCUUUAGCGAUGUUUGUGGGUAAAGCGCCGCUAAAGAUCAUGUUCUGUAGCUGUGUUUGUGGAUAAAGCGCCGCUAAAGAACAUGACCUUUAGCAGCGUAUUUUCACAUAAACGCCGCAAAAUUUAGCGGCUUUGUCUAUAGCGACUUUUUUUGCAGCGCUUUAAGUUUUAGCGGCGCUUUUAGGCCUAAAAAAGGGCCGCUAAAAGCCUGUUUUGCUGUAGUGAGCAUAUUUACAUUUUCGUCCCAAUUUCAACUAACACCCCAUCUAUUUCCCACUUCCCUUUUUCGGGCAAUUUCAACUAACACCUUCAUAUCAAACAUAACUAUUUUUCAAUUUUUCUUCUUUAUUUCAUUAAUAAAAUUAUCAAUCUAUUUGUUUUUAAAUAUAUAAUUUCAUUAAUAUUUUUUAAAUUAUAAUAUAAGAGUUGUUGUUUAUUUAUAGUUUUAUUACAUUAUUUACUCUCUCUUUUCUAUCAAGUUUUUUAAAUUAUAAUAUAAGAUUUAUUUUAUCAAUUUGUGGCUUAUCCAGUAUUCAUCUAUUUUAAUAAUAACUUGAGUUCCAGUCAUUAUCAUACCAGAAAGAGUUCCAUUUAUUCUUUAUCGUAAAUUUUAUAAAAAAAUAUACAUUUUAUUAUAAUACUAUAUGUGUUACGAAUAAUAUUUUAUUGUGGAUGCCCAUAAUUUUCAAAGUUGUAACCUCUAAUGUAGUAACCUUAAUGAAAUUAUGAGGCUUUUAUAUUGUAAUCAAGCCUCUAUUUAUUCUUUGUAACUUAAACAGAAGCAUAUUUUCUAUUAUAUUGAUAUUUUUUAUAGAUAUAUAUAUAUAUAUAAGGAAUCAAAUAAAAAGUUAUUUACCUUUCUAUUAUAUUGAUAUUUUCUAUUUGAUUUGUUCUUUUCUUUCACUAUUCCAUAAUAUAUUAUCAGUACGAUUUUAACCAAGAGUAACAUGUUAUUAGAUUGUGUCAAAAUUUUGUUGAGAAUCAUUAGAUUGUUUCCUUUUUCUUCUAUUUAGCCCCAAAUUGCACCCCUACACAAAAUUCAACAAAAACAUGGAAAAAUUAGUGGUGCACUCUCAUAAAUUAACCAAUUUAAUUACAUAAAAUAUGUAACUUUAGCAUUUUAUCAAUCAUGUUCUUUAGCGGCAUUUGUGGGUAAAGCGCCGCUAAAGGUCAUAUUCUUUAGCAGCGUUUGUGAUAAAAGUGCCACUAAAUAUCAUGUUCUUUAGCGGCGUUUGUGGAUAAAGCGCCGCUAAAGAACAUGACGUUUAGCAGCAUUUUUUUACAUAAACGUUGUAAAAUUUAGCGGCGUUGUCUAUAGCGACGUUUUUUGCGGUGCUUUCAAAUAGUUUUAGCGGCGCUUGUAGGCCUAAAAAAAUGCCGCUAAAAGUCUGUUUUGCUGUAUGAGCAUAUUUACAUUUUCGUCCCAAUUUCAACUAACACCCCAUCUAUUUCCCACUUCCCUUUUUCAGCCAAUUUCAACUAACACCUUCAUUUCAAACGUAAUUGUUUUUCGAUUUUUCCUCUUUAUUUCAUUAAUAAAAUUAUCAAUCUAUUUGUAUUUUAAAUAUAUAAUUUUAUUAAUAUUUUUUAAUUAUAAUAUAAGAGUUUUUGUUUAUUUAUAGUUUUAUUAUAUUAUUUACUCUCUUUUUUCUAUCAAGCUUUUUAAAUUAUAAUAUAAGAUUUAUUUUAUCAAAUGGUGGCUUAUCGAGUAUUCAUCUAUUUUAAUAAUAACUUGAGUUCCAAUCAUUAUCAUACCAGAAAGAGUUCCAUUUAUUCUUUAUCGUAAAUUUUAUAAAAAAAUAUAUAUUUUAUUAUAAUACUAUAUGUGUUAGGAAUAAUAUUUUAUUGUGGAUGCCCAUAAUUUUCAAAGUUGUAACCUCUAAUGUAGUAACCUCAAUGAAAUUAUGAGGCUUUUAUAUUGUAAUCAAGCCUCUAUUUAUUCUUUGUAACUUAAACAGAAGCAUAUUUUCUAUUAUAUUGAUAUUUUUUUAUAGAGAUAUAUACAUAAGGAAUCAAAUAAAAAGUUAUUUACCUUUCUAUUAUAUUGAUAUUUUCUAUUUGAUUUGUUCUUUUCUUUCACUAUUCCAUAAUAUAUUAUCAGUACGAUUUUAAUCAAGAGUAACAUUGUAUUAGAUUGUGUCAAAAUUUUGUUGGACUUCAAGUAUUGGAAUUUAAUUGUUUAAGUUAAGAAUCAUUAGAAUCAAUGGCUAUUUGAGAUAUGCUUGAGGAUGAUCUCAUUCUAUUCAUCACAAAGGUGGAGGUUAGAAAAUCUUUAUGUUUAAACAUUUAUAGCUUUAAAGUUAUUUUAACCUCUUAUUGUGACCUUAUAAUAUUUUGUAAUUUUUUGUAUUAUGGUAUAUAAAAAAAAUCUAACCAUAGUGAUUGAUUAGUAAUAUGAAUUUGUUAUUUGUUAUGUUUAAUAUAUAUUUUAUUUAUACUUAUUCAUUUUAUUUUUAUAUGAGUAAAUGAAGUGUUUGAAGAUUCGAAAUUUUUAUCAUCCAAGUUGAAAAUAAGUGCAAAAGUGUACAUUAUUUAAAAUAAAUUACGCAUUCAUUAAUGUUAUAUGAUAAAAUCAUUACAUGUUCUAAAGAACUAAUAUUGCAUCAAACUGUAAAAAGCUCUUGAAGAGUUAAUAUUUUACCUCCUUGUGAUACAAAAUCAUAUACAAUAUGAUAUUAUUUUUCAAAUCGAGUAGAUAUAUGUUGAGGGAAAUCUUUAUGUGGUUUACAUUAAAACCAUGGAUAGAAAUGACAUGAGAUACUCGUGUAUUUUUAUUAUAAAUAUUCCUUGAAGGAAGACACUUCACUUGUAUGAUUGACAUAUGAGAUAGUGGCAAGAAGUUCAUAGUGUUGGUAUGGUCGUCUAGAUCAUCUCAAAUCAAUAAUGAUGCAAAAUAAUUUGAAGAGAAUUUAUAUGAUUUUAUUGAAGAAUGAGAAGAUAUUUUCAUUUUGAUAAUUGUCAUCAAUACUAGUUCUUUGGAAAAAAAAUAUUGAACUAACAUAAAGUUAGAGGUUGGUUGCAUUUUUUGAUGAUAUCCAAAUAAUAUAUGAGCUCAUGUAUCACAUGUAUGCAACCCAAAGUUUACAGUAUUAUUUCUUGAAAUAAUUUGAUUCUACACAAUCUCUAUAGUAUGCAAUUUGUGCUAACAACGUUGGUGCAUUAUAUCCUAAGCUUGAUUUUCGUAGUUUUAGCUGAGAUAAUAUUAAGUUGUCUAUGCCUAUAUAUGUUAUACUUAAUGGUUAGCAAAAUUGUGCCUCCAUUUAAUUGCUUAACCAUUAAUAUAAGAAUAACUUUAAAAUAAGCAUGUAAUUUUAUUUGCAUAGAGUCAACAUGUAAGAAACAUUUGCCCCAUGAGAAUUGGCUUUCAUUUAUAAGCCAAUAGGUUUCAUAUGACUAUUUGGAUGUAAAAUAUCUAUUUUAUAUUCCACCAUAAUGCACUAAGAUGGUCCAUCAAGUAUGAAGUUGAGAAAAUUUAGAAUUUUUAUUUGAUGGUAAAAGUUGAAAAGAGAUAUAUACUUAUAAUUUUGAAAAAAAUAGUCAUGUUGCAAAUUUUUCUCAAUAUUAGGGGGAGACAAGUUGGACAAAUAAGGAUAAUUAUGUCAUCACUUUUUGUGAUCCCUCACUAAUAUUAUGUGCACAAAGUUUGAAGGAAAAAAGUAUUUGCUAGACAUGUUUAGUGAUGACACUUAGAGAUUGUAUAUACUAGAUGAUACAUAUACCAGCUAAAAUGUUCCAAAUAAUUAUGAGUCCUAGAAGGACAUAGUGAUAAAAAUAAUUUUUGGGCACGCUAGAAGGAUAAAAAACUAGUUCAUUCUAUAAAUCAAAAAAUUCUUGAAAGAAAAGAGUAAGAAAUGAAGCUGGCCACACAUUAAAGGAAACGAGUACUCAUGAAGAGACCUAAGGCAUAACUUUUAAUAAAACCCCAAAAGAGGUUCAAUACAUGGAAUUAUGAAUAUAAUAAGAUAUCUCGAUUAGUUAUAUCAUAACUAAAGAUGAUGGGGUUGAUAAAAGGAAAUUGUUGUUAACAACGAUAAUCUAAGUAGAACAUUUCAAUAUUAUGGUAAAAUGAGUAUUUUGAAUGAAAAUAUACUUGAAAGUAUUUAGAUGGGAACAACUCAUCAAAAUAAAUAGACGUUUCUAUUAUAACUUAUGAAAUGUGUCUCGGACAUGAAGUCCAAACAUUCGACAGGUGUAAAGCCAAGUGGAGUAUAUGUUAGCAUAAUAGUGAAAAAAUACAAAUCAUAAUAUAUAAAAUUGACUUGUAAGACAAACUUUCCCAAGACACUUGAUUUUGAUUAUGAAAAAUGAUUAAUUUGUGAUCUUAUCAAUUGAACAUACUUUGUAUAAUCAACAAAUUAUUAAUUAACCUCAUUUAACCAAUUUCCUUCAACACAUUUCAAAUCAAAUUAAUGUGUUGAGCACGCCCUUAACCCUUUUUCUUGAUUCAUUGCAUAGUCUAUUUCCAAGUACCAUAAUCAUCAACAUUUCAAUAUAUAAAGUCAUAACAUAAUGAAUCAUAGUUAGAAUUUUUUUUACCCUAUUAACCAAGUAUGGAACAAAAAUAAAAACCUAAUUUGUCAAGCUCAUUCAAUCAGCUUAUAUAUUAUAAGAAGAGCCUAAGUAUAAAUCCUAUACAUGAUUUCAAAUUCAACUAUUUAUAUUUGAGAUUCAAUUUAAAAUUCAUACUGAAAUUAUCAAAUUAACUCGUAAGCUACUCACGCUAAACAUUAAGGUACUCGAAUUCAAGUGGCUAGAUAUCAUAAACACUUUUAGCUUGUAAAACUAUUUCUAAGGGUCAGCCCAGAAUCAUGGUUGAACCCAAAAUCUGGUAACAAAAAUUUAAUUGAGCCAUCAGCCUAAAACAAAAAAGGCUUAAAAGGUUGGCACCCGAACAAUCAAAGAUAAACACCACCAUAUGCCACUCCCUGAAUCCGAUACAUACAAUAACACCCUUCACCACUUUUAUUCUUCUCCUUUUUUUUAACCUCAAUUUGGAUGGUCGCAUUUCUCUUUUUAGUGCUUUAUAGGGUUUGGGCUUUCAGAAUCCUCAGAGAUGCAAUUCAUGGAUCCCUCUAAGAAAUGCAAGCUUGAUGAAAAUGGUAUUAUUUCAACGGCAUCAGAACCUGACCCAAUCACCAAACUAACCCCACAAGAUGGCCGCAAGCUAAUCGAGCAAUUUAUCGUCGAUCAACUCCUUGACGUCCUCCAAGAUGCUGUUUGUUGUCACCUUGAUGUUCUUUCCGCCGUACACUCUAUUGCCGAUCAAGAUCCAUCUCAAAGGAAGCUUUUCAUCCGUGGUUGGGUUGGGAUACUACAACCCAACCCAACCCACAUUAGCAUACUACCAUGCGGUAACUUCUAGUGAUUUCUGUCUGUAACAUUAGACAGGUUAACAGUUAAAUCGUUCAACUGAAAGAUUUCUUUGAAGGAAGAGGUCAAUUGAUUUUUUUUGGAAUCAUUGUGUACUCAGUUGCAUUUAAGACGGGUAUCAUUCAUAAAGUAUAUAUCUACAUCAAGAAUGGUAGCCUCUUAUAUUAUAUUCAUGUAUUUAUUUUGCAUCUUUAAUUAUAAUAGGAUUUUUUUUGUUUAUUUAUAGUUUUAAUUAUAAUAUUUUUUAAAUAUGCCAAAGUAAAUUAUGUACCAAUUUUAAACUUCUCCUAGGUAAUUUAACGUAAGGGCAUUUAUGUUAUUUUACCACUUAUGAUAAAACUAACCUAAUUUUAGAUCUAAGUGUUUACCAACCUUCUUUUAGUCAAAUUAUGCAAGCCUAAAAUUUUUAGCUUAAUUUGAGUUUGUUUACUAUGUCUAAUUCAAGUUUUAUUAUUAAGAACUAAAUUGUAACUUAAACAAAUUAGAAUACCAAUUUAAAGAGACAAAAAUUCAAAGCCCCAAAACCCACACGGGCAUGUGGGUAAGUGACACAGGCGUGUGGAAACUGGAGCUAUCACACACGGGUGAGUGGGACUGAAAAAUAUGAAAUAAAUUAAUCCAUUUAAAUUUCCAACAACCAUGCUAUACUACCAAACCAAAUAAUGUUAGAAGCUUUGAAUAGGGGCGAAUCUUAAAAAAAAUAGAAGAAUUAGAAUUAAAUUAUAAAAUUUUGAGAAGUUGUCAUGUAUUAAUUUAUUAUUUUUUAAAGGGUCUUAAUAGAUUUUUUUUCCCCAUUUUGGUUUGGCCAAUACCCCUGUCUGCCUCUUUCAAUUUGCUUCAACCCUUAGCCCAAUAUUCGAUUUGUUGUGGAAGUUUGACGCAUAAAAAUUCCUUUUUUAGAGGUUUAAAUUAUAAAUUUUUAUUAACAAAAUAUAAAAGAAAAAAACAUGUGUAGACAAGCCAAGAAACCUUUGGGAUCAUACAGGUGAUUUUGAGAUGUUCAUGGUUAUUUUGGUGGAGAGGGUAAAAAAGAAACAAAUGAUUCAUUAUAUAUGAUAUAAUUAUGAAAUUCAAGCCAUAUAUUGUAUGUUUCAUCCAUACAAAUUUCUUGUAGCAUUAAAUGACUCGUAGGCUUGCUGAAUUUCUUUGAAAGGCCCAAAGGCAAUUUAACAUUCACAAAAUAAUCUCUAAAUAGUGUAAAGACAAAUCAAAUCCACAGUAGCAUUAGAGUUGAUUAAGCUAAGCAUUGGCAAAUAUUACUUUGAUUUUGCAUGCAAUAUUGGCAAAACCCCCUCUUACAUUAGAAAAACAACAUAAUCCAUGAAACAUUGAUAGCCCAAUACAAAUUUCAUCGAGAAAAAAGUCUCUUUGUUUUGUAGAACAUGAUAGUAAAGAUGUGGAGUUUCGUUCUUCUUAUUGGCCUCCUUUAGUUUUCCUUGAUCAACAACCACUAGCCAAAAACACAAUUAGAUUAGAUUAUGAAUGAUACUUUCAACUAUGACAAUAUUAAAUACAAACCACUCUAAAUAACUCUAAAUAAAUGGAAAGCAGCAAAUUACCAGACGAGGCAAGCUAGCUCAAUUAAGACCAUUGUGUUAUACUUGUCUCUGAAUUGAAAAAUUUAGAAGGAAAUAAAGAGAAAGACUUAGAAAAUACUUGAAAACAGAAAAAAAAAUUAUGUCAUUUAAAAUAAAAAAUUUCUAUUCAAGCCAUUUAAAAUUUGUAAGAUUUUUAAAAUUUUAAAAUGAUAAAGGUAAAAUUGUACUUUGGCACCCCAAAAAUGAUAAAACUUUGAUUUAAUUAUUUAAAAAUUAUAAAAAUAUAGGCUAUUAAAAUGGUGAAAUUAUAUUUUUACUAUAGUAAAAAUUACAAUUUAAUUUCACCCCUAAAAGGAUUUUCUGGCUUCGCACCUAAUAAAAUCUUUGGCAAAAGACUAAAAUAAAAUUAUACCAUGAAUGGAAAAAGAAACUAAUAAAAUCCAAUCUAACAAAGAAAAUAACUUGAUGUCCAAAAGCUACCAUAAACCGUAAUUCAUGGGAAGGCUUGUUGCUUAUUUUAUUGGUUUCCAUUUUGAAAGAAGUUUGAAUUUUGAAGAGAGCCUACUACGUGAAAGCAAAAGAAAAAAAAAUAGUUUAUAUGAUUAAAAUUCCAGAAUAGAUUAAAAAUGUUGAAUUAAAGAUAAAAUUAAGUGUGAAUUAAUAACCACAAGUGUACUCUUUACUCAC
rnacentral:lncRNA from 1 species